CAUUUUAUUGUUUGUUUUAUGCAUUUUCCAUGGGCCGUGUAGUUCGAUCGAUCCGCUUCGCUAUGUUGACGUCAACGGUACUAGAAGAAGACUUAAUGUCCUAGGGUGGUUAAACAAAUAUAAUAAAAGGGAAAAAAAAGGAAUAAGUAUACACAGUAAAGUUCAUAGGGGGAGUGAAUAAAAUAAGGAGAACAAAUAGAAAAUAAGAUUUAAAAAAAAAAAAAACUGUAAAGUAUAUAAACGAGGGGCGCGUUUCUGCACUCUAUGAGGAUGUACUCGGCAAAAGCAACAGCCAUGACGUUCCUGGUGGCCAUAUUCGCAGUGAGCCCACUUCACUCUUCCGAAGGUAAAUAUUUCAUAUUAUUAAUAAUAUUAUUGUUUUUCAAUAAUUAGAAUUAUAUUUUUUUGUCAAUAAUUAAUUAAUAUUUUGAUGAUGAAUUAUUUUAUGUAUCGAAGAUUAAAAAGACCAAAACGUAUUAAACCAUUCAUAAUCAAUGUAAUAUUAUAUUCUAAUAAAAUAUAUGGUAUAAUAGAUAUUGUAUAUUAUUAAAAAUAAAGAAACUAACUGUCUUACCUGUCUAUGAACACGAGUGCCCAUAAAAAUGGGGAACCGAGAGUCAGGUGUCCUUCUAUGUUUUCCGUAAAUCGAUAAUACGGUAUUUUAUUCAUUACUAUGAAUAAGUGUUGCUGGUUUUAUCAAAAAUAUUAUUUAUUAAAAUAAUUCAAUAGUUCACAGUAUACUCAGGAAUUGAAUAAUAAACUUAUACGCAUAACUAAUAAUGCCUCGCUAUUUUCGUAUAAUUUAAAUUCUGUUUAGUAUAUUAGGUACCUAGUUUAUUAUUGUCUCUUUUAUUCGGAAUCUAGAGCCGUCGACAGUUUAAAUGCUUCUGUUUAAUUAUACUACCACUGCCGUCGCCUUCCUUAAAGUCUUGAUUAUUUGAAUUACUUAGUUUUAUUCUCGUUGGAGUACAGCCCAGAUUUCGCAAAAUUGUAUUAUUACCGACUACCAAGUACAACUUAAAUCUCAUAGCAAUUAAAUUUGAAUUAUCACAAGCUAAUAUAUCACUGUUUAUAUUCAUUAUAUCGCGUACGCCACAAGAAACUUCACUUUUAUUUUAACGCCUCAUUAACAACUUUUAACAAUGCUCGAAGUCACCACAAGUAUAGAAGUAAUUGUCUUUGAAAGUAAAAGUUUUUACCAUUUAUUUUUCAAAGUACGGUUUAAUUUGUUUCUAUAUACAUAUAUAUCAACAUCAGCGUUAUUACUUAGUUUUCGCUGUAUCGACAUUUCGUGAUUAUAGGUGUAGUUUCUCCUUUUAACUAGUAUACUCACCUAACCUAACCUAACUAGUAUAGUAUCUUGUUUUUACUAUAUUUGUAUAUUCUAUAUUUUUAAUGUACAUACGAAAUUUCUAAAACUCUUAAUAUAUUAACAAAUAAAUAGGUAAUAUAUAUAGAGAAAUAUUGAAUUGUUAUCUAUACAUAAAGAUAAAUAAUUAUCAACGUUAUAGUGGUAAUACGAUUCUGAAUGAAGUUCGGUUAUAUAUAUAUAUAUAUAUAUAUUUAAUUCUAAUAAUUUUUAAAAUAUUUGUUUAAAUUUAAACUUAAAACUAAGUAUCACCAAGUAUAAAUUAUGAUAACCAUGACGUGUAGAAUAUCAAACAUUUUUACAUUUUUCAUUGAAAUCAUAUUAAAUAGGGGGUAAUGUAGCGUAAAUUUAUCCGUUUUUUUAAUAAGUUUUUAUAUAAUUAUUGUAAAAACUACAAAGAAAAGCAAAAAAUGAGUUUUCUAAUGCAUUAACAAGACCGAUAACUAUACAAAAAAGGUGUUUUUAAUAAAGCAGGAUUUUUAGUAGAAAAUUUGUUUACAGAUGCACAAAUACAUUCCUUACUACGUCCAGAAUAUAAAAUCUAGCGCCCUAAAUUGAUCAGUUUUAAUUUAUCGUCUUUUUCCAGUUUUUUACAAAAAUUACUAAGAAAAUCGAAAAAUGAAUAAUGAAUAAUCUAACCAAUACAUUAUUAGCUGCGUUCAGAAUCUAAAAAAACUAUCUUUUCAAUAUUUACCAAUUUACAAUUAAUAUUAUCUCAUUUAUACGAACAUAGGGUAUAUUUGUAGGGUAUGAUUCUAUAGAAAUAAAAAUAUUUACUCGUAUCUAACACACAAAGCAGGUAUUUACAUAUGUAUAUUAUCUAUAUUUCGGGAGACUGUUCUGUUAUUUUAUAAAAAAUAAAUUACACUACGUAUAUAAUAUACAAGUAUAUAAUUAUACAUUGCAGAAAUAAAAACUAAAAUCUAAACGUUUUUCGUGGAUUUAUUACUAGGUUUUAUUAAUUAUAAUAACUUUUCAUUUCAUCGGUGGAAAGUUUUAGGCAUUUUACCGUUUCAAACUUUAAAAAUAAUAUGUAUUCUAUAAAAUGUUGUACCUACCUGUAUACAAGUUAGUGUAAUAUCUUCUAAGCUAAAAACAUAGUUUUGCAAAAAUUUCACAUAUAAUGCCUUUAAAAUUAACCGAAUAAAAAGAAAAGGUGAACCAUUUAUUAUCGAUUUAAUAUUUAUUUUAUAUAAUUAUAUCUUUUCUACAACUAUAUAGAUUUCUAAAUUUUUACGAAUAAAUUACUUUAAGUAUUAAAGUUUAAUUUCGAAAAUGGUAAUCAUCGAUUUAACUUUUUUGUAUAUUUGUAAAAUAAAGUUAAACGUUGAUUUAGUUUUCCAAAUAAAGCGACUUGAACGUUAAACCAAAAAUAAAACGAUAAAUGUUGCGGUCAAUGCUAUUCAUUCACAUAACAUACAUAUUAUUGUACUUGCGAUAGGUAUUAACUUCAUACACAAAUCCAGUGACUUAAUGGUUAUAUUAUUCUAAACAUGAUGCAAAUGAUUGAGUAACUGUUGGAAAGGCUAUACAGUAUACAUUUACAAUUCAAAUUAUUCUACUGCAGAAGGUGAUCUUGGCGUGAGUCUGAUGUAGGAACUGAGUCUAGAGAUAUAUCCUUGACAAAUCUCUCGUGUAAUAGGAACGGCAAAGUUUAAAGUCAAUAGAUCUUUUGAGAAAUAAUAUACCUAAUCGUUGUUUAAAGUUAUUCUUUUAUCGGGUUAAUAACACUGUUAGUUUCAGAUUCAAAAUGCAACAAAGUAGCUAUUAUAGUUAUGAUAAUGUGUGUUUUGUUUUCUUUUGGAAAACACUUAUGCAGUGAGUUAGAUGCUCUAUUCUCACGUAAUAAAUUUUCAAAAUAUUUAACCGGCGGUAUUUUAUUUAAUAAUGUUUUAUGCAUUUAAAACGGUUUUAAUAAACAAUUAUAAUUUUUUUUUUUUAUAAUAAAUGACGAUACAUGUCAGUUUUUAUUAAUUUAUUGGUCUACGUGCCUGACGGGAUAUUAAUAUAGUCUACGAGAAAUAAAGUGAUAAUACGAAUUGCGUAACGUUUAAUCGGGAAACACAAGUGUUUUUUUCGUUGGUUGAGAUGAUAAGCUAAAAUCGAUUGCGUCUUGAGUACAAAUUUGAAAACUCUAGAGUAACGUGUCCUUCGAGAUUGUUUUCGAGAAUCGGUAAUUUCUAAUGCGUUCUGAAAAUGAGUGUCAACAACUUUAGGCGACGGUGUGCUAUUCGAUUUUGCUAUAGACUUGUGUAUGGCAUGACAAGAAUUUUUUAAAAAAUUUAGCAGGUUUAUUAUAGAAAUAGUGUUUUUUUCAAUAGCCCUCGUUUUUAGGUGGUCAAAAGUAUUUCAGAAAUGUUCAGAAUUAAUGACCUUCUAAUGUCAAUUAAAAUUGUUCAACUGUCUGCUUUUUAAAAAUACUUCGAUUCAUUUAAACGCCCUUGCCCAGCCCCUGAAAAAACAUUGUCUCCAUAAGUCUAUUGUAAUGUCUAAAGCAAAAUUGGAUUGCACACCGUUGCGAACACGCAAGAAAAACAAUCGUUACGGUCUAACGCAUGAAAUUUAGGGAAUUGAAACUUGUACUGAAGAUGCAUUAGAUGUUUGUUUGCUCACUAACCCACCAAACAGAAAGCCACUAGUGUUUUCAGAUUACACGCUACGCAGUCAGUCUCAUUACUUUAUUUACACACCUUAAGUAUAGUACGAGAUCGGCAACCGUAAUCUAACUAGGUACUAUGUUAUUCUGUUGGACGAUUUGAAUAUGCGUGGACUUGUAUUUUUUUAAAUAGAUACCUUACAUGUGUCGUUAGAAAAUUUUAAUGGAGCUUUUAGUGUUCUUGGAUAUGAAUCUGACAAUCAUUGAGCAAAUUUUUUGUUUUAUGAAAAUAUAAUAACAGAAUAUUACUUACGAGGUAUUGUACCAGAAUUAAAAUAAAAUGUAUCGUUUAACAACAAUAUUAUUAAAUUAUUUGUAUUAUAUGUACAUUUUUAAUUUUUAAUUAACUUUUUAUUGAUAUUUGUGACUUGAAUAUUUAUUAUUUACCACAAUGAAAAUAAAAAAUAUUGAUAUUGAUGUAAUUUUUAUUUUACUGAACUAAAAAUCUAUAACUCAAUAUAGUAAACUAAUCGAUUUAAUUUGUGGUGAACUGCGAAUUCAUCUAAAGUGAAUUGUUGGCUUAAAAACGUUGUUUUGAUUGCAAUAUUUUCGUUGCUUUCAAUAUACAAACUGAAAAUGACCUUACCAUAAUUUCGGCAAAACUAUACGGCGGUAGCCUAUAACUACACGUCACGAAGUGCGUCCGGCCUGUUUGAUUUAGUUCCGAAUUUAUUAUUAUUCAUUUUUCACUACACGGUUUUUGUUGUUUUCGUCGGAUCUGAAUCUAUUAACAUAAUAAUAUAAUAUUAUAAAUGAAAACCGUUCUGCCACCUUAUCGACUUUGUGCGUCCACCAUUAAAAUAAUAAUACAAUAUAGAGGAAUCUAUUUGUCGUUGUUCGUAUAUGUACCUCGAGUAGGUAUCCAUUUUGCGGCGUGCGUACGACAUACUGUUAACCGUUUCGUGAAAGCAGAAAUGAAAACUUUUGCAAAAGUACAAAAUGCCAAACGCACUCGAACGACGACGACGACGACGGCGACGACGACGACAAGGAUGGUACCUCUCCAAUGGUCUCUGCAGUGCUUUGACGUGUCAUAAUGGUCGUUCUAUAAUAAUAUAGUUUCUCACGUCGACGACAGUGGUGGGCAGUUACCGCGGAUGUCUUUGGGGAUAAGUACAACGCUAUAGCGAAUUCGGAUUCGAAAAUUGUAAAAUAUUUUCUACGCGAUUACACCUUAUUCGCCGCAGCAGUACCAGUUUACAUAUUUCUGCUCCUCCCUCCCCCCUGUAGGUGGCGAAAAUGCCGGUAACCCUUCGAAAAUACGUCGGUCUUCAACAGAAACUCCACGGUAAGGAUUUCCGAAAUGCCUACAUUGUUAUGUUACGGAAAUUUCGGACGGGCAUACGCGUUUAAACUUUCGUAAAACCGAAAAAAACCCGUAGACCCGGUUGUAAUGCUUUUUAAAAGCAUUCGAUUAACAAUUAAUGAUGCAGUAUUCCGAAUAGUAAACACAAUGUGUUCGACAAAUUUACAUCAAUAUAGUAUCUAGUUCAUUUCAUAAUCUAUUCAAUAUUUUGCUAAAAUUAUUCAGAAAAUUGUAGAAAUACGAUCUAAAAAAAAAAAAAUCAGAUGAAGUUCGGAUGACUUUUACUUAGCAUAAUAGUGCUUGAAGAUGUCCGAAUAAUUUAUUCAGAAAAAUAGUCUGUUCACAACGACUGACGAAGUUGUAGACUUGUAUAGUACAGUUUUCUCAAUACAUUUUACAUUCGUACAUCUUCCAAAUUUAAUUUUAUAGUUUUUUCGGUUUUAAUAUUCACCAAAUCAAAAUAAAAAAAAAAAUAACAAUAAUAAUAAUUGUUGAAAAAAUAUGUGGACACCUUUCCGGAUGGAAGCGGCUCGGCGGAGCAGCGGGCGGUCGGGGUUCACGGGACAAUAAUAUUUUGACGCUAGCGCAUAAUAUUACCGAGAACAGUACCUAUAAUAUUAUAUUGACGCGCGCCAUUUAAUUAGGAAAAACGAACGAUCGGGAAACGCGUGGUCGGGGUAAAUUAACCGCCGGGAAAUUUCGCGUUGAGAAAACAUACGUUUGGGAAAACAAACUCGGCGUACACAACGGUUUCGGGGAAAAACGUACGUCCUGCCGACAAACAGACGAUCGGUUUCGGCGGCGGCGGCGGCGGCGGCGGUCCCUCGUCGAGGUAUUUCGGUCCGGACGAUUUUCCGCGGGAUCCGCCUACCGGGGAGGAGAAAAAAAAAUAAUAAAAAAAAAGAACCACGUUUUCGGUGUACGCGUUUUGUUUCACCACUACCCCGUGAACGUCUCACGCGCACGCGCGGAUUUCGCUCGAUUAUUCAGUUUUUCGGAAAGCCGUACACGCACGUGUAUACAUUAUUGUACGUGUAUAAUGUGUUCGUAGCAAUUAAUUCCGCGGUCGGUCCAAGUAUAUGCGGCUGCGGCGUUGUCCUACACGGUCGACCGUUCGAUUUCAAUUAUAGAUAGACCCCGUCCCCGAACGCCCCGUGUUCCUACGGCCACUGCGGCUACACUUUUCGCAUGGGCGUACUGCCGAUUUUCUCCGCGCGUCCGCCACCGGCCACGGCGCCGCCGGUACCGUAGAUACCAACACGCCGAUUAAUUUAUACCGACUCGUUGGUAUCCGUCCACUUGUGUUUCCGCGGCCCGUGCGCGCGCGUUUCUUCGGAUGUGCGCGCGUGUGCGUAUGCGCUUGCGUUCGUGUGUGUGCGCGCGCGCGCGCGCGAGUUUGUGCGUGCGUGUGCGCGUGUCCGGGCGUACACGUGAGGCCUAACCACAAUAAUAAUAGUCGGCGACGGUUACCGCGAGUGAAUCGCGGUGUACUACAAGGUUCGCUCGAUAACCCCGAGGAUAUUAUUCGCGAUGUAUUAUAGUCGUGCAGUGGUAUACAGUAUUACGCGCGGCGAGGUCGGGCAGCCGCCGCCGCCGCCGCCGCUGCCAGCCGGAUUUGCCGGCGAAUUUAUUGCCGAUAAGUUUGGCCGUGGACCGGGAGCGUUCUUGGCACAAAACAAGAUUCGGCUGCCAGCAAAAGUACAAAAGUUUCAUUAAAGAUAAAGAACCACCCUCUCAAACUUUACACUUCACAGUAAUUACCAUCGAAGCGGAAUUUAUCUACGAAAAUAAUAAAUGAACCCGCGAGAAAUGUACCGCCGCCGGUGUACACUCGCGCCAGUGCCGCGCUGCAGCAGUGUACACAGUAUUGAGGAUUCCUUCGGUAUUCUUUGCACCGGUAACCACCACACCCCCUCCCCCCACCGGUCGUGCUCUUUCUCUGCAUCCGAUCCAGCGCCGUCGUGGCAAUGCCAUCGCCGCGCCGUCCCUAUUUCAAUAUGAAAAUCGUUGCCAAUAUUUGAUCCCCUUCGUCCCGUCACUCGAGGUCGUGUAUACGAAAUAUAUAAUAACGUUGGGAAAUAAACGACUCUAGGUGUAGACGGGUAUACCCACCUCGAAAUUUUAAACGAUACGCGUUGCUAUAUUAUGAGACAUUACACGCUAUUAGGCUUAAGUAGAUUCGGAACGUAAACUUUACCCGUAUACGAUAACCGCAGUGGACGCUCGCAGACGAAUAUAUCGUAAGACUAUGACUCACGACCGCUAAGAGGACGUUAUACCCGCAUCUAUACCGACUCGGUCCAACUACCGGAUAACACGCAAAAACAAUGAUUACGCAGAAUAAGCAAAGCCAGUUUAUUUUCGAUUUUAGAGUAAAAGCACCUAUUGUGAAAUAUAUAGAGAAUAAUAUUUCGGAGGGAAUUUUGUUGGAAUUAUUUUGAAAUAUUAACUAUUAAAAAAGUUACGGUUAUUUAAAAAUGAAAAAAAAAAAAAAAAAAAAGGUUUUGUAUAUUUUAUUUCGGAGCUGUAUAUUUUGAAUAAUAAAAAAAAUACUGUGAAAUUCCCUCCGAAAGUACAGUUCUCGAUAAAUUUUAUAAUAGGCUCUUCUACUCUAAAAUCAAAACUAUGCUAGUUUUACUUGUUCUGCGUAAGUAUUGUUUUUGCAUGCUACCCGAUAUUCGGACCGAGACAUUAGAUGCGGGUAUAACGUCCUCUUAAUAAUAAUAUUCUGACAAAAUGCAGUUUAACAGAAUAAUAGCAUGCAGAUUUUUUCGACGUUUUGAGUAUUACACCAAUACUCUCAAAACCGUAAGAUCAAAUUUGGAAGUCCUCAUAGGUACUGCGUAUUAUAGGAUUCUAAAAACAUGAAGUUAUUGUUAUUAUUAUCAUUUUUUGUUUUGAUUCUAAUUUUUAAAAAAAAAUCUAUCCACGUUAUUAUAUUAGAAUAAUAUCAGAAAGUAUAUGCGUGUCUGCGUGCUAUCCACCGCGAAUGUAUCGCACGCAGAGGUCUUAGAAUUUGCAUACACGUUUAAAACGGACUGUGCACCUCGAAACCCAGAUUUCCGAAAUUGAAUCUCUAAAAGGGCCAAUCGCACGGGAUUUUCAACUAUGUGAUAUGAAAACCGAAUUUUCUUUUUAUCGACUCCUGGGUCAGUUCAGCGUAUGGAAUACAAAAAUUAGUCACACGGAGAUGGGCAGACGCGUUCAAUCGCAAUUAUCUUAUUGAUUUCGGACAUUCGAAAGUUUUUUUUUUUAAUUCUGUUUUUAAAUAUAAGUAUUUUUUACUUCUUCUAUUUUUUUUUCAUAAGCACGUACCGAUUACAGUAUUUUCGAUCUCGAUACUAUUAAACAUUUUAAUACCAUAUUACUUUUGGGAAAUGUACAUAAGACGGUAAUAUAAAUAUUUUAAUUAAUACGCUGUUUCCGAAAAAGAAAAAAGCAAAAACGAAAUUCGUUUGUAGUAAUUUAUACGCGUUUUGAAUAUUAUCAUCUGUCCAAAUUCGUUCAUUUUAGUCUCGGAGCUAAGAGUGACAAUAAUAACACUAUGUACUCUUAAUAUUAUCGUGUAAUUUACAUACAUCUCGAAACUUUCUACAGAUUUCCCAGAGGAAUAUGAAUAAUUUUCGCGACGGUAAUAUUCAUAAUAUAUGGGUAUUAUAAUAUCGUUAUACUAUUGCUUUAUGACGGAAAAUCAAAUAGAUAUUUUAUAUUCCCCGGCAGUAGUGUGGCUCGUGAAUAGGAAAUCAUUAUAAUAAUAGGCAUACGUGAUGUAAUUUAUUAAUAAUUAUUUUACGUCGAAUUUUAAUCAGUGUAUUCGGUUUUUUCCCAAGAAGACUAUAACUUUACGUUUUCGAUAGUUUCGAUCAUUCGUGUGACAGUCGUGACAUUAUUUCGAAACGUAUUAAUUUUAAUUCUACGUGUAUUUUUUUUUUUUUAGAAAAUUUAAUAAACAAGCGACCAUAAAAUUUUACAAUAACGAAAUUCUGUAUCGCCUUUACUUUCGAGGGCGAAACAGCUACCCACUUCUGAUGUUCGAUUCGGAUGCCGUUGCACCGUGCCGACAUACACAAAUGAUACUGCUCGACUACUCUUCCCCUACCGUCAAAACACGAAACUAAAAAGUGAAAUAUCAAUGUUACACCGAAAUUAAUUUAAAUAGUGCUGCUUGUUCAUUCGGUUUUCUAAUAAGACGAAGUUUAAAAUGUAAUCAUUUCCAAGUGAAUCGAGCACACGAAAUCACAAUUUUCGUAGUUAUUAUAGAGCAUAUUACUGUCUAUAAUAAAUAUGAAUAUUAUUUGCACGCUGAUUAAAAAUUAGUAUAAAUACCGACACGUUAUAACAAUUUUUGCGUUGAAUGUUAUCCGCACUUUUUGACAUUUAAUACGAACAAUAAUUUAUGUAAAAAAUGAAAAAAAAAAUAGUAAUAAUAAUUCGAGUUUAUCGGUAUUUGAAACGUCAACAUUUGCGUGUGUCCAAUUCACACGCGAACUAUUCAUCAUUUGUCAUUUGUCAUUUUUUUUUUUUUUUUUUUGUUUCAAGAUUAUGUCCCACGCACAUAUAAAAAAUAUAUUUGUUUAAUUUUUUUUUUUUCGUAUACCGAAUAUACAAAUAAAACAAAAAAUCGUAUAAUAUAAAAAAAAAAGUAAUAAUAAUAAUCAUAUACACAUACCAGAUAUUCAAAUUUAACCGCAUAUAUAUUGUUAUUCUUGAUUCGUUAUUGAUAACGAACAUUUUGUGGGGAAAAAAUUAGGUUAUACCAUAUGUACUUAAAGUCGUAAUAGAAAAGCCGAGUUUAUAUUUUCAAAAUCGUGUUCCGUUUGGUUUUACAACGAUGUUCAGUUUAUUUAAAAGAUGUUUCUAAAAUUAAAAAAAAAUAUAUGCAUUAUUAGAACUGAUCUAAACAAUCGCUAGGUAUCGGAAAAAUGUUAAAAUGAUCGUCAUAAAGUUAUCAGCGAAAUCAUAAUAGUCACUUCACGAAUAGAUCCAACACAUUUGUCGGUAACCCGUUGGGAAUUGCUGGAUUACUCCGCGAAUCACCGUUUUCGGCUGAAAUAUGGUGUAACAAAUUCGUGUUUAUAUUUUAUUCGUAUUUUAUAAAGAUAUUUUUUGUUUUUUACAUAAUUUAUUUUUUUGAUUGUAAAAACUGAAAAAACUACUAUACCGUUGUAAAACAAUAGACUUUCUCGUCCGUUCACUUUUUAAAAUCAUUAACACCUAUUUAUAAUCCUAUAAUACGAGUAUAAAUAGAAUUAACUGUAAUCCUAUUAUUUUAACCGUAUUUUUAUCAAAUAGAAAAAAAAAAUACGUACAUAAUAAAAUUGUGCUGUGAGUACCACCUAUUAGCAGCGAUUCACGUGUAAAACUAAUUUUUUAUAUAUAUUUAUAUAAAAAUAGUUUAAUCGAUUAAACAACGAUAAUGUAUACGAGCUUUAAUUUGUUGAAAUAUGAUUUAUAUUAUUUUUUUUCAAAUUAACUCUCUCUUUCAACAUCCCGUAUUAAUACGAAAACUAGGAAAGUCAUCCGGUCUGCAUUUCACCGUAAGUAUUAACAAAUAAUAAUAAUAAUAAUAAUAAAUACAAACGAGCAAAGAAAUGUUUAUUCAAAAAAUUAGCAUAAAAUAAUUUUCGGUUCAGGUUCCCGUUAAAAUGAAUAAUUUUUUUCGCGUCAUACGAUUCCACGGUCGUGACGAACGUGACUUCGGCAAUUUUCUGUCUGCACUGUUAUUAUUAUUAGAUAGUGAAACCGCAUUUUUCACCCUCUUAUACGACGAUACGUGUCGGACAAACGAACGAAGUAUUAUUGUAUAGAAUUUCUACUCGAACAGAAAUAUUUCACGCAUCCGAAGUGUGUGAGUACAGUGCAGUGGCGGAUUCGGUGGGCAAAUUGGGGCGAUCGUGGACCCCGUUCUUUCAGAAAACACCCUUAGCCCCGACGUACUCUGAGCUUGAUGAUCACCGUGAACGGGUGUCUUAUAUUAAACAUUUUAAAAAUAUCGUCCCCGCGGUUAUUUUGCCCCUGAUCCGCUGAACCGGAAGAACGGCGUUGUAUUUAAUUUGAAAAAUAAUCGAUGACUAACAAAAGAAAAUAAUAAUUCCGUUAUAUUGAGUGUGUUCAAUAUCUUAUUUUUUUUUUUUUUUUUUUUUUUCAAAUUAUGUUAUAAUCCGAUUAAAAUAUUAUAAAACGCAAUUAUUAUUAACUCACGUGUAACGGCUAACGAAAAAAAAAAAAAUUACAAAUAUAAUUGAUGUUCUCUAUUUCCGAGUUCUUUCGAUUUGAUUUUUUUUUCCGUUAUUUUCCUUGAAAAAAGAAAAAAAAAAAACAACGAAAUCGAUUUAUUUUUCAUUAUUCAGUUCAAACAGUUGGAAACGGUAUUCCGGACUUUCUCUAAUUUUGUGAAAUUUGACAAUUAUUUUAAUAUUAAUUCUAAUCUAUAGGUACUGUCGGCCGAUACCUAUUUUGAGGGGCAGCAGUGCGGCGGCAGUUUUGACGGCGAUAUGACGUGUCAUGUCCGAUUUCGAUUCUUAAAGUAUUAAUACGGGAUUGGUCGUCAAAUUUCCGUCUGUGUUACUUGGGUAGUCGAUUUUUUUACAUGUAUAUAUAUAUAUAUAUCAUUAUAGACACUUUAAUUUCAUUAGUUUCGCCGAGCGGAAAAAUCCAAAAGAAAAUAUUUUUUUUUUUUAUAUAAAUAACGGUAUCCGAGGCACGCGAGUUGCUGCGAGAGAACAAGUAUUGUGCAGACAAUCUAAAAUAAUAAUUCAAUAUCGUUAUCAUUUACCCCGAAUCAUUAGACACACGUACGUUUACAGGUUAUUACUGUAUUGGAUUUUCUAACCAUAUGUACGUCAAUACGUACAAACACACAUACGGAUUUAUGUUCAAUCGAAACACGUUUCUAAUUAAUUUCGGGAUAUCUUGUUUUGCGGAUCGAACAAUACGCUCCGAAUUGUUAUUUUUUCUUUCGUAAAAUCCUUAUAAUUAAGUAGGUAUAUGAUACAACAUUACCUCUUUUCUCUUUCCGUAACACAGGUAUGGGUUGUUUUUUUUUUUUUUUUUUUGAAUUUUUGAAAAUAAUAAUUAAAAAAUAUAUUAUUAAAAAAUUGAGUCCGCUGUUUUACGGCUGGGAAAUUGAAAAACGAUUAUUAGCGGAGUUCGGCAAACUGGUUAGGUUAGAUAACCACUAUAAUAGUCGCAUAUUUCCCCUUUAUAGCCUUUAUAGCGUUUACAACACAGAAAUCAAUAAAAAAAUAAAACCGAUUUACCGUCAUUAAUUAUUAUUGUUCUCCGUUUUUUUUCCCAGUCAUUUAGAAACAACGUAGGUAAAUCCGCGUGUUUUACGGGAAAAUGUUUCCGAGAAUAAAAAAUAGCACACGUCUUAGUAAAAAAAAUUAUAGCUACUUAAUAGAUACACACAGUAUGCAAGUGUAAAUAUAAAUUUUUCAAAAACAGUCGGUUUUCGUCAAAACUGCAUAUUAUGUAGUUAAAUCGGAUUUAAUAUUAUUUUAGAUUUUGAGCAGAAUUUGAAAAAUUGUUUUUACUAUUGUGUAAGAGAUAGGCGCGCUAUUAUUAUUUUUGUUUUUGUAACCAAUCGUAAAAAGUUUUUCAACAAGAAAUCUUCGAACAAACCAAAAUGAAUUUAAUACUUUUCAUUGUAUUUUAGAUCUAAUUGGCGAUUAUAUGAGUAUUUAUUUUUAUAAUAAUCCGGAAAUAAUCGGAUUUCAUUAUUUUCGAUUAUGUUUUUCCAUCAGAAAUCAUACUCCACCAAUAUCAAGAAUAUCGUAUUUUUUGAAAAAAAAUAUUUGUCUUGUUGGUAUAAUUUAUAUGGGACGUAUCUCUUGAUAAUUGGGUAAUAUCAGAAAAACGUUGAAGUAUUAGGGUUUUUCGUGUAAUUCGUGUUAAGAAAUAACCGUAGAGACCUGAAAUUAUCGCAAUACACUAUUAAAAACCUUUUAUAUGGGCGGUAAAAACCGUUGAGCUACGCAGUGGUACAUUCCACAUUUUCUAAAUUUUUUGAAGUUUGACUUGGUUUAAUUUGGAUACCGCGAUUGUUUGGCCGGACAGUGACGCUUUUACAUGAAUUAAACUUAGUGAUAAAAAAAAAAAGUCGACCGAAUAGUAGAAGUAAUUUUUUUUUUUUUUUUUUUUAUAAGCGUUUUGAGAAAAAAUUCUGAUGAAAACCCUAGGAAUAUCGGUAUUUCAAAACAUGUACAUAAUAACCGAAAUUUUGUUCAAUACAAUAACGUAUAAUUUUCUCGUUUUCAUGACGCGUAUUAUCGAGGACGACGACCCCUCUAUGUAUAUAUUUUAAUAUAUAUAUAUAUAUAUAUAUACAUAUAGUUAAUCCUGGCAUGGACGUCUAAUCACAAUAUUUCGCUUCGUAAAAUAUCAUGUCACACCGGAUGCUGCAUUGUAUUUAUUGAUAAACUAAUCGACCGUGAUUAUACCGCGUUUUGUUAUUAUUAUUAUUAUUAUUAUUAUCAACGUAAAUAAAAUAAAUGUUUAGUACGGCUGCAGAGUAAUAUUGUCAAAAUGUUUGUCAAUCCGGCGGCGGUAGCGGCGGCGGGCAGUGACCGUAUUAGACGUCGCAAUGGAAUCCCGCGGAUUUAUAACAAUAAUAAUAACAAUAAUAAUAUUAUUAUCGCUUGUUCGAGGAUCCGAUUUAAAAAAAAAAAGUCCGAAAGGUAGGAGUUGUAUAAUAGCGUAUAAACAUUAUAACUCUACAAACAAUUAACCGUGAAUAACGAAAAACGGUUCUGAGCGAAGUUUGGUUUGAUUUGAAAUUCCGCGAAUUUUACGGAUUCCUUUGAAAUCCCAACUUUAAAUGCGCAUAAAAAACUACUGCAUUACGUUUAACUUUUUGUAGUUUUUUUCACCACUAUAAGUAUGAUCUAUGUUGAAUCUCGUGUAAAACUGUCGAGCUUUUCAGAUCGGCCAAAACAAACAAAACAAACAUUUUGGAUAACUAAAAAAUGUCUUUAAAUACCUAAAUGUAAUUCAAAAAUAGCCAGAACGUAUUAAAUACGUAUUAUACUACUUAGAAUGAUUUCGAUACUUGGUUAUCAUUUAAUAAGGACUACUUAUUGUUUCGAUAUACCUAUCUUACCUUUAUACUUAAUUUUUACUGGAAGGCCGAAUCAAUAAAAUUAAUUUAACUUAUUUUUCCCUUACGACUGUACUACUAAAAUAAAAUUUUGUUUUUCCGGGCACGUCUUGGUCCCACACUCCCUCCCCACGUCACUUCACCUAAGUUUUAAAACCGCUGUCCGUUACAGCCCAUCCCGAAAAAUAAUUUCCAUCUACGCCACUGAUUGUGUUGAAUCACUCGUGCUUAUACGAUUUUUGUUUACAAAAUUAAAUGGCUAUAGUGAUGCGUGACAAAAAUUCAGAUUAUCCGAAAAUUCAAAAAUCCUGAUUUCGGGUUUCGGGAAAUUCAGAUUUAUAUUGUUUUAGUAAUUCCUGUUAUAUUAUAUGUAUUCGUCGCCUAUAAAACAGCGAGUUUCAAUUGCCACCGAGCGUUGGUCGUACGCACAAACAUAUUUAUACAGUACAUAUACGACUGCCCCGCGUAAUUUAUACCGACAGGUGGCGUACCUUCGGGAAGGAGGGCGAAAUAAGAAACCUCCCUUACCACCUUGGUCCGUUUAAUAUAUUGUGCGCAAUUGUUAUUACGCACAUUCCCGUAUUGUAUACUGUUGACGCCCAAUCGUCGCGAUAGGUUUUUUUUUUUUGUCUGACGGCGGCGGUUUUUCGGAUGGUCGACCGGUAAUUAUACGUGGAAUCACGAGUAAUUCCUAUUUUAAUAGGGCACCCGCGUAGGGGACGCGUCCUGCAUGUGGGCGUUAUUAACGUAUAUACGAAAAUCAUUGCAAUAAUACAUUUUUACAAUACAUUGUUUUUUCCCGGGUUUUUUCAUUAAUCGGGAUAAAUCCCGUGAAAAUCAAAACAAAAAAAAAACAACGAACCCAGCCAGAGAAGCGGUAUCGGUGUAAAUCGGAGCGAAAUUGCUGGCAGUAAAGUCGUCCAUGGAAGAAACAAUAAUUAUCAUAUGAAAGCCAACACGUUACCGAGCUCCGCUCAGUAUCUAAAAAAAAAACCUCCGCGUAAAACGAACAAAACCCGGCGCCUACACUUCGCAUGUGAGAUGUUAUUAUUAUGUCGCGCGUUCGCGUUACGAUUUUCAAAGGGGCGGCCUAGCUGGAUGUGGCGGCCGUAUUAAAAAGAGGACGCGCGCAAGAGCGCAGAUUAUAAUAUUAUUAUAGUCGAUGGCGUUUUCAUCGUUUCCGGCAGAUAAAACAAUUAAACCGAUAAAAAUUGAAUUAGUUGGCACACGGCGCACCGUUACAGUCGUUAAUCGCGCGUAUCUCUCGCGGGGUCGCGCGCGCCAGCGACGUACGCGCGAGUACGGGGAAAGAGAGAAACGGCGUAAGAGGGAUCGAAGUGGCGUGUGUGGGGGNNNNNNNNNNNNNNNNNNNNNNNNNNNNNNNNNNNNNNNNNNNNNNNNNNNNNNNNNNNNNNNNNNNNNNNGGGGUGGGGGGAGGGGCGGGAGAGAGCGCGGUAGAUCCUUGGCGCGGGGUUUGCCCUCCGCGAGUGCAUUACAUAAUUUAAUAUAAUAAUAAUAUUAUAAAUCAGCCCGUUCGCGUAAUCCCGUGUGCGACGAGAGGCACGCGGAGACUUUCGGGGGCGCCGCGCGUUUUCGGAGUGAAAUUCGCUCGCUCCCCGCGUUCCCGCGGUACGUUUCCCGCCGAACGUCAGUAAGCCGCCGCCGCUGUCGGAGACAACUUAUGCUCGUAUCACACUUACCUGCGCUGCUGAUGCCGCACGCGAUUUCAGGUGAAUUUUCGUCGGUCUCGGCGUAACGGUUUUUUUUUUUGUUUUCCCACGCGCGUCGCAGGUUUGCGAUUCGGGGGUGGUGGCGAAAAAUGAGUUGACUAGUUUUGGUUGAACGGGUUUUUAUUCUUUGCUCGGAAAGUACAUAAUUUUGUUCGAAACGGCGUCGUCCGUCGUAUCCGUCGAAAAAACUCGAUUUUCGGUUCCGCAGAAUCUUUUUUUACGCGCUUUUCGUCACCUCGCACCUUCGGUCGUCUCGCGGAAUUUCCCUAUCCGUUUACGUCCCACUUUCCGUUGCCUGAGUGAUUUGCAAUUAUGCGUACACUCGUAAUUACGACGAUCAACAAUCAGAUUAUCUGUUUUCGUUUCCGCGCUCAAAGGCGGUCAAAAGGUUACAGGGGGUUUCAACACGUGGGUACGCGUGGUUGUUAUCACCUCGUAGCUUCAUAAAUUUCGACAUAAGAUCAUAUUAAAGCAAUCGGCCGUUAACGCUGCUGCUUUGAGGAUGAUAAUAUUUUCUCUAGAAGACUCAGUCAGUGAAUAAUAAAGUGACAAUUCGCUUACAUUUGACUGUAGUUUUGUUAUGUAAAAUUACAUUUUACAAAUAAGUGCUUAUGAAAUCUGAUUCAAUAAGAAUUCAAAUUUCUUAUCAGCCUUAAUUUCCACUUUGCAUGGCAUAUUGGAAUUUAUAAUUAAAUUAAUCUAUCAAACAAAUACCCUAACAUUUUCAAUUAUGACCUUUUGUGGAAUGAAUUAUCAAUUCCAUUAAUGUUGCUUUCUCGUUCAGUUAAGAUUUUCUACUUUACCCAUUUUGGAGCCAUAAUUAAAGAUCAAACAAAUAUUGGAUCGUAAAUUGUCGUUCAAAUAUUUAUUUAUCAUUAAUAUUAUUACUAAACGACAUUCGACAAUGUAAUCAGUAAUCAUUGUAAUGAAAUAAAAUGUGGGAAUGUGGAAAAUUUGUUAACUACGAUUACAAUUUUUUUUAUGAAACUCAAUUAUUUUUACACGCCAUAAAACGUUAUAGGCUUGGUUAGUUACAGACUCAUUAGUACAUUUAUAAACUGAUCUUCAUGUAACACACCUUUAGUAAGUUAUCCCAUACAUUAACACUAAUAAUUGUUAUUACUAUGUUAUUACUUGUUAUUUAAUUGUUAUUAAAUAUUAUUACUACAGCCUGCAGUGGCCCACGCACAUGGCGAAUUAUGUACGACAUUUUUUUUGUUUUGCUGUAAAUUUAAAAUUGCUGAGUAUUACCAUGUUGUUUUUCCGCGAGUGUAUACCUAACUCAAAAUAUUUAUACUCUUUUUUUUUGUCGAUAACGGAACAGUAGGUAUACAUAAUAUUCCGUAUCGAAUUCACAAACCCCACGAAACGUUUUUGUGCUCGUAUAUACAUAUAUUAUACGCUUGUAUUAAUAUAAUCGAUUCACGUUAUGACCGUUUCCGCCCCCCAACGCGCGUUAAUUAUUACCAGAUUCAUACCAAACCCGGUGAUAAUAACAAUAAUAAUAAUAAAAAAUAAAACACCAAAUACCGCGCGUUUUAGCCGUUUUAUCCGAUACGUUCACGUCGUGAUUUUUUGUUUGCGUUUCUUUUUUUUUUAUGGCCGCGGACGUUUUCUCGGGCACCGUCACGCGUGUUUCUCCCACGGCAGACAGUCGCGGUCCGUUCACUUCCCAACCCACCCCCAUCCCCUCACAGAAUAAAGGUCAGCGUGCCCGGGGAAUACGAAGGUGGGCCGAGAUUGCAUAUAAUUAUUGUUAUUAUUAUAAUAGUGUAACGCCGGGCGGGGCGAGAGAGACGUAGAAAAGGGUUUCGGGAAAAUAGGGAAGCUUCGCAGCAAACCGUGAACCGGAGACGGGACGGUACGGGGCAGUGUACGUAUAGCGCGGGAUCGCGCGUAUAAUGAAUGCAAAUAGCUAAACCGUGCGGUAUACCGGAGAUAGUAGUGUUAGCUACAUUAUACCGUACAACUUACUGUAUAUAUAUAUAUAUAUGUAUAUAUACAAUAUUAUAUAGUCGUGACACUUUACUGUAUAGACCGAUGGUGGGGGGAGGUAGUUGUAGGGAGGGAGGGAAAAAAGGACCGUGAAAUAUAUACCGCGACCACGGAAAAGGGUUAGCCCCUUCGCGCGCGCGUGAUAACGUCGAACGUGACUAUGGCUUUUACAGAAAAAAAAAAAAAAAAACCACGCAAUAAUAUUCUCGCGAGAACUAUUUCCCGAUUCACCGCACCGGUGUCGCGUCGUAACUGUUAUUAGCGAUCUGCAGAGGCCGAUGACGACCGUCUGCGAAUGUAACUUAUUAAGGUGACCCGAAAAAAAACCUAUUUUCGAUGUUCGAUGAAUUUGUAGCCCCCACACCCGUUUUUUAAGUGUUUUUUAAGUAUAACGCAAUAUUUUUUUAGUUCCAGAAAUUUAUUUACAUUUUCGAUUAUUCAUGUCUAUACUAAUUCAUUUUCCGUCUUAGUUUAUCUAUAAUCGUCUAUAUUGGAAACGUUUAAAAGACAUUCUGUGAGUUUCGAGUAUUUCAAACUGCUAUUUUAUGAUUUUAAGUGGUUCGUGUGUUUUUUUUUUUAAGUUCUGUUAGUACGUUGCAUAUUAAGCCUAUGACGAGACUUCUGUAUGGUUUACUUAUCGCUGUAGUGCUGUUAAACUGGUACCGCGAGCUACCAUUCAAGUUUUCGAAUGACUUCAAGCUCUAGCACGGUUUUAGAAAAAAUCACUAAUAAAAACAUAUUAAUCAAACAGUUAGUAUACUAAUUGUUUAUAAAUUGUGUAAAUUUUUUAAUGGCGAUGUGUACGCGGUAUAUGAUUUAAUUAGCGAUGAUGUAAACUUCAAACUUAUGUAACUGGUGGCGUGUUGACACGUUUACCAACCAUCAGAUUUUUAACGAUCCUUGAAAAUUGUUUAACUAUGGGUAUUUCUGGAAAUAAUUAUAACAAUAUUAAUUAUUUUUCUGUUUAUUUUUUUACUACAACGGUAUUAUAUUUCUAAAACUGUUCUCGAAAUACGUUUUUGUCUCCAUCAUCACGACCACUAGAAAAAUAAUAAAUACUAUAUCGCAGUAUGAUUAAAUAAAUCAUACCCGUGUCGGUCACCGCUCCUCACAACCGCGUAUCAACGAAUCCGUAGAUAUCCUAAAAUAUGUUAAAAUUAAUCUAUUCAUUAAAAAUAUACGUGAAAAUCAUAUAUAUACAAAUACAUGCACACGUGCAUACAAACAAACAGCUAAAACCAUAACCCUCCGUUGACGGGUAAUUAAAUACUUUAAAUUUUAAUAGCAAAGAAAUACAAAUUGCAGAUAGGAAAAUAAGAUAGUUUGUCGUUAUACAACUAAAAAUAAACGGUAGUGGCGUGUCUGUCGUGCGGAAUCCGUACACAGAUAAGCUAGUGACGAGUAAUAGUAAAUUACUCCGCACCCGUACCGUAUUCCGUAAAUAUUGUGUACGGCGGGCAAAACAAAAAUCUCGAUUAAUUAACAUUUAUUUGUUAUCUUAUCGCCAUCUAUCGGAAAUUUCAUUUCGCAUCUAUAUUAUUUAACAUAAUCGAUAAUUAUUACGAUAUUAAUACGUUGUAGUUGUAAAUUAAUACGCAGUCAACUCGAGUUGAGUUUUCCAACGUAAAAUUAAACACUUGUAUUGCCAAACAUAAACUAGAGAGCUGAGAAUUUAACGCUCUAUAUAAAACGCUAUAUAAUGACGUUAAAAAAUAAAAAAAUACUUUGAUAACUAAUUGGAAAAAAAAAAAAAAUACAAAUGCAUUUGAAAUUCACUUAAUUAAACCUCGUGUUUAUUUAUUUUUGUUUUUUAUAUUUUAUAAUUGUUUUGUUUAUAACAUAGAUAAAUAGAAUAUUAAACUGGUAUUCGAAUGUUUCGUUUGUAAUUGUAACGCUAAAACUGUGUUGUCAGUUUCAAAUUCAUAAUUAUCAUUAUUACAUAUUGAAAUACUGAAAUUAAAAAAAAAAAAAAAAAAAAAAAAAAACAAAUUAAAUUAUUCAAUAAAACAUUUGAUCGGAUGAUAUGUUUAAUUGGUAUCUAAUGGGGAUAAAUCGCAUAUACUACACGCAGACACACGCCGAUUCUAUUAAUUCAUUCGAAUUAUCCGAAACAACGAUGUAAAAGCCAGUCGGUGAACAAUCGUAUACACUAUCCAUAAUCGACAGUGAUAUUAUGUUAAGUGUGUAGGUAUUUUUAUUUUAAUUUUAAAUACACUAACCAUCACAGUGGUCUAUUGCCCUCGACACGGUAUUAAAUAUUGUUGUAUCAUAAAAUACUGUUGACUUAUUAUAAGACAUCGCGUAACGUCUCACGUCCGAUAACGGAUACACGAACAAAAUAAUAACGUUGCACAGGUAUACGUUCGUUCACGGGUAAAAAGCAAAUUUGUACCUAGUCGUUUAAUGGCAUAAUUACAAUAUACGAGGUCUUACAUAAAUAAUUUAUACGAUACGAUUAUGCUAAUGUACCGCCGUACAGUAAUUAUACUCGCGAAGGAAAUGUUUUUUUUUUUUCUGUUUUUAUCAGUACCUAGUUAAUUGAAGACACACGAAUAUUAUAAAAAAACAAAAAAGUAUAUAUAUUUACACUUAUAAAUAAUAUAAACAAAUCUAGACGCCACCGUUUACACUAUAUAUUAUUAUAAUUAACGUUCCUGUUAUCUAUACCUACUAAAAUAUUACAAUUAUUCGCUUCAAUUUAUUUGUUGUAUUAUUAUAUAGUUAACCUACAAAAAACCGUUUUUUUUUUUUUUUUUAAAUGUCAUGGCAUAGUUACCUAUAUUAUUUUCAACGCAAUUAAAGUUUUUCCCGAGUAAUUACUUUGUUGUUAGGUGUUCAAUAUUUUAUUUAAUGUAAAAUAUUGCGAAACGACAAAGACGCGUUUAUUUAUAUUUACGAACAACAUUGCAUUUACUUACUUGUACCCAGGGUAUUUAAAUAUAAAUGUUUUUUUCUUUUUUCGUUAUUCCGUACAAAAUGACGGUGUCAUACAAACUAUAAUAUUAUGAUGAAUAAUAGAUGAAACAACCGAUGUUCCAUGUGAUAUAAUGCAAAUUGUUUUUUUUUUUUUUUUUUUUUUUUUUAAAACAGCUACAGUUUGAAACUGCAGGAAUAUAAUACAGCGUAACCGUAUUANNUAUUAUAUAGUUAACCUACAAAAAACCGUUUUUUUUUUUUUUUUUUUUUUAAAACAGCUACAGUUUGAAACUGCAGGAAUAUAAUACAGCGUAACCGUAUUAGUUUCGAUGACGUUCGCUUUAAUAUUAAUCGAAAUUUAAAUAAAAACUCGCAUCGAGCAUAUGUGUAUAUAGGUUAGGUGUGUUAACAUGAUAAUUUAUCGUAUUAAAACGUAAAAAAAAAAAAUAAUAAUAAUUCACACAAUUAAAAUUGAUUCGUAAUAUUAUUAUAAUAUUGUUUAUUAUAUUUUGUUAAAAUCGGUAAAUAUAUAAUUAAUUGCAAUACGCAAUAUUAUAUUUGAUUUCAAUUAAAUAUUUCUGGUUUCUAAUAAUUGACACCAUCGCCGGAUAUGUACGACGGACUCGCGAUAAUAUUGUUAACGAAUAUUGAACAAACGGCUAUUAAAAACAAUUUUCAUAGAAUUUUACUCGAACGAUAUGUUUGGUUCCGAAAAGUCUACAUUAUUGUAUAAGCGAGUUACCGACCACACACUGCAUUCUGAUUGGACUACCUGUUAUUUACAAUAUUAUCCACGAACCACCAUUUCGUAUAAACGCCCAUAUAGUACAAUAUAAUGUAAAUUACCGCAAUGUAACGAUUUUGUUAUUGUUUAGGACGUCCCUUGGUCCGAAUGCAUUGGUAGUGCCUAAACGAAAUGAUCCGAACGAUCAAAAUAAUCCUAUAAUGAUUCUUUGUGACCGCCGCAUUGUGUUUAAAUAUUUUAUCCCUGCGGUGUUUAUCGUAUAAAUAAAAAAAUUAAAACGACGGACUUUUCCAGCGGUUCUUGACAUUUGUAUAUUUCGUUAUAAUAUAGUUAAAAUUUAACAUCUGGGUCUAUACUCCCAACACCUCUUUACAUGUAUGAAUCACGAUUAGGUGAUAUGAAAAAUGUAUUCCAAUAUUAAACACGUACGGGGUCUGAUUAAUGAAUUUGCCACCAGUAGGCUGGGGUUGAUUGUUUUAAUUUUUUUUACUUAUCAACAAAUUUCACUGAUACCCUCCCUACCAAUUCUUCCAUACCCUUUCUCCUCCAAAAAAAACGUUUGGCUACCCGUAUGGUCACUGCAAAUAGUUGUGAUACAAGUUUGAAGUUAAUUAAUUUAAAAACAAUGUUUUGUUGUGUCAUCCCCACCAUUUAAGGCUGCAGCCUUUUCAGCCGAUUGGUUAAUCAGGCCUUUUAUUCGCGUGUGUAUAUUAUUAUUAUAAUAUUUUCAAUAAUGCUGUGCGCUAUUUUUUUUGGGUGGAAUUAUACUUUGUACUGUCACGUUAUCAGAAAAAAAUAACGCAGUGAAAUGAAGAAUCCGGUUUUUUUUUUUAUCUAUUUCGUGAGCCUUUCGUAUUCCUCUUGUUUCAGAUUUUUUUUUUUAAUUUUUAAAACAUUUUUUUUUUUUGCGUGUUUUAUUUCGUUGGGGCGACCCACAGGUUAGAAAAAUACGGUCUGUUUAAUACCCAUACUGAUAAGCUGGAAACCAUUGAAAUAAUAAUUAUUAUAUGCAUUUAGAGAAACUUCAAACGGUAUUAAGUCAUAGUAUUUAUUAGAAAAUGUUUACAUCUAAUGUGAAUAUUAUAAUGUUUUAUGGAAUGUAAAGAAAUCUUUGACUACGUAAUAAUUAUUAUUCCUAUUAAAUAAUGUUCGUUUUGAAUUACUCUAUAGAGUGUGAAUUGUAAACUGCUAUAGGCAUUCGAAAUUCGUUCGUAAAACAUUACACGAAAUAACGGUAAUAUUUUCUACUCGAAUAGUUUUUUUAGUUAUUAUUUAUGUAUUUAUUGUAUAUAUAUUAUAUAUAUAUUUUUUUUUUGUACUAUUGUAUACGCCUCAAAUAUCCUUAAAGCUCGGCCAGCCGUGACAACCGAUUGGAAGGUAUUCCCAAAAGUUCCUCGACAAAUACAUUUUAUAUAAAGACGGAGAUCUUGAACUAUAUAUAUAUAUAUAUAUAUAUAUAUAUCGAUUUCGCUAUGGCAGAAAAACUAAUUUGUUUCCUAUAGUAUAUCACAAAAUAGAUUAAAACCUGCAGGAAUUCUAUUAACUCGACACUUUUUUUUUUUUUUGUUAACAAUCCCUCUGCAUUACAGUUUCUAACAAAUGAAUUUAAGAAAAGCUUCAAUAAAUGUAUGUAUAGUACUGUUUUAAUUUACUUUGUAAUGUAGAAAUUCUAUUAUUUAGUUUUUAUAUUUUUGAAAUCGCGAUGAUAGAAUUAUAUUAUUUAUAGAGAAAUAAAAAAAAAAAAAAAAUCCGCUGGUAUAGGAUAUAUCCGUAAUGAAUUUAUCCGUUUCUAUUGUAUAGAUAUUAACAGAAUCAGAACUAUCAUUAUAAUAGAAUCGUAGGUACUUCAGAUAUUAAUUAGUGAAUUAUAUGAAAUAAGAUUCUACCACACGUCUCCACUUCUUUGUUUUCUUUCCUGGAGUUUCUUUGUUCUUACUUUUUUUUUUUCUGAAACACAAUUAAUUAAAAAAAUAAUAAUAUAAUUACGCGUUUAAUCCUAAAAAUAAUAAUGUCCUUUGGCAGGUAGAUUUAUUUUAAAAUGAUAAGGAUGGUUAAAAAAUAAAAAAGAAAAAAAUAAUACCUAUAAAAAUAAACUCAACCAUCUAAAUAUUAAACUAUAUAAGCAUAUAUUUUUAUCGAUUGUUGUAAUUUUAAUCUGAAAAUAAAACCAAAUUAAAAAAUAAUCUUUCGUGCUCUCUAUAUUAUGUAAUAUUGGAACACAAAAAACCUUGGUAAUGUAGUAGGUAUAUUCGACUAUUGUUUUUUGUCAAGAUAUUACGAGCUUACUUUGUUUUACUCGGUAAAAAUUGAAUUUCACGAAUUAAAAAAAAAAAAAAAAACCAAGAUCAUAAAAUAACGCUUCAAAUAAAAUUUAUUGGAAUUUUAAGUUUUGUUUGGUUUUUUCUUUUUGUACCUAUUCUAUUUUUGCAUCUAUUCCAAAUAAUUUUCAAGUUUUUUACCGACCGUUUAAAAUGUUAAAGGAACAUUUUUUUUUUAGUGAGGAGUAGGGAGGGACAAGGACGAAAUAUGUUUAAUAGAUGCAAACUUAAAUAAGUUAAAAUUAUUUAGUGUCCUGUUGCAUUUACUCGUAGUUUCCUGCAAUUAGAGAUAUAAUACACUACUUCAGGUCAAAUGCUAAAUUUGUUUACAAAAAAGUAAAAUAAAAUUUUUUGUUUUACUACUGUUCUAUCUACUAAACGUAUAGUUUGUCAACUAAAAUCAUGGAAUAAAUAUGUUUUGGUGUGUCUGGGUACCCGGACGCUCGUCUAGAUAAUACGAACGCGGACCACAGCAAAUAUGUUAACGAAAAAUAUGUAUCAAUAUGAUACUUUUUCCAAAACAAUAUACAAUAAAUCAAAAAUAUACAAAAAUCAACAAUAAAUUAUAGCUUAUAACUGCCGAGCAAGAAUAUAGUUAAACAAAAUAUUUUAAUACGGUUAAUAUGGAGAGGAUUAAGUCUCUAAGCUUCCCUCCACUACAUACACAUAUGAUAUUUUGUAAUUUUCCUAUACAUAUCAUUGCAGUUACAAUAGAUGAAAUAGGCGCAAGUCUUUUAUCGGGUACCGAACCUAAUUUUUACGCGCAUUGUAUUUGGUCAGACCUCAAUUUCAUUGUAUUGAACCACCCCACGGAGCCUCCGCGUUUGUACGCACGACAUCAAAAUAUAUACUUUAUAUAUUAUAUUAUUAAAAUUAUGAUGGAAAAAAUAAACGGUUAUUUUCAAGUGCAGGGUGUAGGCUUUUAUUUUAGUCCCUUUUCGGUGUAUAGAGUGGAGAGAUUUACGUUAUUAUAUUAUAUUUUUGAAUUUAUUUUUAUUGCGUUAGAAAAAAAAAAAAAAAAAAAAAAAAAAAAAAACAAAAACAAUAAUUCUGAAUGGAAUUGUUAAUAUUACUGCGGGUUUUUCGGGAAUAACACAUUAUACAUUGUGAAUACAUUUAAAAAAAAAAAAAAAAAAAAAAAAAAAAACAAAGAAAAAAAACCUUUUUUGCAAAACAAAUUGCCUAAUGGUACUCACCAAAAAACUAAAUAUAAUACCAUUCGUUUCAUGGCCUACGGUUUAAUCCAUUUAUAUACACAAUAAUAAUAAUUUGACUAUAAGUCGAAAAUAUCGUUCUGAAUUAAUAUCGUCGGGCGGUCGAAAAAAGUGAAUAUACAAAAUGUAAAAUAUUCUAGUAACAGUAUGUAGUAGACGAUUGUAUACAAAUCUUUUGGAAAUUUGAAUUAUCAAUAGCGAGGGUUUAAUAAUAGUUUAUGAAUAUUUUUGACUGGAUAUAAAAUAAAUUUCAAUAAUUGCAAUACGCUUAUGAAAUAAAAAAAAAAAAGGCCGUGUUUAUAAAUAAUUAUCGAUACGUUUACGUUACCAUUGAAUAUUUUACGAGUAACCAUGUGUGUAUCUUGAGUUUUGUCAUCUAUACCUAGCCAUAUCUAUCUAUAUAUAUGUACACCAACCAAAAAGUGUUAAUCAAAUAUUUCAAAUUGCUGUAAAUAUCUCAAAAACGACAUAAUUCUAUAACAACUAUAACAAUAAAAUAAAAUAACGUACACGACGUAAUUGAUAAUAUUUCGGACCCUGGAAAUUUCUUGGCGAUUUCUCGAAAAUUCUUAUUUGAAUGUGAAAUGUUCGUAAUUUCCCAAUGAAAUGAACCUGUGCGUUGUUUCAAUAACCGGGAUACGAAUACCGAUUAUGAAAUUUUAAUUUGCAUCCCAAACACAUAGCAUAUUGCAUUAUCAUACCUACGUAUAUAUUUCGUUCGAUUAUUAUUUUACUUUAGUUAUAUUAGUUCAAAUAAUAUUAUAGUACACAAAUUAUUGAUCUUUUAGUUUAUUCAUCGUGCAAAUAUGCAAAGUAUACUAUUACUUGAAGUAUUACGUUCAUUUUGUUUUUGCCUUUCAAUGUGCAAUUUAUUAGCAACAAACCGCACACGAAACAUUUUAAUAAUAUUAUUACGGGUAUCGGAUUAUAUAAAACAGUUUGAACAAUUAUUUUCCCAAAAUAUCGGGUCGCCCAUUUAAUAUUCGUGUUGUUAUUAGGUAUCCACCGAAAUCUGCAUAUCGUGUUUCGUUACCAGCAACGCAUUGCAGAUAAGUUAAAGUGCACCGCACACAGAAGAGCAUUUAUAUUAACGGAACGGCGGAAAUGUUAAACCUUGUUAAAAAUAUGUCAAAUUCGUUAUCAUUAUUAAUGAACAUAAUACGAAUACGAGACAAUCAGAGGAAAUACGGAAUAAUAUUAAUUGUGUAAUAGAUUGUACUCGUGACACGGUCGUUAAAAUGAAAACGUUGUCCUCGUCGUAGUACCUGAACCGUAUUAUUUGUUUACAUUAAUAUCAAAUUGUUUUGAACGGUAUUUGAUGGAUAUUGAAGUCUUCAACAUCAGUAGCGGUUAGCCUAUAUACGAUCCGGGCGAGUUUAAAAUUUAAUAUUCAACAGCUGAAAAGAGAAGACAAAUAUUACAUUUAAGGUCUUCGACUUUGUCUAUUAUUUACAGCGUUAUAUACGUUAUUUACGAUUUGUAUUUUAUCGAGAUACUUCAUAAUGUUUCGGUGCUGUUAUCUUCGUUGAGGGUUUCUUAUAAUUUAUUAAGUCGUUUCUUAUAUUUUAAUGUUGAUUCUCAGAUGUGUUGGAUGAAUAUAUAUUAUUAUUUUAGUUUAACGAUAUCAUUUCAUCCGAGUGUAGUGGUUCUUUGGUGACAACGACGCGCGAUUUAGUUCAAUCGACGUAUCAUCUUCUUACAGUAACUUUUCGUAGUCAUUUUAAAUGCUUGAGAAUAGGGUUUUAUUCGGGCAAUGAUUUUAUUUUUUUACUAAAUUUUCUCACAUAAAAUAUUUUAAAGGUGUUUGUAUUAUGAUGUUUUAUAAUAAUAUAUAAUUCUCUAUUAAAAAAAAAAAAAAAAAUGAUUUAUAAUGCUUACGGGGGGGUGGGCGAGACCAAUACCCUACUCGAGGUGUUUCUUUCCUGAAACGUCUCCAUCCUUCCCAUUAAAUAUUCGAAAAUACACCCUUGUGCAUGAUGCACGCGCUUUUAAAAGCAUUUAUAAUUCAAUAUAGUAUGCUCGGCACAGGAGGUGCACACAAACCUAUAUUACAUUCCUAACAUCAUACUCCAAAAACUAUCGUUACUCAUUAGUUAAGACGACACGCGUUAUAAACGCGCUUCCCAGAGAACAAUAAUAAACUGAUAAUAUUAUAAUUAUUAUUAUGUUUUCAAUUUAUACAAUAUUAUACGGGAAAAAUAUGGGAAACGCAACGUGUCACACUGAAUAACUCACGCACGGUCAUUAGUAUUGAUACCCGUGAUAGGUGUAUAAUAAUAUGUGAAUAAUUUCAUAUUUCCUCUAUUAAAUUUUUAAAAACAUUAGUGACCGUCUAAUGUUCAAUCAGCGUAGAUAAAACACGCCCUGACUAAUUCAUUAUAAAACGCAGCCAAAAUCGAUCGGCUUAAAAACUUUUUGUACAUCGGUUCCUUAUGUUUAUAAUAUUUGGGACGUGCGAUUCUGUAUCUGAAUUGUACCUUCGAUACUCGUAAUGGUAUCGAAUUUUCGAGAUAAUGUAUGUUAUCGAUUUUGAUAUUUUAUUAUGUUAAAAUGAUAGGGGAUAACGUGAUAAUCAUGUCGUGGUCCUAAUAUAUAUAUGCGAUUAAGUAAAUCAGUAACUUUGAUUUACGUCUUAAUUUUCAUAGUUACUCACCGGCAAAAAAAAUUAUUUUAAAAAUGUAAUAUAUGCAGCGUUAGGGACGGCGAUGGGACGGGGAUAGACGUUUUUAUUUUUUUACUUUUUUUUUCCGUUCCAUACAGGCUGACCGCGGGCAAAGCCGUGAGGGACAGCUAACUAUAAUAGAUUGUGCCCAAUUAUUUUCCGAGAUAAACUUUGAAAUUACUUAAUCGAUUUUCAUAAAAUUUUCGUCAAUCUAUUCACAAAAAUCCGGUGUGUCACAGACUACGAGUAUAUAUAAUUUUUCAAAAUGCCCCGAUAAUGGUUUUUUUUUUUUGGUAAUUUUGGUAUGAAAAUUUAAGUAUUUUUGUUAUUUUAAGAUAUGAUACGUACAUUUCGGAAGGUCGUUUGUUUUAGACUGACCAAACAAGGGGGCAAAACCUGGCUAAUAAUAGUUAGAUUUUUUUUAAAAUAGUAUUAUCUUUGGUAUAAAUAGAAUUCUUAUCAACGGCACUAUAUUAUUAAGAUAUUUUCGGAAUAUUCUUUAGUUGUCACUAACGGCUGCGUAAAAACUGCCUAAAACAUAAACUUGUAAAGCGAUUUUAUUCAUUUUCAUCGAUUUUACCAUAAGAUACGUAAACACGCCAAAGAGUCGUGAAGUUUGGCAGAACUGGAAAAUGAUAUAUUACUAUACGCGUCACCAGUAUUAUAAUAAUAAUAUAUUUUUACAUUUUUUCCUCCCUUCUUUUUAACGCGGUUUUUAUAGUUAAUUUUGAUAAAAAAUAUAUUUUUCUAAAUCAUAAAUUUCAUUUUUCCAAUUCAACUUUAGGAAAGACUGGGGCUGGUUGUCACGAAAGAAUCUGAUUUUUGAUUUUUGAAGAAACCGGGUUAAGAAUUAUAGAUUUUAUGUAUCAUUUAUAUUUUUGUAAAAAAAUUAGGCUUUAUUUUUGUAAAUAAUUAAGAUUCUGAUUUUAAAUAGCUAUUUACAACAAAAAAAUUUAUCGGAGCAGUUUUUGUAACAAUCGACCCAAGUUCUGGGUUUGUUGUCAUGGAUUAUUUGAAUGGGGGAAAAUGUAAAUGUUUAAAUAAGUUUUAUUAAAAAUACAUAAAAGGUAAACAAUUGAAUAUAACAUAAGAGUAUAACAAUACAGACUUCUACCUAGGUCGAUGAAAUUAGAUAUAAACACUUUAGUAGGAAAAUAAGUAUAAAAAAUGAAAUUUAAAAUCUGAUUGCAUAAUAUUCAUAAAAACCAUGCCAACUCACUAGGAAACUAAUGUCAUAUGAUAAUUGAAACUAUGAAAUACUUAUUUAUAUAUCUUCCUAUGAAGCUGAACUGUAUUUGAGUUAUGGGUAGGGAUAGUAGGUUUAUUUCACACUUAAUUCAAAUCCGUUAUCCGAUUUCAUAUCACUUCAAUAAAUCAAAAUCAACAGAACUGAUUAGUCUAAAUUACCAUGUGUUUUGUAUAUGAUAGUAGAGACGACUAAUCGAAUACCCUUAAAAUACUUUAUGUUUAAACAGUUCUGUAACUGUACCAUUAUGAUCGGAGAAAAAAUAAACAAAAUUUGUUUAAAAUCCUUCACUGAAAAUGCUGGAUAGUGAUAAAAGAAAAUCCACUCUGUAUAGUUAUUAUAAUAAUUGUACUCCAAAGAAACAAAUAAUAUUAUUAUCAUUGGCAAUCAAAUUCGAAGUAUAGAACAAAACAGAAGUUCCCUAUAAAUAAUACUUUAUUAUAAUAUAAUAUUAAACAGGUAGGUAUAGAAAUUUACAAUGUGUAAAUAAUAUUGUAUUCCAGAAAUAAGUUCUCUUUAUUAAUAUAAAAUUAAAUAAAUUUUCAAUGCGAUUUUAAUAAUAAUUAUGAUGCAACGUAUAUAAUACUUGUACAUCAGUAUUUUAUUUAAUUAUACAUCCACGAUUUCUGAAAUUGAAUGCGUAUAAUUAAUGAAAUAUUAUAUCGACGGAAUAUCAAAAAGGUUUAAAUGAGAUUUCUACUGCAGAAGCACGUAAUUUUCUUCAAUUGUCAAUUUCAAUGAUAAUAAUUAUAAUUAGUUUUUUAUAAUAUAAAAUGCCCAGUGAAUAAAAAUCCAGAUGAAAAAACACAGUUAAUUAAUAAAUUGAAUGUGAGAGUGUAAUGGAUCAUCAUUUGUGUGGCGGUGCCGCACACUACGUUUGAGUAGUGCUCCUCUACAACGAUUCCCUUAUAAAACGACAAACCUAAAACGGAAAUACGCCCUCGGUUGAUAGAAAUUGAAAUUCGGAAUACCACCAUGUAUUUAAACUAGAUAUGUAUGGUAAUUUUGACUUAGAUUCCUAUUAAAAGAAUCAAAAUUUAAUAGUGGUUUUAUCCUCCAAAAAUAAGGUGGUUGAACAAAAAGAACUCAAGAGUAACAUUUAAGAGUUGUUUAUUGCUUCUGAAAAUUUUUUCAAAAUACAAAUUCCAAAAAACUCCUUCCAGAAUAACAAGUAUCCAAUGUUUUGUCAAUCAGUCCAUAUACUAUGAGGGAAUCGAUUACGAUUUUAGGGAGAGAAGCUGCCUCAAUGAAUAAGGUCAUAUACAUUUUUACCAAUUUCUAAUCGCCAAAUUAUAAUAAUUUGUCAUAUCGCCUGCUGCAAAGAAAAAAGGUCUUAUCUUUCGACUUAUAAUCUUUAAAAUCUUUUUGAAAGAAUACGACCUUUUCCACGAGCGGUUUCGUUAAAAAAAACAGAGACCUCUUAAAGAUCCGUAUCGGCCUGAAUCGAGAAACGACCCGUUUCGCUACAGCAAACGAUACGAAACACUUAAAAUGUUUAAAGUAUCAUACACCAUGUAUGCAGUGCGGCUGUUUGUACGGCGACGAAAUGUAGCCGUGGCGCUCGUGUCUAAAGACCGAAAAAGCGUCGGUGACAACAUCAACGGGAUACAAUUAGUAUUAUAGUGUUAUUCUAUCGUAUAGUAGACACGGCAGAUAUAAUAAUACGCGUUGUGAUGCGGUAUAAUGACAACCGAUGACGGCGGUGUGUGACGAACUCUAUUUUGAUUUGUUUAUUUUUUUUUUUUUUCCAAUAUACGCGGCCUUUCUUUCGCGUUGACGAUGAACGAAAAUUUACUGUCGAUUUCCGCGUUUUUCCGUUUGAAUAUAAUCGGGUAAAAUUUCGCGUGGUAAAGACAAUAUUAAUAUUAUUGUACAAUAUUAUAUAAUAUUAAUAUUAUGCAAUACGAUUGUUGCAGUUUAUAUGUACGAAGAUUUGAUUCAGCCAUUUGAAUUGUGUGACAACGAUCGUCGAAAAGCGUUAAAAUUGACAUCAUCGGCUUUUGUGACGUUUUACAAGCGCAUCUGAUUCUAUUGAUUGCCCUACAGAACUCUGCGUUAUGAUGUAAUUUUUAUUUUUUAAGCGAUGUCGCAAUGGAACGAAAAAAGGAACAACUUGACGGACUUUUUAAAAAAGCUGCAUAGGAUUUGACUUUCAUAUUUUUGAUUAUUACCACUGUUAAAUUUCAAAAAGUUUUUGUUAAUAUUUGCCACACUAGACAAUUACUGACAAAUCUGUACUUGGAUUUAAUUUUGACCCUUCAUAUUUCCUUAAAAUUCUCGGGACAUCUACAGUUUUUCAGGUAUAAUUUAAUUUUUACAUAAUCCAUAUUAAAUUGUGCAUUUCUCUAUCAACCAUUAUUAUAUCAUCAUAAAAAAGAAAAAAUAUUCACCAACCCACUUUCCAACGAAAUGCUCAUAUUUUAUGUUCAUUAAAAAAAUCGCCAAUUACACGGAAAAUAUAAUUUUCAAAAACAGCGGUCACAUCAAUACGAACAGUAUUAUAGACGAUCUACAAAACCAGAUGUACUCAAGAAAAAUUAUAGAACUCAGUGAUAUCAAUAUUAUAGUUCUUCGAAGCGCAGUCGAUACGUAAUUAAAACAGUCCCGGAAUAUUUUGGUGACAACUUGUAUGAUAAAUAAUUGAAUCUAGAUAUCUAGAUAUAAUAAUUUAGGUUAUAAAAUAUUUGUUUACACAGCAUAUUGCGGUAUUUUUAUAUCUUGGUGUAUUAUUCUGCUACCAAUUUACAAAAAAAAAAAAAAAAACUGUAAACGGGUAGAAAAUAAAUGACAGGUAUUUUUGUCAAUAACAAAAAUUUAGAAAACACGUUAUACUUACUAUUACCUCGAUUUUCCUUUAUGCAAUUAUAUUAAUUGGGUACUACCGUUCGAAAGUACACUGGGUAAACAGUUUCUCGAGCGUAUACCAUAAUAUUAUUAAUGUACUUAACGAAAAACGACGUUUUGUCACAUUAAAUUGCCUGCGGUUAACUUUAUUUUCCAAUUAUUUUUACAAUGUGUAAAUUAGGCGAAAACCAUAGAAUUCUAUUGGUAAAAUUUUUUGUUGUUGUAAAAUAUAUAAUUUUAUGGUUCUACAACACAACGUUUACGAAUACCAGGAUUGAGUAGAAACCUGGAAUGAACUAAUCUUGAUAGAAGUAUAAAUCUGGACCAUGAAGUUCUGGAAACUCCGGAUUGGUACACUACACGAUUUUACUAUUAUUGAAAUCUAAACCAUACAAUCCGGAAAAGUAAAAUAUUUGAAAUUUAACGAAAUUAUACAAUCAUCUGACUAUAAGUUUGAGUACUCAGUGACCUAUGUGGUUUUGAAUUAAUAAUAUAUCGGUAAAUCGCUGUAAUGUAAUUUAUUCAUUCUACUAUGAUGUUUAAUUUUUUUCUUUGUCUACGUGGAAAUUGUCUACCAGAAUUAUUUCAUAAACCAAAAAAACGUAUAAGAACUCGUUUGUAGCAUUCUGGAAUUUUAAUUGAUAUAUUCAGAUGGUAAUUUGUUUUUUAUCUUUGUAGAUUUUCCUUGAUCUUUCCUUGAUUAUGAGAAACACCCAAAACAAAAAACGGUAAAUUUACGUAAUAAUGUUAUUGAGGAUUUUAUUUUUUUUGUUCAAAUCUAUUAUAAAUAUUCGUAGAAAAUUAAAGUUUCCCCAGAAUGCAUAUUUAAUUUUUUAAUAAAUAAGCUUUUUCUUGGCAAGGCAAAAAGACGGAGGUGACUUUCUGGAUUCAAUAUUUUUAUUUUGUUACAACACAAUAUCAUAUUGAUUAUUUGGAAUAAAAAAAUUAAAAUUUACUUUUAUAUCUCAAACCUAAUCCAUCAUAUUAUACACCUGUUAAUUGUUAUUAUUAUUUAAUAUUAAUAUUUUUGUUUCGUAUAACUUUAUGUUUUUCGAGUGUCUGAGCAUACAGUGAAAUACAUUAGUUUUACUAUGAUGUGUGUUUUUUUAUACUAUAGAUCUUGAGCGUAAUAAUGAACGAAUUGAUUUUAUUAUUGUGUGUAAAAGUGAAAUCAACCAUAACUGCUAUUAGAAUAAUCUUAAUCUAACAUAAUAUUAUAUUCUUUAUAGUGUUGUAUAAUGCUAUAUUUUAUAUGCGUGUAGACGUAUAUAUAUAUUUAAACAGGUUAGCCCGAAGGGUUAUCUUUAUGCUAAUAAUUCUGUCAAUAUUCAUAUUUUUCAUUUUUUUUUCAAUCAGGUUUUGUGCGAGGGAACACAUGUGUAGAGAAUAAUUGUACUUUUAAUUUCAUCCCUUAAUUAUUGUAAGAAAAUUAUUUUUAUUUUAUUACAUUUCAAAAUAUUUAAAAUCGCUAUUUUGUAAAAGAUUUCAAACUUAAAAUUUUAAUGUAACCUAUAUUCAUAUCCGGUCAAUUAUUUUUUAAUAAAAGUAGUUUUAAUUUCUAGGAAAUUGGAGUGAAAACGAUUAAUUUCAGUAGAAUAACACGUAAUUGUGAUAAGGAAUCACAAUCAACACGGUAAUUCUUUGUCUUCUGUUGAAAAUUUAUUUUCUACAUAUGUGUCCCCCUCACACAAAGCCCGAUUGAAAAAAGAGAUGAAUAAUGAACUAAGAGAGUUAUUAUUUAUUAUUUUAUUAAUUAUUAAUUAUCAAAUUUUGGAUUCUGUGUGGAACGAGGAAUAUAUUGAUUUUACAUAGUUUUUUUUUUUUUUUGUGAACACUUUUUCUACCUAAAAGCAUAUUCCGAUUAUCGAGUAUAGCUCGUAUUUUAAAGGAAAUAUUUUCUGGGUGGUACUUUAAUGAGGCAUUUUUUUGAAAUUAUUAUUAACAUUUGAGAUAGUGAUAAAAACCUUGAUCUAUGGGUUAAAAAAGUUUGAAAGAUUAAAAUUAUGGUUGUCAAUUUAUUUAUUUUUUGUUAUUAUUAAGUUUUUAUUUUUUUAAUCUUUUUUAAACAAUCAUUCUUGUCAUAGAAACGCACAUUGUUGCAAUCAUUUUACCAAAAUAUUAUGCCAUAAAUAUAUUGUUGACAAAGCAACACCAUCAGCUGAUUUCUGUUCAGGGUCAUUUUAUCAUUAUUAAUUGUUUAUCGUUGCUCACAGAUAUACAUUAAAUUCCCGUCUGUAUACUACCUUCCCUACUUUCCAUCUACAAUAGUGGCUGCACCCACGUACAAAAUAUGUUAAUUUUUUUUUUUAAUAUCAGUGUUUAUAAAAUUAAUAUUUUUGAUGUGAAUUUUUUUUUUUCAGGUAAGAAUUCAUACCUACAGUUUAAUAUUAUAAUAAUUAUCAUUAAGACUAGGACAACUGCUUGUUAUCAUCGUCAACGAGUAAGUGUCAUUUUAAAGAAUUUUAUCGUAUUAUUUAUAGGUGUUCUAGUAAUUUAUUUACUAUAGAAUAUGUGGGCAUGCAAUGUUAUUGGUAAGGUUAGGUACACUUGCAAUAAUUUAUUGUAAGUUCGUAAAACGCGAUAAGAACAAAAACACGUUUCCCUCGACGCUGUUUUCUUUAUUGCCAUAAUAUUAAAACCUAUUGAAAUUGUCAGGUUUAUUAAAAUUUUAAUAUCAAGUUUGAAACUCCGACGAAAGUUUGCUUUUAAUAUGCCACCGCGCACGGUUGUUAGUUUAUCAUUAUUUAUGUGCGAACAAUUUACGCGUUUUCUCGUUAAAUUUAAAAUCAAUAACCCUGCCACUGAAUAUUAUAAUUUCGUAUCAGUUAUAACAAUUAUUAUCAUAUCGAAGACUGGAGGGUUGUUAGUGAAGUAAUAGAUUCUAUUUAAUUACAAGUAAGUUAUAUGCCCGUCAUACAUGAUGGGUUAUAACGGCCAUUGAAAAGUUUAAAAUAGUUAGUUAAAAUCCAAAUACUAAAAAUCUUUAUGACGAACAAUUUUUUUAGACAUGAAAUUUAAUUUGACAAAAGUUUAAUUUCGUCGUUAAAAUUAAAACAAUAAUUAAUGCGUACAAAAACUACGCACUGACUUAAAUAUAGUCUAAAAUAUAAAUGCUAUAUAAAUGAUUAAAGAUCAAGUGACAAUAGUUUACUUUACGUCAAUUGCACUCUUCCGAUAAAAGUCGACUGAAAUGAUCAAUACAUUUUUGUUGUUCAUUUAAUGUGUAAGAAACUGUGGACACUAUAACACUAAGUUUCGCUGCAGUCAUAAUUGUUACAAAGAAUAAAUUAUAAAUGUGUGGUACUUAGAUACGUGGGUUCAUCUACUAUUAUUUGUCAAAGAGGAUGUCAUACCCUUAUAUCUUACUAACAUCAGAAAAUGACGUUAUUAAUGCUGAGUCGCAUAAAAAUCAUUCCGUUAAUGUUUAACGAAUAAUUAACUAAUGGCUAAUUAAAUAUUUAAUGGUUCAGUAAAUCACUGAUUAGUUUCAAAAAAAAUGUACAAACUAUUCAAGGAGAACAAGUAAAUUUUUAAGGAUCAUUUAUGCAAUCCAGUAAUAUAACAUUCAUUUUUCCGUUUUUAUUGAAAUUUUAGAUAUAAAAAACAACUAACAUACCUGUAACUUUUUUCUCUAAGAAAAAAUCUACAAUUAAGACUAGCUCUCGAACAUAAUAUUUUCCUCUUAUAAUUUUUAAUUAUUAUUAUUAUUAUUUUAAUUCCCCAAUUUCAAUUCAAAUGUCACAACUAACGUUUUUAGGAUAAGAUAUAAAAAGUUUCAGACAGACGGGUCUGGUAUUUUAUAUUUCUGGCUCACGAUAAAAUGAUGACUUUGUAUUUUUAUUGUUUUUCAUUUUUACCGUUCAAUCAAUAAACUAAUAUUAUUUUAGUAAGUUAAGGAUGAGAUAAGCGAUCCACAAUACAAUAAAUUUAAUAUCUUUAAGAUAGUUGUAGUCAAAUUCCACGAGUUUCUCUAAUUAAAUUUGAAAUUUUGUUUAUAUUUGAAUGACUAGACAUUUUUCACUAAUCUAGUGUUCGGUAGUUUUCGUAUGGAAAGAGACACCUUCGUACAAAUAUGACGUUUUAGACCGAAAAGCCCGUUAAAAAUGUUCACAUUAAGUUUGGUGGAUUUUAAUUUUUAGAACGAUUUUUUAUUGGUUAUUAACGGUAAAGUUGUCUAGGUUACUGCGAAGACGGUUUUAAGUAUCUGUUUUAUUCACCCGUGAUAUUGAAGAUCGAUAUUUAUUUUUAAAUUACAUUUUUUACAUCGCAUAUAAAAUUGCCAUAAUAUUCGAACAGCUUCCGUCAAUAUCUAAUGAAACAUUACAGAAUAAUUAUACAAUUUAAAUCCGUAGGACUAAUACCCAAUAGGUUUUUUCUGUGUUUACCAUUAAAACUCCACGUUCUAUUUUGUUGACGAGAAGCGGAUUGACGUCCGACAUUAUUUAGAUUCAAUUUCGAAAGAAUAAUAAUUUUUAAUGAGACAUUACACGUGCAUUUGUUGUUUCGUCUUACAAACACAAAAUAUAGUAAAAAAAUAAUUACGCAGACUAUACAGAACUUGAUUAGUUUUGGUUUUAGAGUAUAAUCACUUAUAAUGAAAUCAAUAGAGAAUAAUAUUCCGGAGGGCAGAACGUUGUGUUUUUUGAAAAAGUAAUUUUUUUUUUUUAUAAAGUUUUGGCAAAUGAAAAACAUGCUUAAAAUAUCGAUAUUUAUAAAUAGUAGAUUGACCGAUGUAAUCUGAGAAAAUUGGAAAAAAAUCGCAUCGUCUAGCCCUCCGCGAUAUUUUUUUCUUUGCUUUUGUGUUUUUACUCUUAAACCAAAAUUGAGUGAGUACUGUGCAUUCUGCAUGUGUAUGUUUUGACUAUAUCGUGUGUUUGUAAGACGGAAACCACAAAUGCACGUGUACCGUCCUCUUAACAAUUACGGCUCAAAAUCAACGAUAUUCUAAUUAUGCGUGGGCCUAUUGGUUCGGGUCGCGUGGACAAACAUCGUACUCGAGUGUUCUUUCCGUGCCGUCGGACGGAUUCUAAUGUCUCGAGUCUCGAGAUACGCACGACCGUCACCGCUAGAACACGUUACAUCACAGCAAUUCCGCACUCCCGUUUAAAAUGUAAUUUAUUCGGAUCCACGGUACACGAUGAUAAUAUAAUCUAAUAUAGACCCCGGUUAGACAAUCAAUAACUGACGGGCGUUUUAAUUAAACCGAAACGAUACCCGUUACUAAUAUAAUACGUUUGUCUAAUAUAAUUCGACUCGUGCCGUUCGUUUGUUCGCCGAGAAACGUAACGCCAACGCCGCCAUUGUAAUAAUAAGUCACUGUCGCGGUGUAGUCGUAUUACCUAUAUACCGAAAACCGUCGGCCGUAGAAAUAAUUAUGAUUCAUAGCCCCGCGAUUCUUUAUCUCGUUGUGAAUUAUUUAAUUUCGUCGCCGUCCGCCGCCGACGUCGACGGCGCGGGUAAACCGAUUUCAGCACGGGCACAAAUUAUUGGUGGGAGGAGACUAAGGAAAAUCUAUCUUCCCGGGAAGCUUUCAGUCCGUCCGCAAUACUUUUUAAUAUUAAAUCACUCGACAAACAGUCAAAACGUGUACGAGUUUGUUUCCGUCAAUAUUUCGCAAAAUGUACGGAGGGAGUUGUAUCCCCACUAUCGACUGUGAUAGCAGACAAUAAAUAAAGAUAUGCUCAAGUCGGAUCGAAUAUCUCGACUAUUGUUAUGACUACAGAAUGAUUAUUGUUUUAUAAAAAUGGUGAUAAACAUUAAUUUCUUUAACCCGAAAAUAUCAAAAUUUUCACGGAAGAAUAAUUUGUUUUUUUUUUAUUUUACGAUUCAGCAUGAUCGAUGCCUUAUCAUUUAUGAUAGAAAUAUCAGAAACGAAAAAAUCAAAAGUUUCGAAGAAAAUGUACGAAUCAGACCGAAGUAAAAUUGUACUAUUGGUUUUUAACAUUGAAUAAACAAAAUAAUUACUCAUAAAAGUAUAUUUGAUGUGAUAACUAUAACGGGUAGGGCAAACCCCAUUGAUGCCAAGUUGUAUUUUGCCUAUAUGUAUUCUUGACAGUAUCCUUUUACCUUAUGUAGAUAACUGAAAAAAAAAUUUUAUCUAAUUUAAGCAAUCGAAACAUUUAGAUAAAUCCUUUUGAACCAUAAUUUAUUUAAUAAAUAAUUUUAAUUAGAAAUUAUAGUAAAAUAAUUAAUUUAUAUUGAAAUGAUUUAAUAAAUCAUUAUUAUUAUCUGUGAUUUAUUUGUUGGUACAUUUUAAAACCGAUCGCUAUACAAUUACCACAUAGAUGUUACCCAAAUAUUCGUCCAUACCGAUUCAAACAAUUUCUUCACCCUCACCGCUGAUACUGCCACUUAGCUUCCGAGCAUAUUAGAUGGAGCCCGUAAAAUCAUAAACACAAUUGUAAUUGUAAUUGCCAAUGGGAAAUGAAAAAUCUCCGAGUCGAGGGUCGUAGAUAUUCAGUUUAUGGUAAUUUUUCGAGUGUCCCCUCCCGGUGCGUACGGCGUAAACGUUGUCGUCGUCACCGUCUUCAUUGAUGCCGUACAGUGUAAAACUGCCACAGACGUCGCGGUUUAGGUACAUAGAAGUAUAAUAUAUACCUACGUCACGUCGAGAGUCUGUUUGUCUCUCUCCUGUACGUCUCGUUUAGUCACGUCCUCUAACUCGAAACUACGGCGUUUAGUACAUAUAUAUAUGUGUGUGUGUGUGUGCGUGUGUGUGUGUGUGUGUGUAUAUAGAAGGUAACCACGUAUAGGUAGGUGGGUAUAGUAUGUUCGUCUCGGUCCUGCAGCGCCAGUGUAAAUACAACGACUCUCUUUCGCCAGGGUCAUUCGUCGUUCCGCGGGCUGUUGAUACAACAUGCGUUUUUAAUUAAUAUUUGUUCUUGUCCCUCCACCGCGACUCUUUCUCUUCUUUUAAUUUGAUAUACAACUAUGGUUGUACAGUAGUAGAAAUAGUAGUAAGUAGGUAGUAUUUACCCCGGAAGAGCAAAUACUAUGGCAAGACCAUAUAUAUAUAAAGUAAGUCUACCUAGUUCGCUCAAGUUCUUUAUUUAUUUAUAUGUUUUCAGUUGUUUUUUUGCGACUCCGACAAAAUCGUAUUGCCAAUUUCCAAUAAUAAAUAAUAUAUAUAUAUAUAUAGUAUAAAGAGAGAGAAAGAAAGAAAGCGAAAUCAAAGUAAAGGAAGUGUUUGGAGUACAGUAUAUCGAAGAAGAGGUUGUUCUGACACGUGUAGUUGUAGCUGUUUAUUAUAAAGAGCACGCAGUAUACUAUUAACUAAAAGUAACCAACCAGUUAAUAAACGCUGAAUAGUUCACUUGAUUAUCUUCAGUGUUAUCAAUGUCCACAUCGAGCUUAAGUAAAUAGUUAAAUUAUAGUCAAGUUAAUGGUAUUUUUAUUGGCGACUAUUUUCUUUAAAAGUUAAACAAUAAUAGAAUUUCAGAAAGCAACUUAAUUAAUACCUUAUUGAUUUUAUCUUUGAAUUUUUUUGUUUUUUUUUUUUUUUUUGUUUUAAAUGUUUUAGAUUCAGAGCGUAACGAAGAAUAAUAUAUUGAUUUUACGAUGAUAAGUGUUUUUUUUUUUAUGCCUGUAGAAAACUUUCGUACCAGAAAACUUGCAUCAAUAGAAUAAAACGAACGACAAGUGAACUUUUUUGUUGCAUUUUAGAUCUAGUUUGUGAACAAUUAUAUUGUAUUUUUGAUUUUCCGUGUAAUUUUCUUAAUAAUCGAGGAACACCGAGAACAACCUAGUAAGGCCAAACGGAAAAGUUUACGAAAAUAAUGAUUUUAUUUUUUCGAAUUUUUUUUUUGUUGUUGUAAUUUAAUUAAAGGUCAAUUCGAAGGGACUUAAAUUUUUGAUAAAUAAUUUAUACUAGACUUAUAUAAACAUUUUAUUUAUGUGCAUUUUAUAUUUGCGAGAUUUAUACGUUGUUUUUUUUUCGACAUACAUUAUAUUGAUAUAAUGUUUGACCAACUAGAAAAACUUGAAAAUUGAACAGGAGGUUCAUUGUAAAUUUUACUCAGUGCAAAAAAAAAUGCAGUUGUUUUUUUUAUAAAAUAAAUUUGAGUUUAAAUUUUGAUAAAAAUAGUUAAAAAUACAUUUAAAAACAUGUACAACCGAACUUCGCUUAAAAUCGUUUUUCAUUAAAAACUGUACUAUCGUUGAUUGCAGAUAUAAAUUAAAUAACUUUAUGUAUCCUACAUUUAUAAAUUUCACGUACAACAGUGAUGCACCAAUCAGAAUUCUCAUCCAUUUUUAUUAUUGUUGUUUUUUUUUUUUUUAUUAAGACUUUUUACAAGAGAAGAACUUUAUGGUUUGAACUUUUGUUACUGACUGAAUAAUUCACUGAUUAUUAAAAUUCUAAGGUUCUUCUUGUAAUAGCAGAAACGUAUUGUUAAAUUAUAGAAAAAAUAUGAACAUUGCAAUUUUCUUAAUAUAAGUGACGCUUCAUGAAGGACGGUGUUCAAUUCGUGAAAUGACGAGCAUCAAGCAUCAAUUUGUUUAAAAAAAAAAAAAAAACAAUUUUCAUUAAAAUGUUUUGAGUUCAAAUACAAAUUUAGAUUUUUAAUCUACUUUUAUUAUAUUUAUUCUGGUUGAAUUCCAUGCCUUGUACCGGAAACCAGUAAAAUGAUUUCCCCAAUAAAAUUAUAACCGUGGAAAUAUAUCCUGCAAAUUAUAAGCCGUUGUCGUCUCAUAUUGCCUUUGUAUAUAGCUUCACGGUAUUAACAUGCGAGAAAAAAAAACAAAUGUAAAACUGAUUUAUUUUUUAGUUUUAUGUACAUUCGUAUACAGUUAAAUUGUCGGCGCGUUUUGGUGGCUGUGGAGCUAACCAUAAUAUUAUAACCAUACAAAAAUCAGCAUCGCUGUUCGUAUAAAAGCGUAUAGUCUAGUCCCCAGUGAAUGAAAUAAUAGUAAUAAAUGGUCUGCUAUAUAAUCACGUCGCCGGGGCAUAAAUCUAACAUAUCGCGUUUAUAACAUUAUUUCAUCAAAACUAUUUCGUUUAAUUGUUUUUGUUCCGAUGUUCUUACACGCCGGUAAUAAACCCGAGUCAUACACCUAUAUGUUUUGGUUUUCUAUAUGACUUAUGGUGUACACUAAAUAGAGUACGCACAUCCCGCAAUGCAGUCCCCCUUCGCAUGAAUCGGGCACAUCGGACACUCUCGAAAAUGUAACUGUUGUGCAGAAAAGUAGACUGUUAAUCGAACGGCGUUCCGAUGGCACAUUCGCUCCCGACCAGGUACCCAAGACCGACCGGCUGACAACUUAUACCGUAUUUAUCCAAUAAAUUUAGAAACUCUUGCUCCGAUAUCAAUCCACAUAACAAUACGAUGCGAUUUAUUUUAUGUUUCUAUUAAGAUAAUCAACGUUACAUUGUUUCAUAUUGCCCGAUGCAUUUAUCCUAUGAUGUCGUUUUAUUUAAAAUAAUUGUUUUGUUUUCAUUUUAGGUAGUGAAAUUAAGUAUACGAAAAAUAAAUAAAUACACGCGGGUGGUUAAUUUAUCGAAUGCCAAUACAACAUUUUAACUUACAUCGCAUCAGAUUCUGUUGUCCUAUAUAAGUGAAUUCAAACAUGCUAUCAGAUUAUUUUACGACUGCAAUGGCGUAUUUCGAUAUUAUUAUAACAUAUGAAUACAUCCGUAAUACAAAUAACGUUUGUAUUAUAAAUAAUAUUGCAAUAUUAGCAUAAGCUUUAAGUUAACAUUUGAGACGGCGUCGCGAGUAGGCAAUUUUGCAACACUCACGCGAUUUAACAAUGGUCCGCCUGACCUAAAUAUUAUUUUAUUUCACUUAUGAUAAUAUUUUCAUAAUUAUAAUUAUCAUCAUGGUUAAAUAACUAUAUAGGUAUGAGGUGUGUUCACUAGGGGAUGGGUGAGACACUUAUGUCUAUACUCGGAUUUUUUUUUAGUUAUUUUACUCCAUUUUCUGUAAUUAUUGUUUCUUUAAUAUGUAUUGAUAUUUGGAGACGUGAACAAUAAAAGCAAAUUCGUCAUUAAUUUAGAAUUUCGGCCUAGUACUUAUAAUAAUAGACAAAGAUCAACAUUUCUGCAAAAAUCAGACUACAUUUUAUGUGGAGGUAUUAAAAUUCGCAAAAAGUCGGACUAUUAUUUUUAUGGGAAAAAAUUGUUUUAGGAACACUCAUUUUUUGGGAUUUAUAUUUUAUGCGAGUAAGAUUAAAAAUAUUUGUUGAAACUAUAAUUUUAGUACGUUCAAACUAUUUAUUUUUUUUUAUUUGUUAUUUAAAAAUUCUCAAUAUGCUAAAAGAAAUUCCGGUAAUUUGGUCACUAAGUCGAUUAUCAUUUAAUUUUGUUUGUAUUUUAUUUGUUUAUUAGAAUCGAAAAAGUCCAAUCGUUUACUAGAAAACUACACUAUUGCGAAUAUUUAUAAAAUUAUUGGUAUUUCGCCCGUUGCAAAAGUUUUUUUCUUCCUGUAUAGAAAAAAAAUUGUACAUUAAAUAUAUAUAAAUAUAUUUAUUAAUUUUAUUCGCCAAUUUAUAGAAUUUUUGAAUAUACCUAGGUAUAUUAUUUCGAAUUAUGAAAAACAAAAUAAAAUACCGGAAGAUGCGACCAUUAAAAUUGCUGGGAAAAUAUUUCAAUAUGUCGUAGAAUACUCGCUAGAUAUAGUCGAUAAACCAUUAUUAUUAUAAUAUUGAAAAUAUGUUCUACGACAAUAUUCACGGAUAAAAACGCAAUAGGUAUUAAAGAAAAAAUUACCAAAAAGGUUUUAUGACUGUAGACUGUGGUUGCUUAUUCGCUGGUUUUUAUUAAUAUUUUUUAAAUAAGGUCGCGGAAUUAUCGCGUAUUAAGUUAAUUGCAUAUAAUUAAGUAUGAUAGGUAGGUAAACCAAAAAAACAAAAGCUAAUAUUGCUUAUGGGUGUUUCGCUGCUGUAAGAAGGAAGUUUGUAAAGUAAGAUACAUAAAGUAAUUUAAAAUGAAUAAUAGCGACAAACCAUUUCUAACAAAAAAUAAUCUUAAGUAGGGUAUAAUUGUAUUAUCAGUCGUAUUUUUCUUUGGGAUCUAGGUCAGUGGACAAUUUUUUUUUUUUAUUAUUAUUCAAAAAUUGUUUUAUAUAACUUAAAUAUUGUACAGGAUAUAUGAUAAUCAUGGUAUUUUGUGACCCUCAGCAAUCACUAUUCGCUCUUUUGUGGAUCUCAACCCCAAUAUUAAGUUACACGGGUUUCGAGAGAUCAAAAUUAUUUGCUAAUAUUUUAGAUGUUUUAAGAACAAAUAUAAGGUAAAUUAAAAAAAUUAUCGUCUUAACACUCCAAUGAGAUCAAAAAUGGCACAAUUUUUUUUUUUUAAAGUUUUUAUUGGAAAAGAUUUCUCAUAGAAGCAUUGAUUCCAGGUACGAAAAAAAACACGUAUAAUAGUAAAAGCAACAUAUUCCUCGAAUCGUUCGGAAUCUAAGAAAAAAAAAUGUCCACAGUUUUCUUAACAGCCGUAAUGAAUUUUCGUGUAUGAUUUAUGAAUAUCGGUAAUUUAUCAUUGGCUUAAGUAUAUACUAUGUUUAUAGUAAUUGAAAAACGAAAAUUUAAUCAAUUUAACUCUUAUCUCUUCGUAUAAUAUAUUAUUUACAACAUAUAUAUAUAUAUAUAUAUUAGAUGAUCUUGAAAUGUUUUGCUAUUGUUAUUGAUGUGGAUAUUGCGUGAAUAUUAAUAAUUACAGUAGUUUUCUUUUGAUUACUUUAAAAUUUUAGUUACGGCGUAUCAAAGACGCACUGUUUCUCUGUGUGUGCCGUGAUGGCCAGCGUAACUAACAACGCCAGGUAUGAGAAACUUAUGAAACGUAUAAAUAAUCGCCAUUUGAACUAUAACAAACAUUUAAUUUGCAAUAAAAAAUAUUGAAGUCGUUAUAGAGACGAUCUUAUAUUUUAAGUUUGACCAAAUCGCACACGUUGCAUAUUAUUAUUAUCUUAUCGACACCGGCGGAGUAGUCUCCGAGUGCAUCGUACGUAUACUGGUCGUGCGCGUGAUUUAUAUAUAAUAAUUUACACGAACACUAUCAACGUUUAUUAAUCAUGGGCGGGUUAUUUCGAUAAUUACAUUGACCGGCGAAAAAUAUAAUUUAACACUCGAGUUAGCUAAUGUAUAUAUUAUUAUUAUUUUCGAGAAACUUUGUAUACACGGUCGCUGCAUCUCCUUAUUAUUUUUGUAUCAAGUUUCGUGUAUAUAGUUAUAACAUGAUGUUUGAACCCCGAAACCCGCAUCCAUUAGACAAACACUUAUAUAAUAUAUAAACCUGAGAGGUAUUUUAUUAAAUAUGCAUAAGUCCUUAUUUUCUUAUCUCUCUCUCUCUCUCUAUAUAUAUAUAUAUAUAUAUCUUUCUCCCCCCCUCCCCCCUCGUGUGUUCUCUCUCUCUCUCUCACCCUCUCUCUCUACCUCUAUCUCUUUGGCAUUCGCUCAUCCCGUAUUACUUAAAAUAUACGCUUCAUUCACACUCUCUCCAAAUGUCGUCUUGGACCCUAUCAAUUUUCUUCUUAUUGUUAUUAACUUUUUUUUUUUUUUUUUUUUUUUUGUGAAUAGAGUUUAAUAAUGUUAUUCUACUUUUACUCGCGCCGGAUAAAAGAUAAAAGCGUCCGGGCUUCCGGGUUUUGUGUAACUAUAACGUCUACUGGCUUUUGAUGUACAUAAGUAAUAACUACAGCUUGAGCUCCAAGUGUUUAUACAUGUGUUAAAAGAAAAUAAUAAUAAAAAUGAUAUUUAAAAACUGAAAUCAAAUGAUAUAAAAAUAUACAAGUAUGAAGUUAGUUAUAAUUGGAGAUUGAUGUUAGACCCGAAUUAUAAAAAAAUAUAUUAUUAAGAGAAUAACCGUUGGGAAUCGUUUUCUAAUCGUGCAAUUGUUUGGGACAUAUUGUGUUUAAAUUUCGUUUAAUUGAAAUCUAAACGGAUUGUUUUUAUUAAAUUUAGUAAACAUCAUUAUCUGCGCCAUAAUUGUUAAUAAUAAGUACAUUUAGUUUUAACGAUAGGCACUCGAAUUUACUUAAGUAAACUUAAAAAAGUAAUUAAUGCGGGAUGUUUUAAACUUUAUACUAUAACAAUUUUCCAAAAAAUUACCCUUAUACUUAGGUUAUACUAUUAUUAGGUUAGGUUAUACUCGUAUCACCCCGGAUUUUAUUAUACAGGUUCAUCGAUUAAAUUUAGCUAAUAUAUAAAUAUGAAUCUAACAAUUAAUAAUCUUUAUGUUUAUGUAUUAUUUUUCUUUAUUUCUAGGUUUUUUGUUGAUUGCAAUAUAGUUGUGUAAUCUAAAACUGUGUUGAUAAUCGAGUUCCUUUUUUUGUUUUUAAUCAUUUAUCAUAAUUUACGGUAAAAUACUAUAAAUUGUAAAUUACCCAAUAUCAUAAUUUACCAGCAUCCCCCAAAACUCUGAUAUAGUGACGAUGUACCGAUAUAUUGUGACGUAUCCUCGGCAUAUUUUGUUUUUAAUUGCAUUGUGAUAUUAUAUUGUGUGUGUAGGUAUAGUCUAGUUAUAGUCUAAUUCAUUUAACGAGAGUGACCCUGACGACCAUGAUGCGGUGAACUGUUGUACACCGGCACUGUUAUUAUAUACCCAACUACUAUUUGACAUGGGAGAAAACCACAUGGUAUUCUACAGGGUUUUAGCGUAGAUGAACUUACGGUUUGAAACCAUAAUAUGUUUAAACGUCGUUCGGUGACGUUUAAACGAGUGUAGCCAGUAAAAGAUUUGCGAAACCUAUAAUGUAUCAGAUAGAAGAAGUAAUAUACAUCGUAGUAAACCGUUAAUUUUAGAGUAAAUCAUUUAUUAUAUUAAUUAAAGCAGGCCAUUAUUUGCCUAAAUAAAAAAAAAAAAAAAAAAAAAAAUAUCCGGCAAUCCAAAAGUGAUAUCUAGGGGGGAGAAUAAGUACGCUUGUACAAAAAUAAUUUUAUCGCUACCUGAUGGCAAUCACGAGUACAUACAUGUAUAAUAUAUUUACCUGUAUAUUUAAAAGCAUUCGAUAGUAAUGAUUCGUUUCAUAGUACAUUUGCCUGUGAAAAAAGCUUUGAAAAUAUUAAACGUCCACUGUUAAUUUUCUUUGACGCUAUUCCUGUGCAUCUUAGUCCGUGUGUCUGUCUAAUAUUUAAUAAAAACGCAGUCUCCUAUGGUUAAUAGUUCGAUGGAAAUAGUUUUGCCCUCGACGAAUGAAAUGUAUGCGUAUAAUAUUUUAUAUAAAUAAAACCUUACCGGAGUAAAGAGAGGUGGAGGUUUCGUUAUUAUUAUUAUUAUUAUUAUACUUAUUGUCACCGACUCGGUCGAUUUUUAAAAAGACGUGCCUUGCAAACACAACUAUAUAGGUACUAUUUAUAUAUAUAUUUAUAUACGUGGUGGGUACGUCGUUCAGUUUAAUUUGGCGGGAGAGACCCCGACAAAAGGAUCGUUUAAGAAUUUCUUGAUAUUACAACGACCGCGGCGUUCCACCGCGCCCCAGUCGGUAUUGUAUUAUUAUUAUCACGAUCACGAUUAUUGUCUCUCUACGUAAUUGUGUUUACCUCCUGGACCGAAAUCUAGAAAUUCCUCACACCCGUUCCAUCGUUGCCCGGAUCCGCCUUAUACCGAUUAUCCCGGUGCUGCAAAUGUGUUUGUAUUCAGAAACAAAUUCUUCGAUUCGACGGUUUAUCGCCACCGCUAUUAUUACUUAUACCCAGUGUCCGUCGUUGUUUUCGAGGACAAGGAUGAUACCAUCAAUAUAUUAUGUAAUUAUCGAACUUAGAUUACAGUAGUUUUGUGCUGUCCACUAAAAAUUAAAGUCAAUAUAAAUAAAAUUCAGUUUAAUUAGAGCAAUUCACCGUCAUUAGUUUUUGAUUUUGGUUAAAUUUUAUUUUAUCAAAAGUACCGACCGGUAUAGCCCAAUGGUUACCAGUGGCGUACCUAGGUCUCUCUUACGGGAGGGGAGAAGGUGCGAAAUAUAUUUUCGCCCAUUCUUAAAACAUACAAUUUCUUAAAAAUGUACGUCACAUAAACCAAAUCUAAUAUAUCGGGAACUUUAUAUUUGUAAAAUAUUAAAUAGAACAUUUUAGUAAGUACAUAAAAAAGAAAUUGUUGUUUAGUAUAAUAUAAUAUAACACAUGCUAUAAAAUAAUUUUAUAAUAAAUUAUAUUAUAAUACUAAGUCUAACCUCCGGUUUUUCAUACAAGAGAAUCGUUCAAUAAUUUCAUCUACUGGUAUACAUAAUUCUCAGUAUAAUGUGCAACUGUGCAAGCCAGCACAAGCGAUCCUGGCUUAUUUUUGAACGUAGCCGCCAUGUUUUUAGUCUAUAACAUAAGUACAAAGCAAAUAGUAAAGACAAUUAAUUAAAAAUCAGUAGGUAGGUACCACCUAGAUUUAUAAGCCAAUGGAAAUUAUGUAAAUUAAUAAACAAUAAUAUAUUCUGUAAAUAUUUGUCCUUAAAGAACUUUUUUUUUUUAAACUAAGUCACUAGUAUUUUGACCCGAUUAGAGAUAACAAAAAUAUUUUAAAAGAAUCUUGAGCUUGAUUAUGCUAUCAAUUAUCAUAUGUAUUAUUAACGACUUUAUGAAAAAAAAUUAAAAAUAUUUGUAAAGACACUAAAACAAAUAAAAUAUAAUAGUGCACACAUUGUCACAUAUAAUUAUUAUAUAUAUUAUAUAUAAUAUUAUGUUAUUAUAUUAUUAUAUGACCCACAGGGGCGAAUGCCCCCUUUGCCCCCCCCCCCACAAAAAGUACGUCACUGAUGUUUACAUUGUUAUAAAAAGUAUUAAAAUUAACGAUUAAUAAUAAUGGAAGGAACACAAGUUAACUAAAUUUUAGACGAAAAAAGUAGGGUUUGAACAUUGAAAAUCCGUAUCGUUCUUGUGUGGUGCUCAUUAGCAUCAUAUUUUGUUGAAAAUACAUUUGGAUAUAAAAGUUAACGCAUUGAAAGAAGUACAGAGAGUCUAUAAGAACUGAAAGUAAUAACUUGCUUAGAAUAUCUAAAUUUGCUUUGACUUUUUUAUUUACUAGUGACGAGAAUUGUAAGGAAAAAUUUUAAUUUCGUUAUACAAUAUUAUAUCGACACGAUUGAUAAGAAAUUCAUGUUACAUUUAAAAUUUAAAAUCAUAAAACAGUUGUUGGUUUUUUUUUUUUUUGUUAUAUUUUAUUGUCAUUUCUCUUACUGAUUCUGCAGUAUACUAUGUUUAUGCAAUAAAUAGGAUAAUACGUCCCCCCUCCACCCAAUGAUUUUACUUUCUUUUCGAAUGACACUAUGUCUAUAAAUGAAUACAAAACGGUAUUGGAAAAAAAAAUAUAAAAUACACAAUGCAUGUAUUUCAUUUUAAAACAACUAUCUAUUUGUUGAAUUUAGGUACGAAAUAAAAGUUAAGUAAAAAAUGACAAAGUUUACACGAUUCCUCGGUAUUUCCGAUUCGUUUUUAUGUUUAUGUUCAACAGUUCGAUUUGUUUACAAAACUUACUUUUCCGUACAAUACACUUUUCUCCAUCACGUUCUAUUAAAAUUUGACAUACGAGUCUUGUCGCAUUUGCAGGCUACUCUGUUGUUGUUUAAAGUCCUUAAUCGUGUACUUUUUGUUUUAGCUUUUCAUAAUACUGCAGCCAUCGUGGCGUGCAGAUAGUGUAAAUGUAUAGCUCAACAUUUUAUAAUAUUAUCGUCUUAUAUAAAUGGCACUCGUCAGACUACAGUAGGUAUAUACUAUACAUACUAUUAUACAACUUGAGUAUCAUUCAUUUUUUAUUUCACUCCUCCGAGUUUUUUUCGUGCGCUUCCUGAGACAUAAUAAUACCCUAAUGCUUUUAUGAAUCUUAUUUCUCUAAUAAUUUAUUAUUAGUCCCGCUUAAAACACGGUUCCUUUACUUUUUUGUUUUUAUCCCGUGGCAUACGUUUCUUAACGAAAAAAAAAAAAAACAACAGUUCACAUCAUUCAAGUGUAAAAUUAUGUUUUAAAAAUUUCUCUCAGAGCACAUCAAAACUAGAUUUAAGCACAGCAGUGUGACAAAAUAAAAUAUAGGUUUAGGGAGGGGAAAAACUUUUUCGUUACGGUGUCGGAAAAGUUCUCAAAUUAUCUGCCAUAACGUUACUCGGCUUAUUUUCCCGAAAUAUUAUGAGCAACGAAAUUAUUUAAUAAAGUUGUUUUUAAUGCGUUUGAAAAUGUUGAAUAAUGUAAUUUAAAUGUACAAACGUAUAAACUGUUUACGUGGACGCGAUUUUCGAAAUACUUGAAACACGCUAUACACAGUAUAUAUAUAAAAAUACGGAUACAGUACCACCCGAGUUUUUGUAAAACUAUUUCUAAUAAACAAACGCCACCGCCAUGUCGAUUUGAAACUAUUCGAUGAUAAAAACCGAUUCCAACGAGUGGAGUUUUGAUUAAUCGGAAGAAACAUUAUUACGUAUCAUGUUUUAUUAGUAAAUAGUUUCGAUUCAGACAAAUGCAGUGGCGGCGAACUGACAUGGAAAAUAAUCGAGUUCGUAACACUCGUAACGUUUCGAAAAAAAAAGAUAGGUACUGUUGACAGGUGUGCCACAGUUGUAAGUAGUGUAGGAUACAUAAAGUUUUUUAAUCUUUUUCUGUGUACUCAAAGAAAAAUUAUUGAUUAAGAAAAACUAAUUUCUCAAAGGUCAAAACAAUUUUAUCCACACAAAAUCAAAUAAAAACUAAAAACAAACAUAAAUUUAAAAUGUCUAUAAAUAGCCUGAAAAUAGUUUGAUUAUUUUAAAUAUUUGACCACACUUAGAAAAGAAUAAUACAAACACUCUGUACAAAUUGUAAUGUUUCUACUAUUAUUUCAUCCAAAUCAAAAGUAAAAUUAAAUACUAAACCGAUCUGAUUUUAGUAUCAGUUUCCGACUGAAAUUCCAUCAAUAUAUUUAGGACUAAAUAAAUAUGUAGCUGAGUGUUGUAAAAUUUGGCGUUAUAUGUACGAUAAAAACUUUCAAAUUCAUUAAUUUGAAAACGUCGUCGCUGCCGUUAUUGCCGCUCCCAUGAUGAGUCAUUAUGCAGGAAUCGUUAAAUUAAUCCUGCAGAAGUUUACGUCAAGUUUUACACAAUGAUCUUAACUAUCAGAACAUACAGUUGACGUGAGAUCUUGAAAAACUAAAAGAAAAAAAUUUUAACAGAAAUUGCUUUUGGAAAUGAUACAAUAUGAUGAUGUGUAGUGGAAAACCUACAAAAGAAAUAUAACUAUUGAACUAUAGAAGAGUGUGAAAAGAUGGCGGUCGUCUCGAGGAAAUUGUUGCUCAAACAAUUUGAAUGGCACGUUAUAUAGUACGAGUAUAUACCAAAUUCAUACAGUAUUGUAGUAAAUGAAGUAUUGGUUUCCAUUUUUUUUUUUUUUAAAUUUUAUAAUCGGACUAUGAAAAUCGGAAGUUUGACGGUUAGUAUACUUCAUUUUUUAUUAAUUUGUUUGGUCUAAAUAGGUCAGCGUCUAAGUGAAACCAACGAACCGCGGCUAAACUUUUAAAAUACGUAUAAUAAUAUAUUAUUACGACUAUAACGUUCACAGUCCGAAAGAGAUCGAAAUCGAUUAUUACAAUACGGUAGGUAUUAUUGCACUGGUGUACGUCUGCGGCACGAGAAUAAUACCGUUAAAAAUAGGCUGCGGAGGAGAAAAUAACAAUAAUUUCAUCCACGAGAAACUUUUAAAGUAAAUUAUUAUACAUAUAUAUAUUUUAUAACGUCUAUAAAGUAUACAUCCCCAGAUAUUAUUAUGAGUACUACUCUUUCUUGUAUUAUGUUACACAGCGGAUACUUGGUUACUGGUUUGGGUCCCGUUAUAACACAGUUUUCGAUAUUUUUAAAAGCUAUCGUACAUAAAUAUCGCGCGGUAUUACACUAUAAGUGCAAUAAUAAAUUAAUUCGUAAUUUUAUUUCGAGGACGCAUACGCGCUAUCAUGGAAACAUACUAUAAUGCGAAGAAGUUUUAUAGUUUAGACACAAUAUUAUAUUACGGCUUUAUAUACGUAAUUUCCACAGAAAACCCUCGUCGAUUUAAUUUUGCGCGAGACUUAAUAACGGGUAUUCGAUUUCUUUUUUCUCAGUGUAUUUUACAUACGCGGGCAAAUUUUCCAAAUAGAUCCAAACAACUUUUAAACUCUUAGCGAAUCGAGGAACGUGUAUGUUUUAUUACGAUAUGUAUUAUUGAUACGAUGUGUAUUAUUUUAUUAUUAUUUUUUUUUUUUUUUGAAGGGCUGUAAACAUCAAUUUUUAAGAGAAAUCGUGUUCAAAUCAAACACUUUAUUGCAUGAAAUUCCUUUGUAAAUUUGUUGAGGUCAUUUUGUGAUUUUCAUAGAAUUUUUAGAAAAUCUCUGUGCUCCGAAAAUUUUAAUCACUAUCUAACAAAUAUAAUAUUAAUGUAAAAAUGGAAAACUUUUUUGAUUUUUUUCCCGCCAUUGCUGAGAUCUCCGUUUUGAUUCAAAGCAUUUAAAAUGCUUUUAAUAUUAUAUCGUAUAUAGUCUCGUUUUGUCCAUGGUAGGUAAUAUAAUAUCUGCCGCAUUGAGGAGUCUGUAAAAUAAUUUCAUUAGAUCGAUUUGUCUUCGUUAUUGCUAUGACAGUCUGUGAUGAUAAAGCUGUUAACAUUAUCUAUCUACGCGUUUUUUUAAAAACGUCCAAAUUAAAGACAACAAAUAUAUACUCUGACAAAACUACCCUAUUAUCCAAUAUAUUGUCGAGUCUUUUAUAUUUUUCUAUAUAACGCUAAUAAUGAUAUUUGAUCAAGUGGUUUUUUUUAUUAAUUUAUACAUAUACUUUUCACCAUUCAUUAAAUCGUUUAUCUUAACGGCAUAAAUACGAGUACAUGUAUUUUAAAAAUUGAAUUGGGUAUUGUAUUAAUAUUUAUACAAUUAUUGUAAAUAUUUCUAAAAUUAAAUUUUCUAGGAUUGUUUACCAUACAAAUUGACAUAAUUUUUUCUUCUCGAGGACCAAAGAAAUAUAAAUUUAAUACACUUUAGGUAUUUAUCAAUUUUCUUAAAAUCAUAGACAUAUAAUAUAAUUGACCAGGAACGAUAACCGUGUAAUAUAUUUAAAUCAACAAUGUGUACGAAAGAAACAGACAAUAUGAGUUUUUUUCAUGGAAGAAAAAGUAUGUGAACACAAUAAAAAAUAUUUGUGUAAUGUGAUAGUCAUGAUCAGUGAGCACAGACAUAUAAAUAUAGUAUCACGCAUAAUCUUAUCUAACGACUAUCAAUGUAAUUAAAGUUAUAAUCUCUUUGAUAAAAUGCAGAUUUAUAAAGUCAUAUUAUCCUUACAUAAUUCGUAUCAUUCCUGAUGUAUUCUAAUGUAUGCUAAUUUAUGUUUAAAAUCAAUACAAAUUUUAUGAUUAAACGGCUCGUUUAAACACGAUUGAUAACAGAUUUGAGAUAAAAAUGGUACAGUUAUAAUAAUAAAUACGAACGAAUAUCUUGAACAUGUACCUCAUAACUGUUAGACAAUUAAUUAUUUAAAUAAUUGUUAUGACAGUAAAUAUUUUUAAAACAGUCUUCAUAAAAUCGAUAAAUAAAUAUUUUCAGUCACAAAUUUAAAAAAAUCAAAAUCCAAUUUACUUCAAUGGGUGUUGUAACAAAAAUAGAUCGUAGUAUAACAACACAAUAAGAUAAAAUAAUUAUACGUAUUUAUACUAGCGAUAUUUUACUUGAAAAAUGUUCAAUACACUUUAGGCAGUCGUAUAUCAGUUAUUUAUUUUAUACUAAAAUAACAAACGAUUUAAUUGUUUUCUAUUUUUUUUUUUUUUUUACAACACAAAUAUUUUUUCAUUCCGUCCAUUAAUAUUAAACUUUUGUUCGGUUAACUGUAUCAUAUAAGAAUAUAAUAACAACUUUCAAUAUUUUUCCUCUACGUUUCAAUUAAAAUGUCUAGUGCGAAUUGAGUUUUGUUCUUUAAAAGUUCCUUUCGAUAUGUUUUCAACAAUAAUAACAUUGUAUACAAUUAUUUUUUCAAUACAAAACAAAUCAAAAGUCCAAAUGUGUAUUUUAUAUUAAUUUCUGGUAAUUGUUGUAAACAAUGUAUAUAUUGAAAUAAAAAAAAAAAUUGAAAUUAAUGCACAUCUCCAUGCCUCCUGUAAGGGUGCAAUAGUAAUGUUAUUGUGGCCACUACGAUUUUUUUAAUGUAAUCACACUGUGAACCUUUCUAAAUUAUUAUUGUUUUAAUAAGUAUACAAUUUUCUUAAAUUUAACUUUAAAAUUUUCACAGGAAAAAAUAAUGUGCAUUUAAUUAUACUUUUGACAUUAUAAAUAGCUAAUCAUUUUAAAUUUUAUUUUUUAUCAGUGUGAAUUACAUUCCACCCUAGAUGUAUGAGAGUAUUUAAAAGGAAUUCAAAAUGUGAAUUUUGGUCAAAGUUAUGGUGAAAUUGGAUAGACACUUUAAGAAACGAAAAACGUUUUAAUUUUCGCAAAUGUAUUUUUCAAAAAACCUCUCGAUCAGAUAUACGCGGACGUUUUAUGAAAACUCUUAAAAUUAUUUUCUCAGUCACUAUUUUAUAAAGUGUUAAACGUUUAACGAACUUUAACCUUUCGAAAUUAUCCCACGAUUUUAUGAUAAAAUUAUACACCCUUUUUGUAAAAGGUACUAAACGAUAUAACAAUAUUCUGAACAUAUUACUAUACGAUUAUGACCAUAAAUAUUACUUUCCGGGACAAAAAAAAAAAACCGUAUCAUUAUAAAAACUAAUAAUAGCUCAUCACUAAGUAUAUAUAAUUUAAAUGUUAUAUUAUUAAAAUUGUUUGUAAAGAUUUUUCGCAGAGUUCACGUAUAAUAUUAUAGUUUGAAAAUAUUAACGAUAUUAACGAUAACGAUAUCGUUAAUCAGUUAGUAGCCAACAAGUUUACCUAUGGAUUAAUUAACAUUUCUCACGAUAGAAUUUUAAUAUCAGAAAUGUAUCAAAUUUAUCUGUAAAUAUUUGUUGAUAUUUUCGUAUUAACUAUGUAUACUAUUUAAAAUGUAAUUCAUGUUUAGUUUAAUAAAAAACUAUACAUAUAACUAUUUAAGGAUAAAACAUCGAUUCAAAAUUAAAUACACUGUCAUACGCUAAAUAAAAUAAUCAAAUAUGAACAACACUCAUUAAAAAUGUUUUAUUAUUAUUAUUAUAAUUUACAACAGAAUGUAUAUAUUUUUUUUAAUUAGGUAAUUUAAUACAAUAUACAGAAUAUAAAAUAUUUCAUUAAAAUGUAUUUUUAAAAGUAUUUAAAAUAGCCGUUUGUUUUCUCAAUCUAUCUUGUUGCAUAAAACACAGCAUUUGUAUUCUUCACUAUUCUCUAGCCAUUCGGAAUAUCCGAACGACAGUUUUAAUUAGUUGCAAUUUAGUUAUCCAAAUUAUCUACACCCAUUUAUUUAUUUCCUCAUGCAAGAGCUAUUAGAUCUUAUUUAAUGUGUAGGUACCGUGAUUCGAACAUUUAAAAAUACAAAAUCAAUUUAACACUGAUAAAGAGAAUAUAGAAAUUGUUAUCUCACGGGGAGCGGAAAGUAAUUUGUGUGACGACACGACGUGCGGCGUUUUAAUUGUGUUUUGCUUAACUCUCCCUCUACCCAAACUUAGAAAAUGGAACUGAAAUAAACUCAAAUUAAAAAUUGUAAUAUAGUAACUUAAAAAAUAAUUCACUACUGCAGUUUACUACGUUAUUUUUAUCAGAUCUUUUUUUUAAUACGAUUCAUGAACAACAGAUACAUUUGCAUUUUUUGCUGUUAUAUAAUAUUUUAGUGGUAAAUUGUUUGUUAUUAAUUCGUAAUAAUUCAAAGAAAUGUAACGACUAUUUUUUAUUCAUUCUUUUUAUAGUUUGUAUCGGAGGGUUACAAACAUAUUAUUGUUAUAAUUCGACCCGACCAAUAUCGUUUGCAAUAAUUGAACAAUAUAACAUUAGUGCUAUCCGAGCGAGGAAUGGUGAUAAUUCGUUUAUUUUCGAUUAUUUUAUAGAUCGGUAUAGUUUUUAAAAAGUAUACAGUUUACAUUCUUUAUAUCGAUAGUUCCGAACGGGUAUGUAAGGCGUAAUAUCAGCUCUAUAAAUAAAAAAAAAAAAAAUAUUUAUAAUAUUAUAAUAACGAGGACUUUACUUACUGUUCGUAUUUUAAUGCACUGCGGUCGACGCGUCAAAAACAAUAAUAAUACUGUACAGUUAAUCUUCGGUCGUUUCGCAGACGUCUACGUUCUCCUCCUACGGUAACGAUUAUGCGGAGCAGAAAUAAAGAAACGAAAAAUUUCCCCUGUCUAUGUGUGUUCUCUGAUAAAAUAUUCUAACACAAGGACAUACAUAUAAUGUACUCUACGUUUAUAUAGUCUGUGGACGCGUACAGAUCCGGUCUGAGUGUUCGGUUGUACCCGAUUGUUCACGGGGAGAUUGUUUUCAAUGCGGGCCAUCUAAAACUUGAGAUACGCUACCUGAACAUGUUGGUAUUAUAUAUAGUCGAAUCUCGCUUUGCAUCGUGCGGAAAAGUUUUAAUCCCUUUUGGAUUAGGCGAUAUUUUUGUUUUAUUUCCUUUUUUCCCCCCUUUUCCUUUUAUUUUUUUCUUUAUUUAUUCGAAAAUAGUCUGUGUUUGCGAGCAGUUUAUAUCUACCUACUUAAUUUCCAUAGGAAUUCUCCGCAGGUUUUCCCGUGACCAAGCUCACGCAAAGAUGAAUACUGCGUGUCGCUCCUAUUAUAGGGUUUUGAAUUGAACGCAAUGAGAAAAAAAGUAAUCCACUGUUAAGUGAGCAACUAAAAAAACACUUAAAAUCUCAGCUCGCAUUAAACCAUAAUUACUAAAAUGAAAUAGAUAUUUUAAAAAUUAACAACAUUAUAAUAAUAUGGUUAUCGGUAUUUUUAAUAUUUGAUUUUAUGUAAUAAUUGUAUGCAUACCAGAGUGUUAUUAAAUAAUUUUUAUAUACGUAUUGAAAUAUAAAUUAAUUGUUUAAAACACACUUCGGUAAGCAGCAGUGCUCUGCCAUUGAAGUCGAAUUAUUCAUCAUCCAUUUUGUAAUGUGGAAAUAUUCUUUUUAAAACAAUAUAAUAGCCUAUAACUAAAAUUCUAUAAAUCCAAAAAAGUAUCAGGAUCUAUAGUUGAAUGGAAAAAAGCUCAAAAGAUAUCUCUUAACAUUAACCUUUAUAUACAAUAUUGCAUCCUCUAGCUUUAUGUGUGGGGGUUUAUAUGCCUACAACGCUUAAAAAACUACCUUAUAUCUCAUUAAAAUACUGAAAUUCGUAUGGUCUUCAAUCCACCUACAAUAGUUUCAGAGUGCGAGCUCGCUUAAACCAGACUAAAGUUGCUAGAAGUGAGCACAAAGUGCUAAGAUACUCAAUACAUUACACAAUAGUCAAUGUUGUCAAAAGAUAGAUAAAUACACGUAAAGUCGAAAAUUACAAAAGGAGUAAAAACAGGGAAGCGAAAGUUUUAAACUAGAUUUCGUUAUUAAAUACAAGUAUAUAGGUAUAAUUCCAACUUUGUAUUAAAAAAGCUAUUGCAUUUUAGGGUAAUGCAUAUGAUAGAAUUCCGUGAAUUUAACCUACGUUCUUCAAAUAUUUAUACGUCUAUCACAGCUUUUGUGCAUAUGUAUGCCAUCGAAAGUAUUUUUAAAUUUACGUCAUUACUUACGCAGGAAGUCUUUUUUUUUAAAUUUCGAUCGUAUUCACUCCAAUAGAAUCGGAACUAGGAACCAUCACAUUUAUUUGAUUAACAAUAUACAUAGUUUUAUAACGUCACAGUCACUCGGAAUUUUUUUUUAUUUUUUUUUAUUUUCUAUCUAUCCAACAAUCGAAAUGAUAAAUGUCAAUUUAGACACAUUCUUACGUAUACAACUGCCCACAACAGUACCUUUAUAUGGUUGUUGUGUUUUCUACUUCAAUUCCAAAUCGUGUAAGCUUUUAGAAGUAACUUUUUUUUUUCUAUCGUUUGCCUUCACGUCGUUUCAUACAGUAUUUGCCGGGCUAGUAUUAUUAAACGAGAAAUAAUAAGUGCACCGUCUCCGUAUAUAAUGUUUCGAAAUAAUAUAAUCCAGCGAUCGUGUGCCGCAGUGUUUGGUCGAUUUUACGGAUUCGGAGGUAUCACGCCAUGAGGUGUCAGGGGAAUUCAAUCCACAAUGCAGAAAACCUGGUUACGGCCCCGUGACUUUUUUGUUUUGUGAUUGCGUGGGUAUAUUACUACGACGAAUACCUGCGGUGCUUUGUUGGGUCCAUCAAAGUUUUUCUCGCGACGGCCACGAAUUUUAUCUUUCCACAGUCUCUAUCGGAAAAGCCCUUCCGGAUAUGUCUGAUUAAGUAACACAUGCCUACUGUGCGAGGCUUGUCUCUCGGGAAACUCGGACAAACAAGCCAGAUUUCCGGAAAUAGUUCCGUUGUAAAUAAUCGCUCGGUACUUUACGCGGUUUACGCGUGACUCGUUAUUGACUCUGGAUCAAAUUGAGAGAGCGCGUACAACCGCUUGCAAUUCAACGUUAAAAACUAUUUUACGUGGGUGAAAACUACUCGGACUACGGAAUUAGUUAAAGACACACAAAAAAAAAGAUAUGGACGUAAUUCGCACGGUGGGUGCGCCAUUAUUGUAGGUGAGAAGUUGGGAAGGUAGAAGGCAAAUUUAAUGUAUCUGUACGCAAUGAUUAACCAUUGCUAAUGAAAAACGAUUCUGAGCAGAGUUCUCUUGUAUAUGUUUUGAAAGACUGUAAUAUUUACAAUUUGAAAAUAAUAGAUUUAGUAAAUUUUCCCGUAUUUCCUAAGUUUAUAACCGGGUUUUCUCUAUUUAUUAAAAAAAACACUGGGAAAAUCAAAAAAAUGUAAAACAUAAUUCAUUUCAUAAAUUUUCUCCUUAUUCCUUCGGGUUUUUCUGGUUAUUUCCCACGUUUUUUUCCAUUUAUUAUGAAAAUAACUAGGAAUAUAAAAAAGUGACCUCUUUAGAGUACCAUCCUAUUCAGAUUUUUUUCGGAAAAAGUACUAUACUUAUAUUCUAUACUCGUUCCUAAACUCGAUAGGAAAAUUUCUGGCAAAAAAAGUUUUCCGCAGAAAAAAAAUAUACAUCAUAGUAUAAUCUAUGCAUUCCUCCCUCCAUUCAGAAUCUAAAAUGAAACACUUAUAUUGUGCAAUUUUGAUUAUUUCAUGCAAAAUAAUAAAAAAGAAAGUUAUGAUAUUGUUCUAAUGUUCUGAAAUAUGAUAAUUUUAGGUUUUUUUGAACCCAAAUAAAUAUUUUCCUAUUGAUUGUAUCGAAAAACUAAAAAUAUUGUACUUUAAUUUUUAAGUCUAUAGUCCUAGUAAUUUUUGACUUUUUCUGUGAACAUUUAUAUUUAUUUCGUGAAUUACGCAUUUAACAAUUGUGAUAAUGCAGCAUCCAUGUCUACCUAUUAGACGGUAAAAUAAAAUAUCUUUAUGUUGAUCAAUUUACAAUUUUUUUUAAUACUCAUGAAAACCGCUCCUAUAGGCGACCCUUUAAAUACGUCCUUAUGAAUCAUUUACGCAGACUUGAUCGGUUAAAAGACGCGAUUACUAUUGGUUUGCACAUUUUUGAUGCAAAGAUAAAUUUUUUGUUAAUUUCGGUGCUCUAGAACAAUACGCAUUUAAAUAGUUUAACUAAUUGGCUUGAACAGAAUGUCGAAAUUACAAUUCGUGAGAGGAGGAUAGGUAUAGACUGCAUAAUAUUAUCGAUUCACGCACAUCGACUACUUCGAAAGCACGUAAACUGCUUCUGUUUCGCGUUUGUUCUGCGUACGAUUUGUUGGUUUUCGUUUUUAAAAAGGAAUAUUUUCAUCGGUUUUCGGCAAUGGUUUUUAAUGAUUUUUUAUCACCGUACGCAUUGUGAUUUCUUUUCUCGUCACAACCACUUCGUUCUUACGUGGUAAAUAAUCUUCAGUAUAAUCUCGCUUUUUGACGUCGCCGUCGGUCGAACACGUUUAGCCGUUAUAAAAGUUACGCCGGUUUUCAGUUUCAAAAUGUGACAGUUUUCAUAUACGUAUAUAUGUAUAUAUAUAUAUAUAUUAAGAGAUAGAGAACGAGUCGAGAUUGCUCUCGAAAAAAUAUCUCUCUCCAAUCCGAUAGCAAAGCCCAUACACUCACUAUCAACUGUCAGUUCAAAAUGUCAAAACUAUUUUUUUUAUUUUUUCAUAUAAACCUAUAACACCGUAUUGGUAAUAUAUAUAUAUUUUACGCCUCCGUAUAUCGCGCGCAUAUUCUAAUACUACACGUACACAUUGACGUGACAAAUCGAAAAUAAAUAAUGAUAUUUCUCUCUGGUGCACCUCCCGCCUACGAAACAAUAAGGGACGAUGACUGUGCGGGUCAUGGUGAUUUAUUUAUUUGCAUUUAUUGUUUUGGAAAUUUAUUUUCGAAAAAAAAAACGAAAAUCGGAUUCUAGAUUCGAAUAUGUAAUAUAGUAUACCUAAUAACAAUAGGAAAAAAUCGAUUUAUCGUUCGCAGCUAACCCAAAUGAGACUACAAUAGUGAUAUAAUAUUAAAUAUAAUAAUUGUAUAGUAUACGCGAGUACGUUAAUUCCCCCCAGUUUACCGUUUUGGUGAAAUAAAUCAGAUUCUAGUAAAAAAACUCAGGUGUAACAAAAAUAGGUCCGGCCAGCCAGAGAUCUGCGAGUCGGGAAAUGAUAGACUGGGCUCGUCAUAGUUCUCGACGUCAUGCGUAAUAAUUCACUAAAAAGCUCAGAUUAAGGGUUGUAAGAGCUCGGGUGCCCAUAUUAGUAAGGGGACAUAAUAUUUUUUUUUUAAAUGAGACAAAUAAGCAGAAAAAAGUUAUUCAAAUAUUUGAUUUAACUUAUAAUAUAGUCUUUGUAGGCCUAUUUCUCUUGGGCCCUGGGGCGUGACCCUCCUGGCUUCCUUUUAAAGCCUGUCUUGUUUACUGGACCGACUGUUUUCGUAACAGAUUUCAAAAUAGGUAUGCUUUUAUUUUCUUCAAGGCCUCGGGUCUUUAUUACAUUAACGUCCCAAAGAAUUAUGAAAUUUAUACACGUUUAAUAGUGUAUUACACAUUGAAUCGUCAACAAAAGUAUUAUGCUUUGACCAUCGACGGAAUCGCUCUUUCGAUGAAGUGGCUCUUUAUCCAAAAUAUUUUUGCCUUUUUUUUUCAAAAGAAUUUGUCGAUAUUUUUUAGAUCGUUUAAAUCCAGGACCUAAAUAACUAUCGUUGGUUUUCAGGUAUUUUUCAUAUAUCUCGGUCCUGUUUUUCACCGGAAAAUAUUUCCCGGGUCCGCCACUGCAGCAGCCUUUUGUUUUAAACACAUUCCCCUUCAUCGUGUCAUCUAGGUACAUCCGUAAUAGGCAAACCGUAUCUAUUAAGCUGUACCGGGGUCUUGUGUCCACGCACCUUCGGUAACAGCGGGAGAACGUACCACCAGACAACGAUGACGGAACGGUGGUGCAGUAGCAGCGACGGUGGCGACGGAUCAUUUGUCUCUAUCUAUUCACUAUUUUAGAACAAAGUGUCUCCGGUUCAUAUUUCACGUCCUGAGCACACAUAUACACUCGCACAUAUUAUGUACACAAAAUACACACGUAUACUCGCGCGCGGCAUUGUUGUACGCGCACGCACGAGCGUGUACGGACGUAAACCUAUUCGCAGCAACCCUUUCACCCACAGCGCGCGGGCAACCGUCACCGCCGGUGUGGGUAGGAACUGACCCGCCAUCGCCGCCGUAUUAUGAAUAAUAAUUAACCGGAGAAUAAUGGGUUAUUUAUUGACGGCGAACGUACGGCGGGUGACGCUCGGCUGCGGAGAGCUUAUUCCGAGCUGGUGGCUUACAAUGGGGUCGCGCUGCCAUCACCGCCGUGCUUUGCGCGCGUGCUUCCUCUCAUAUAUGCACUGUGCGGAAUAAUUUCAACACAGAUGAUGGCGGCAACGGCGUCCGUGAAUCGGGCGGAGACCGGAACGUGGACAGAAAUACGACGGUUCGUAUUGCGAUAUUAUAGUGACGACGACGACGACACGAUCGGUGGUGAGAGGUAGGGAGGUGUAUCUCGCGACGGACUGUCCGAUGGACACUUAUGUCGUAUGUUUUUAUUGCAUAAAUAUAAAUUUUUAUCUUCAUACUGCAACGACAACAAUAACAAAAAUAUCGUGUUAUUCGGACGAGAAAAAAUAAUACGUCUCCUGUAAUGGAAUGAAUUAAUCGCGAUGAAGGAGGUAAUAAUGCACGGGUAUUGCGUUACGAAACUCACGUUGAUUAUUCGCGUAUUCGUUUUUGGAACCCUAGGAUGGUAUUUCGUACGAGGUAACGAACGUAUACUAUCGUAUACCGAUCGUUUUCACAAAGUUUCUAUUGCCGCGUCGUUUAUUCACGAGAGAACUGAAUUCACCUGAGACACUGUCGCGCUGUAACAAUUCGAAAGUCUGCAGAGAAAAACGAUCGUCUUGGUUCGAUCAUCGAAACAGAAAUACACUACUGCCUGCGGUUUGUUUGCCGGACGGAGUAUUAAUAUAAUAUUUAUAUUAAGAGUUCCGUAUAGUGUUGUAAAAAAACGUAUGGCACCGAUGGAAUAUCACACUGUUGAUUCGGAAACGGAAAAAACUUGUCAGUAUAAACACGUUGGGCGUCUGAUAACGUGUAUUUUCUCGUAGACCGUCAUUUUUGUUAAAACUUCCAACGUGUUUGCAGGUUAACACGCGUUUAUUUUAGCGUUAUAGUAAUGGAACGUGCCUCUUCAGUUACCGAAACAAAACUGCUUAAAAGGAUGUUGAUAUUCGUACUAAAUCCUGUCUGUUAGAGCCCGAAGACAUACUUGGAGGGAAAGAUUCGAUAUUUUAUACCGUAUGCAAAAUACAAAACGGUAAAAUAAAAAAUGUAAGUGACAAAUGUAAUGUCAUGUUAAAAGCUAGGUGAGGAAAUUCUUAAUUUCGCCCCCACAACUUACGAGUGUCUAUAAUUCUGACCAUUUAUUCGAAGCAAUCAAGUGUCUGUUCUGAAUACACUAACCAGACUUUUGUCACCGGGCCGUCGGACUAAUAUCAAUAAAGGUCUAAGAGUUACAUGAAACAGUUCGAUGAGACUUCCAAUAUUUGUUUAUCACUUAACAACAUCAAACAAAAUUUAACAACAAUAGGCUAUGAACGGAUCUCUUAGGGCCGUUAUGGUGAAUUAAAUGAGUAUUAAAAAAACGGAUAUACUUUGCACGACGUACGAGUGGACUAUUAUAUUAGGUGAGAAGUUAGGAAGGUAGGAUUUAGAGAGGAAUUUAAUGUGCAAAAAUAAUACAUUACCAAUGAAUAAUGAUUCGAGGCCAAGAUAUUUUUAUACAUGCGCCUAGAUUUUCCCGUUUUUCAUAAGUUUUUUCCUAGUCUUUUUUUUUCAUAUAUUACGAAAGCCCCUUUAAAUAAAUAGAAUCAUUUAAAAAUUUAAAAAGUAUCUCCUUAAAGUACCUCCCGGAUAAAAUAUACUUUGAGAAAAGGCACUAUACUUAAAUAUUGUUUACAGCCAAAAACAAAAAUUACAAAUGCGACAAUAUUAUUAAGAACCGGUUGUUGUCGGAACCGUAGACGAGUUAAAAAUUAUUAGAAUCACAUCCGUAAUUAUAUUCCGUAAACCGACGUUUCACCCAACUGGCAAACGUGUGUUGGUGUAACGACCCAGUGAAACCAUAAUAGUAAAGUUAAUAAAAAAACAAAUAACAAAAACUUUGUUUGUCCGUUAAAAAACAAAAUGAAAUCUCUUGUCAUCGCGGGCGAAUCGAUCCUGUCGGAAAUAAUAUAAUGGCAAAUUAUACCGACGCCGACGUGUCAUAUAUAUAUACACGAAACUAUACGUAUACUUACCUUAGGCAGCCUUUAAUUUAUAGACGCACAAAAGCGGGCGCAAUUUCUCUAGAAAUGCCGUUCCAUCGCUGCCGCCACCGCUAUUGAUUUCAGGACGAUUUCGAAGGUACACAUUUUCAGCAGUUCUUCUACCUCCUCAUCUUAUUCUUCCCCUACUGAUAUCGGCGUACGCGGGCUACAUUAAGUCCCUGGCCAAACGGUAACUGUAACAAAAAAAAAAAAAAAAUGAAACGAAAUGAAACGAGAACAUGACGCUUUUAUGUUAUUACAAAAAUAAAUUGUGGAUAAAUUAAGCCGUAAGUAUUCAGCGAAAGUAAUUUCAAUUUAGUUGUUUAAAAAAUGUUCCAAAUUUUUCGUACGAUUCGUUAAAAGCGCGAAAAUUGUAUUCGUCCGUUUCACUCUAUUCGAUCAAUUCUUCUUGAUUCCCGAGUUUUUAUAAAACCGAUGACAAUUUGCAUAUAGGUUUUAUUGUUGAUCAUUUUUCGGGUUAACCAAAUUAUCCUGUACAUUUUAAAUUUCACCCCUUCAACCGCGGACGUUUACCCGCGGCGAAAAAUAUGUCCGGAUUUUUAAUUUUUUAAGUGCAAUUUGUGGUAUUUUUUUUUACUAGUUGUUCACCGUAACAACAUCUGAGUCCUGUAGUUCUAUGAUACGACGAUCGAUCGUAGCGGAACUCUGUACACGCUCUUCUGCAAUAUCCCUGUAUAGUAUUUAGUUUUGCACUUUCGCUAAUAACUCGCUAUUAUAUCAAAACGAUUUUGUUACUAACCGACCCGAGCUGUGUUAUUUAUUUUAAUGUGUAAGUACUGUAAAAACUACGUCUCAGGUUUUUAUAAUAAUUUCAUUUACUCGGGUGCAAUAAAGUUUUUCAAUAACAUUAUAUCGUGGUGUAUAUACUACGUGUAAUCAUUUAGGUUAGGUUUCGACGUAAGUGUAGGAAGUAAAAAAAAAAAAAGUUAAAAACAAAUAAAAUAAUACAAGACAAAUGUUAAAAGAGUCUCGGACCGUGGUUAGGAGAGCACUAAUGUUGGUGGCCAGUGUGAAAGGUAAAGAACUUGUUAAGGGUAAAUUUUCAGUGGUAACGUACGCUGAAAAUCCGUGAUAAAGUAUCGUUAACAAAAACUGAUUGUGAGUGGAGUUCGUUAUUUUUUCUCGUAGCCAGAAAUCAGCCCCAGAAAACAAUAAAAAUAAAACUAAGGUAAAGUAUUCGUGUCCAUAAUAUCUGACCAAGAAUCAAUUCAAUAAUUUAAGAGUUUCAACAACAAUUACUUGGUUGGAAGGAAUAUUCCGUCUCAUAAAAUGUAUGCGCCCUGUUCUAAUGUAUGACACGACCAAUUUGGAACAUGUAAUGCUCGAAAUACCUAUUUUCGUCGGUUAGAUUGGGAUGACACACGAACGGAACAGUGGACAUUGUGAGAAAUAUUAUUAUCGGUUUGGCCGUCUUAUGUCAUCUGAUUUCUAUCAUAAAACCUUUGCACGAUUAAUAAUAUUUCAGCAUGGGUUAUGACGUUGAGUUUGCGCAUGAUGAUAUGCAGAGUUAAACCAUAACGAAAAAAAAAUAUAUAUUUCUGAAGCGAUCUCGUUGCCACCUCGGAUUAGCAGCUCCGGCCGCAUCGGGUUCUAUUUUAUUUUCCGUUGUGAAAUGUUUCCGAAUUUCGAACACGUAUAUAGAGGUUAUAUAAUAUUUUAAGGUUAAGGCGAUUUACAUCGCGUAAGUACAUCACGUAUCCUGUAAAUUAUUAUGAUUUUUUUUCUUUCUCUUCUCCUUCCCGCGAUUUAAUUUAUUUACAAUUCUAUCGCGCACUUUUAUUAUACCCACAUGCAUUUCUCGCAAAUAUAAAAAAAAAAUAUAAUAACGGCCUUUAUGAUGAAUACAAUACAAUAUAUAUAUUUUUCUUAACUGCCGAAUAUAUUAUGACGUUGUUUACACGAUUUUGUAAUAACCUUUGAAAAAUACAAUUUCGGUUGAAGAUUUUUUUCAUGUUUUUUUUUUUUUUUUUUUUGUGUCAAUACAAAUGAAUUUCAAUUUUUCACCACCGCUUUGUAUUAUUUAUGACUUAUUUUCACUAUACUGUAACGAAAUUCGUAAACAACGGCGAAUCUCUAGUUUAAUAUUAUUAUUAUUAUUAAUAUUAAUAUUAUUAUUAUACCACGCUGCCGGUAAUAUUAUAACAUACGAGCAUUUCAAAAUUUUUCCGCCAGAAUAAUGUAUAGCGCAAUAAUUUAAAACAAUUUAAAUUUUAAAAACCACACACCAAAGUAAAAAAGAGCUGAUAUUGGAGAUGGGAGCGGCCACUGUUGUAGGUGAGAAGUAGGAAAGGUAGGAUACAUUAGGUUAUUUCAUUUAUAUCUGUAAGCAACAAUAAACUAUUGCUUGACGAAAGACGAUUCCGAGUGCAGUUCGGUAAUAUAUAAUUUGAAGUGCCGUAAUUUUUUUUUUUGAUUAUUCUUUAAAUUUGAUUUCAAAACCUUUAUUAAAAAAAAAAGUCGUCCAACGAUUUUGUAAAUUAUACCACGUCUAUGUAAAUCCAAUAUAAGUAUUAUUACCAAGUUUCUUGUAAGUAUCUAAGUAAAACCAAAAGCUCCCUCGCUACGCUUGGAAUCUAAAAUACACCGCACAUAGUGUUGGGUAGGCUACCGUUGCUGGUAAGAAUUCAAGAAGGUUUUUAUAUACAGAGUGUGACACGAAGAUGUACACAUUUCGUUAGAACUUUAACUUUAACAUUAACUUUUUUGGACAAAUUUGUAUUUUUUUCAACAAUAUAAGAAACAAAUAUUGCAUUGAUAUUAUUUAUUUUGUUUUGAAAAUUGAAGUCCAUAAAUAGGCAUAGAUUUCAUCGUUUCAACCUCAUAUUAAGAGCGAACGUAAAUAAUGAUAAUACAACGUUUAAUUUUUUAAUCAUUUAAACUAACGAAAAAAAAAUUCUGAAAAAAUAUACUUUCCGAAAUAUUGCAUCAGUAAUUGUCAUCAAUUGAAUCACACCGUAUCAUUUGUUGUCAGCAUUUUUUAAUUUUCUAGAAAAGUUGUUCGAUUUCAAGACGAAUGUUUCAAGUAUAUAUGUACUGCCUAUCAUAAAAUAUUAAUCAGGAAUAUUCCGUUUCACUGUCACGCUCUUCAUCGCUGAAUGUCGUCGUGACGAUUCCAGACGACGAUCUCGGAUCGGUCACGAGAUUACAUCGCUCCGGAGAUGACGUAUAUUAAGUUAUUAUACUGUUCGUUAAUAUAGUUUUUGAUAACGGACUUUUCACCAGGCGGGCCCCUCGAUAACGUACGUAAUUGGAUUGGCGUUGACCUGGUUCGCUGGCUCCUCUCCGGGGAGGGAAACCCGCCGCGAUGCGUCAAUUUAUAUAGCUACAACUGUGGACGGCGAUGUUUGAUUAAAUUUCCUUUUAAGAGAGCCCGGCGUAUAGCACGCGCAAUAAUAAUAACGACCGUGUCUCUUUUAUAUUAUUAUUAUCACCGUAAUGUUGUAGUUUAUUUAUAUAUACACACGAGUUGAUGAGUUGGUGUCCGCUGGGGAAGCAAAAAAAAAAAAUAAAUAAAUAGGACGGACAACGUGGGUGCAGCCACUGCAGCUACAGAAAAAUAAUUAUAAAAUGGAACGUCGUAAGUGUCGACCGACGAAGAUGAGUGCAUAAUAUUUUCGAAAAACACCCGUCGGAAAACCUUUGAAGUACUCCCUCUGUACUCUAUCCAUUAUUCACUUAUUACAUUAGUGGUUUUUUUUUUUUUAUUGUUUAUUUUUAUUUUUUUAUUUUUUUACAUACAUUUGAUCUCUUUUUUUUGUUUAUAUCGUCGCGUACCUUAAUAGUCCUAAAAAUCCUAACCCAACCUGUGACCUGUUGAAACGUAACGCGGUAUACAUAGUGCAAUACCAUCUCUUUUUUGGGAAGAAAGUUCGACAAAAACAAGAAUUUAUAGUUGAAAAUGUCCAAAAAUAUAAAAGAAAAUAUAGAUAUUGUAAUAGGUUAUAAUAAAAACUCUUAUGUUUCAAAAAAACAUAAAACUUUGGAAGCGUUUAUUUAUAGAAUAAAGAAAUUAAAAAUUAAUUCCUCUUAUGUAAUUUACGGUAAGAACUUAAAUAUUUAUUUUAUUCCUAAACUAUACUUUUUCGACUUAGACGUUUGAAACAUGUGGGUUUUGAUUCUAAAAAAAGAAACAUCGCAGUUUCGAUAGUAGCUAAAAUGAAAUAUGUGAGUUUUUAAAUAAUGGGAGAUAGGAUUUUUGACUUUGGUUAAAUAAAGGUUUAGUAUCGAAAUUCCUGUGAUAGAACUGAUUAAAUUCUAUAUAAUCUGAGUUUAGACUUGUUUUUGUGCAUUUUAAAAUAAACAGACUACCAAUUCGGAUUUGCUUUCAAUAAUCCUAAAAAUAUGGUCGUCUACUCAUUUCCCAAAUUUUUGAAACAUGCGGGUUUUGUUUUUAGCCUACUCGAUCAAACGAUAUUCUGAACAAUCUAUAAAGUGAAAAACGAGUUUGAAUUCGGAGAGCACUUCAUACAUGGAUUUUAGUGGAUGUGGGGGGAGGUGGGGGUGCAAAAAUCAUUGAAAUCCUACGACGACUGUUAUUAUUACUGUGUUAUAUAUAAAACACACAAGAAAAAUCUUCUGUUCGUCCGGUGACGUCCUCGUGACCUCAUCGACCCACGACGACAACGACUACGAAGAGGGUUCGUAUAAUAGUACUAUGUGUGCGCACAUCCAUGUAUUUAUGUUUCUGUGUGCGCAAUAUGUUUCUGUGUACUUGUCUGUGUAUUCGUGCGUGUGUGGAAACGACAACGUAACGAACGUCCGAUUCGAGAAGAGGAUCAGGAAACAGCCGGCAACCCUUUUUGUGGUUUUCCCGUACAGCCGCGUAGGUACGUACGUACAGAGUAUACCUACGAAACGAGGAAAAAAAAAAUCGUCCUUUGAAGACCGCAAUUCCUAUUCGCCUGGCGGGCAUAUGAUGGUGGCAUUUCCGCUCUGGCGACGACUGACGAAAACGACGUUCCAAACGGGUCAAAAUCGAUUUUUUUUUUUCGUUAACAAUCCGUCGACAUAUUGCUAUAAUAGUAUUUACUCGUACGUUAAAAUAUAUGCGUAUUCGUCAGUCGAAAAUCUUAAAACCACCUUCACAACCAUAUGAUAUUAUUAUAAUCGCGUGUUUAAAGAAUAUUCCUGAUAACAGUAGAUAGGUCCCUGAAUGAGGCUUGUAGUUACUCUGCCACGGUGACUCAUUUUUAUAGAUAAGCCAUACGGUUAUUGUUGCGUUCAUUUAAAUUAAUUGAUUUACCGAUUGAUUAAUUAAUAUUAUUACAAAAACAUUGAUAGCAGAUGUGGUUCUUAAGAAACUCCAAUGGGGUGGGAGGGGCGACAAACAUAUAUUGCGUAUUGUUAUAAAAACAUACAUACAUAUGACUCUCCCUUCGUUUUUAAGGACAUGGGAAUCAAUUUGAUAUAGUACUUUAAUGAUCAAAAACUAAAUAGCGACGAGGUCACUUUAUUUCAAUUUUUCUUGCAUUUUUCUUGAUAUCGUGAGAAAAAAACCGGAAAAAACGGGAAUGGGUGUUUAAAGUUAAUAAUUGAUAAUUAUUGUUCUUUUGUUUGUACGCUUUAAAUAACUUUUUCGGUUAUUGAAAAAACUCCGAAACUCUCGCAUCGAUGGCGCUUUAAUGGUGCGGAUUUGUCACGAUUUAUUAGAAACAUUUUUUAUUAGAUUAUCGGCGAUUUUUCAAAAAAAAAAAAAAUAAUAAUAAUAAUAAUAUUUUUAAUCUCACGUAGUGUAAGUGUACGUUUUCGUGAAAUUUUAAUCCUCUAGGAUUCCAGUAGCCGAUUUUUGACCAGCAUUUUAUUAUAAUUACAACCACGACCCAUUAGUUUCAAUAAUAUUCCGAAGCUUUUUUCUCGGCCACGGUGUACACUAUUUUAAUCGUUCACGAAAAAAUUUAAUAUUUACAGAGUGAACUAAAAAAUAAGGGGGGAGUGAAAUAUACGUAACAAACUCUACAACAAACUAUGUAAAAAAUAUUACGCUGGAAACCCCGAAAACCACCGAUCCGCAUUCGCAUUCUUAAUUUAUGUUUGUUGAUUUUUUAUUAUUAUUAUUUUUUUUAAUCUUGCCGUAACCAAAACAGUAAACAGAGCACGAUUUAUAACGUACGAUUGAGAAAAACUUUUUAGGUGUUAUCGUUAUUAUUAUUAUUUUUUUUUUAAUUUCCAACGGCUGUUGAUAUACUUGGGCACGACCCGUUCCGUUCAAACUCAACGUAUCCCGUUUCGCGAUAGGAUACCAGUUUCAGCCAAAGACAUUUUUAACUAAGUUAACGAUAGUAUUUAAAUAAUAUUUGUAACGCGUUGCGCGAUUAUUUAAAAAUGUAAAUCUUAAAUAUUAUAAUUUUAUAAAAAAUAAAAAUCUGACACAGUAUGAUAUAGCCUUUAUAAAAAAAAUUAAAAAUAUUUAAAAAGUUAAAAUUUACAUUAUCAUUUAUGACAGUUACUAAAAAUUAUUUAAAAAAUCAUCACACAAUUCAAAUUGUUAGUGUUUGUUGUUUUUUUUUUUUAAAUUCUACGUAGUAAACUAAAUUGACUGUAAAAAAAAAAAAAAAAAUGAAAUACGUUUUAAAAGUUUACAAACUAUUAAUUAUUUAUAUAUAAUAUCAGUGCACGAAUUAUGAUUGUGUCAAAGCUGGACCUAGAGUUUAAAAUGUUUUCUUCGUUCAACGAUUUAUACGUAACUACGCAUCAAACAGUCGAACGCGUACGUUGUCGCCUCUUUGUUUACGGUUUUUUGAGGAGAUAUUGUGAUUGUAUAAAUCAAAAGUUACCAUGUGUGUAUCCCGUCAACUUUUUUUUUAAACGUAGCUGUCGUGAAAUAUCGAUCAUUAAAGUAAAACUGCAAAAAUACGCAAUUCGAAACUCAAUACUACUGCCUAUACUUACUAUUAUGUAUACGUCAGAGUUAUAUGCUAAUUUCUACAUAAUGGUCAUGGGUAUAUUUGAGAGGAAGGACUGAGACUCCCAGAAUCCUCCUUCUAAUUUAAUGUAAAAUCAUUAAUACUCUUGGGUUUAAUACAUCGGAAUCCGGGAGGACGUUUUAGUUAUUGUCGUUGAGACGAUUAUUAUACGUAACCAAUUUCCGUUAUAUUUAAUUUCUACUAAACAUAUGCGUAGAACAAUAUUUCAGUGCGAGUUUGGGAGGGGGGGGAUUGAACAGUUUGUUUGUAAACUCUAUUAGUAUAAUAUCUUUAUAAACAAAUGCGUGUGAGGAAACACAAUUCGGGAGUCUUGUUUCCGCGAUUGGUUCCCUGAGAGUUUGGUUAGGUUUAUACAGAUAGUUUUCGGAAACGCUCAACAUUUUCGAUAAAAAUAAUACCACUCGGAGUUUCUCCCACUUAAACUACAGAUAAUAGUCGACUAUCACUUUAUUAAUUUGAUAUCGAGAUAAAUAUAAUAUUAUGAUACAAGUGGAUAUUAUGUGACCGGGACGACAACGAGCAUUUAAUAAAUGUAUUGUGUUUCGACUCCUCGUGGUUAUUCGGAAACAGUUUCCAACUAAUUUUAAAAUAUCUUUUCCCCGGCCUGUAUACUUAGACGUGCAGCAGGAUGUGCUGGUACCGUUAGUCAAAGAAGUCGCGAAUGGCAGUGUGAAAAACGGAAAAUGAAGUGAAAAAAAAAACAACGAAAUUCGCUCUCGCGUAGUGUACGGUCGGGUUACAUGACAACGUAUCGUCACACACGAAAGAGCAUAUAAAAAUAUUAUCCGGGGUAAAUGGCUUUUCAUUUGAUUUUUUAAAUAGUUACUGUACUUAUACGGUUUACGAAUUUAUCGAAAUCGAAAUACUCGGUAGAACCAUACAACUUUGGGAUCUGUUUUCUUUUUGCCCCGAAUUCGUUUGAAUCGCAUGUGUCCUUAUCGUUAUUUGUUUGUAUCAAGUAGAUAACAUUGUGCUAUUGUUGCACCAAAUUAUGUAACGUUUAUGGCAUUACUCGACAAUUUUGGACUCGCCUUAUUGUUGCACGGAACCGUGGAAUUCACCAAUUGAAACGGAUUUUAUUCGUAUCUAGAGCCGGGAACGCAAUGUCACAUAAAACCCUGAAAAUACCUGUAAAAAAAAAAAAAAAAAAAUUAUGUAACCAUUGCACGCCCUUAAUUGUUUUCUAUUUAAAAAAAUUUUGGUAUAAAAAAUUUAAAUAUUUUUGGUAUUUUGGUAUUCUGUUGGUCAAAUCUUUACAUUGUUUAUAACCUUCUGUAGGUCGCGCUGGCUAUGAUUACCUAUUCCGUCGUGUAGGGUAAAAAUUGUCUUUGAUUAAAUAAAAUACAUUUUUCUUUAACAUUUAUUUAUUUUAAAUUAAAUUUAUAUAAUUGUAUACAACAAAAAAAAAUACGAUAUAUGAUUAAUAUUUUUAAUUUUACGUUAUUUUUUUAAUUUUUAGACAAAUAAAUAUUUUACUAUUUUUAACUAAUUUGAAAAUUGUAUUUAAUAUUUUUAUUUACGUUAAACAUUUGAAUUACAUGAUUAUUUUUCACAUCUCACUUAAAUACUCUGGACAUACUUCUACUAAGCGGUUUCCGAAUAUAAGUUUUGCACAAUUAGUUCAUUAUUUUGUUAUUUUUGCUAUCACGUUGGCGGCGACAAAAUUGACAUCUUUCUGACGCUCGUGCCUGGUGCUCGCGCCUACUUUUAAUGUUGAUUUGUGCCCAUAAACAUCGCGUUUUAGUUUUUUCCGACGUAGUAUGACAUUAUUCUCAUGAUAAGUGGUAACUCAUCAUCUGAUUCAUGGUAACCAUCAUCGUUUGGAAUCACAUUGUUUACAAAACAUUUUGACUGUUCUGAGGUUUCUUCAUCAGAAAUAUCGGAUUGUUCAGUAUCCGUGUUAUGGUUUUUUUGUAAAAUUCCCACAUUAUUCUCUUCUUCAUUCCUUUAGUUUCCUUCCCAAAUGUCGUCAAUGAACGCUUCGAUCCAUCGACGUUUAUCCAUUUUCAAUAUAAUAUAAUAUACGGUGAAACUCCCAUAAUAUAGUCAUCGAAGGACUGGAAAUAAUGACCCUUAUUUAGAGGUGACCGUCCUUUAGAGGUUUCCUAUAGAGGCAUAAUAUUUGACGGGACCAACAAAAAUAACCGUUACAUAGAGGUGACCGUUAACACGAGGUUAAUAAUUAUCAUAUAACGGACGGUACAUAAUUGCAUGGGCUGAAUUUCUACCGGCCGGAUUGCCGAGUUAACGAAUUCCGAGACUUCCAUUGUCUGUCACGACACCGUGAAUUCAAACGAUCCGCGAUUUGCAUAUGGAAGACGCGACUGGAGGAUAAUAAGUCUGCUCGGUUGUGAUGUUUAGACGCGACCGUCAAACGCGUAAUACGAUUUGAAACAAUAAUAAUAUAUACGCUACAAUCCAGAACUAAACUUAUUCAUCAUUUUUCGAGGUCUGCAUCAUGAAUAAUGCAUAUACCUAACUAUAUAUAGUAUGCAAUUUAAAUGUUAAGCCUGCAGGUCCACGUUAUGUUAGCUAGCUAAGUACUAUCGUGACAGUCUCAAAAUUCGCAACCGUUAUAAUUACUGUCACGGACUCGUGCGGCGUGUGGGAAUUUUACUGCUCCCAUAACCCACACCAGUGAUUUACAAAUAAAAUGACUGCAAGAUUCACCUAGUAAUUUUAUGUUGAAAUUAUAUAUUUAAACCAAGUUACAAAUUGGUUUUUGUUGGAUUCGUCUUUUUAAUUCUCAUCGUCGGGUCAGAUGUAACAAUAAUGUUCGGAUUUAUUCGUGAAGCGUUAUUGUUAUUUACUUCAUAACCUCGUAUUGAAAAUUCCUGAGCAGGCCACUGCACAGACUAUCGUCGCGUGAAUAGGGCGAUAGUUACUAUCGUAAAAACAACUAUCACACGAGUGCAUAUGAUACGGUACGUUUCGUGAGGCCAUGAUGAAAAUGACAGUUACUAUAACCGUGCGAAUACGCAUACUAUCGUUCUGUUUUACUGUCAUGUCGUAUCCCUCUCACAUAAAAUCCGCUGAAAUCACUGAAAUCUGCUCUAAUGUCGUAUAUUAUCUUCUAAUGUCAUUAUACUGUUGUAUUAUCAAGAGACGAAUAAACUCUGACAGUUCGAUAUUGAUAUUGAAAUUUAUUUCGUAAUUAAAAAUUGCCAUAAAAUUUUAAAUUUAUUCGAACGUUCAUCAGUACGCGUUUAAUCGAAUUUCUCCCUCAGAAUCGUUUUUCGUUAGCGACGAUUUGUCGUCUCGCGCAGAAAUGCAUAAAAAAUACCCUAAAUAUCAUACAUCUUCGAUUCUUUUUUAUUUUUUUAUCAAAAAACUCAUUUUUCAUAGAAUCAAACCGAUAAUAACAAGCUUUAGGUAUAUAUAUACGUUCGAGUAGGAUUUUUUUUUUCGUCAGCGAAUUUCGAUUUUGACAAGUAGGUAAUAAACGAUGCCACGUGUGAAUUGUUUUCGUGUAUAAUCAAGUGACAUCGUGUCAAAAUACGAUUUUUAUUGAUUUUUCUGGGACGCGUGUUUUUUUUGUGUUUUGUUAUUUUUUUUUUUUUGUUUGGUAUAUGUCCAUUCGCACGUUUUUCGAUAAAAGAAAUACUCAAAAAUGUCACGUAUUUACUACGGAUCGGACGUUUGAUCGUCCACAACGGUACAUUUCGAUGGUGAUUUACGAGUGUUGCAAAAAAAAAAUAAUAAUAUAAAAAUAAAUGUAAUUUUUCAGCAGUUCGGUCAUUGACUUUUAACACGUAGUAUUUUCGUUUCGAGAUUUCUCGUUAUUAUCGUAGCCGGAUGAUAUUCUAGAGACUUGGCAUUUUUAUCGAUUCCGUCGUUGCAAACAAACGGUUCCAAUCAAUAUAUACGUUUUAAAAUUAUUUGUUUGCAAAACAUACGAGUGUUUUACUGCGUGUCGCGCUCGCUUAGUACUUUAAACAACGGUUAUCGCGUGUAAUAAUUUAUUCAAAGGAAUAUUUUUACGAAAUUUAUCAACUAGAACAUGUUCGAAUACGUAUAUAAUAUUGGCAUAUAGUGCGGGAAAAACAUCUGAUGAUUCCUAACUGAACUCGGUUAAACGGUUUGUUUUUUUUUCUUUUUUUAUCGCCAAAUUUUAUAGACUCAACUGGAAAAAAAAACGCCCAUGAGCAGCUUCUAGAGUCACAAUAAGAAUCGCAUUUUUACCCGCCCGUUUUGUAGGUAGUUGAAAUGUUCUUUGUCAAACAACCAAUAACCCCGAAUACUGUAACAAUACAAUAUGCUACGUGCAAUUAAACUACUCGAAAACGAUUAUGGUGAAAUCGUGAUAGUCAUUGUAGCGGGACGGGUUAUUAAGUUAACGAUCCUAAAAGGAAUAUCGCCGAGAUUAAAGACGUGCACGCACAAAAAGGUAUCACCCGGCCUCGUCCGGGUGCAAAGCUAAAUCCCGUGUAACUUCAAUGUGCUUACGAAACAAAAUCUGAUAUCCCGGGUUUCAACAGAUUCGGUCGACAGGAAGACGCUAGAAAUUAUUGGCUGGAAAAAUCCAGAUUUUCAGAAUCAGAAAUCGACAAUAAUUUCGUUUUUUAUUUUUUUUCAUCAAUUUAUAAUUCACUUUAUUUUCUCAUUUUAUACAUUAUAAAUAUUAUAUUAAAAUAAAUGAUUAGAAAAAUCAAAUGCUCGGAUUUCCGAAAUUUAAAGUCUGAAAUACUCCGUGUUGGUCCGCAUUUUUCGGAUUUUCGGACAAUCCGGAUUUACCCGUGUUUUGUAUCCUACGGAAAAUAAUGCAAUACCGCAUUAAUAAUAGGACAAUAUAAUAACGUAGUCUAUAGUUUCGAGGAGAAUUCGACAAAUAUGAUAAUUUGCGAUUUUGUCGCGGGUACUAUAAUAACUUCGAACUCGUCGUUUUCGACGUAUCCAUUGGUACGGAAACUCGGAAAAACUUGACCACGGGAGCCUCGGUGCGGUUUUUUUUUUGAAAUACGGACGGAUUUCCCGCCGCCGUCGUCCCCCAACGAACUUCAAUGCAUACUUUCGUUGCUGUACAGGAUGAUAAAACAAGCGUGGUCACCUUAUUUUUCGGUUAAAUUUUGAAUUAAUUCAAAUUGCCGUUUUUGGAAUUUUCAAGUGUAGCUGAUAUUUCGAAUACUCAGGUUUGUUAAGGCAUUAACGGAAUAUCGCGUGGUGAUGUCGACAUUGGUAUUUCGACCGAAAACCUAUGUUGAAAACUCCGCGAAUAGACGGAGUAUUAUUUUAAAUAAAUGUUGACGUCCGUCAACCCGUUGACGGGAUAUUCCACUUUUAACCUUGGAUAAGGGGAGAUGUGUAUCCGUAUUCUGUGUGGCCGCGCGGCGCGCCGCGUUUUGUUAGUAUUCCGCUACUCUCGACCCCGUCGUCACAGGAUACUCGUUAAACGCCGCGGAAGUCCGAGUGUUCGAAAACAUCGGCCGCGCUUCGAAAUCCCGAAAGUCGCAAUUCGAACGCACGCGAAAUUUAACCGAAUGAACGGCGCUCAGCGAAUCGCCGUGUACACCGGCGUCUUGACGGACGGCCGCGAAACGACGGGACCGCGCGUACGGUUCAAACCGGCGAAACGGCAGUUAUGGACGGGAGGACGGUGGUGGUGGUGGGGNNNNNNNNNNNNNNNNNNNNNNNNNNNNNNNNNNNNNNNNNNNNNNNNNNNNNNNNNNNNNNNNNNNNNNNNNNNNNNNNNNNNNNNNNNNNNNNNNNNNNNNNNNNNNNNNNNNNNNNNNNNNNNNNNNNNNNNNNNNNNNNNNNNNNNNNNNNNNNNNNNNNNNNNNNNNNNNNNNNNNNNNNNNNNNNNNNNNNNNNNNNNNNNNNNNNNNNNNNNNNNNNNNNNNNNNNNNNNNNNNNNNNNNGGGGGGGGGGGGGGGGGGGGUCGGCGAGUGGCGUACGGGCCGGCAAGGCGGCCACGACGGUGAAACGGACGGGGGACGCGUGCACCAGGAGGAUCGCCGCGCGCCGUGUCCUUCGGAGUCGCGGUAAAAACCGACCGGCCGCGGGCUGGCGGACGAUGCGCGCGGGCGUAACGGUACCGGCGGCGGCGGCGGCUGCGGCACUGGCUGCCGAUCCCUUUCGGCUUACAACUUUCCGGUUUCCCGCUCCGGGACCGCAAAACUAAGUCCCGAACGAAAUCCGCCGUGCGGUUACGUCCGCCCGUGCGCCCCGGAUAGUGGUACACGGGUCGCCGCUUUGACGACUGCGAUUGUAUAAUACGCGCGAGCCCGAUUGCCGUCGCGGAGACGACGACGACUGUUGUUGUUGUAUACCCGCGCUUCUCGGCGUGUAUAUUCGUAUCGUUAUUAUUAUUAUUAUUAUUAUUAUUACGCGACACGCCGCCGAUAAAGCCGCUUUUGUGUUACGAGUAUAUUCUCGUCCGAGCGUGCCGCGCGGGCGUUAAUUAGUAACGCGGUGAGACGCGGUGACGAGGAGAGCCGAGAAAGAGAGAGACUAGGAGACGGCCGGAGAAAGUGAGAGUGUGUACGCGCGCGCUCGCGCGUGUGUGUGUGUGUGUGUGUGUGUGUGUGUGUAUAUACCAGUGAACUUUCGCAACCGACGACGCCGCCCCGACGACGACGACGACCGUUAUUGAUUGACGUGCAACCGUUGUCGUCGUCGUUGUCGUGAGCUUAAAUACAAUACCUACACUCGUUCCUCAUCUCCGCGUUCUUCGCCGCCGCCGCCGCCGCGUUACAAUAAUAAUUUACCGGGCGUUCCGUCCCCCCCCCUUCCCCCCACUCCCCACCCGCCAAUCCGCCCCGUACGCGACCGCGGGCCCGCGGCCGUGUUGCGGCGCGGCGCGUCCGAUCCGGGUCCCGCGAUAAAUAUCCGUUCGAGGACGAUCGAGAACGCGCGUACGCGGCUUUUCGGCCGAACGGUCGAGAGCCCCCGCCCGGCCGUCUUGGAAUCCACAAAGCACGAUAAUAAUUAUUCACUCGCUAAUCCGGACGACGGAUACGGUCGGGGACGCCGCGUCCUCGCGUGAAGCGGCGGCGUCGCCGAUUGUGCCGUCGCGGAAAAGACGCGCUCCCCCGACCCGAAUUUUACAGUGGAACGUCCCGUCAACGGAUUGACGGAAAUUACAAAUAAAAACAAAAAAUUUAUUUUACCUUCUACUCCGUCUGUUCGUGGAAUUUUUAUUGUAGGUUACCGUUUAAAUUUACCUUUUAGGUAUAUUUUGCGGGUGGGUGGUGCCAAACUUGGAGUCGCUAAAGACUAGCACCCUAGCACUCCCUGCCCCCUCUCCUUCAUAAUCACGCCUACACACUGGUAUGGAACAUCCGGGUAGUUUAACGUUUUGUUAUCGUGGUGACGGGCGAUAAUAUUGAAGCUUUUAGGAUACAUAUCGAAUUUUUAAACCGUUUCGAUACGCGAUAAAACAUAAGAUCCCUUAAAUGUAAGUAACGGCUAUUUUUAUCACCGAAUUUAAUAGUUCUGUUAUUUUGUCUUUUUUGUUCAAUCGUCGGUAAAUAAUAUAAUUGUUUUGUACACCAUAAUUCGAUCAAGAUACCAGCCAGACGUCUAAAUGUUUAUUAAAAACAUUUUUUUUUUUCACAUUCCAUUAUUUGACAGAUUUAAAAUCUGUGACUUUUAAGAGAUUUAUUUUCUAUUUUGCGAGUGGCAGAACAAAUUAAAAGUUAAGUAAAUCGUGAAAUAGCACUAUGACGUAAUGAAUUCCCGUGAAAAACAGAAUGGAUUAACGUGGGUUCUUGUUCCGGGAGAAACUUCCAUCGGGACGUUUUUCAUACCGUUUUUAAAUUGAUAUUAUAUUAUGAAUUGUUGGUUUUUUUUUUUUUUUUUUUGAUCCUGUCAAUUCAUUUGUCACCGGAUAUUUUUACAUUGAGAUCUCAAACCAAAAAAAAAAGAAAAAGAAAACAACUCGACUGUUCCCCCGAAAUGAACAUGGAGACGACAGUAUUAUUGGAAGUUUAUUACUAUUAUUAAAAUUUAUUUUUUUUCGUAUAGUUCAGUAGAAAAUUUUCAUUUCGUUUUUUUUUUCUUUUCAUACAUACGUAACAUAUAAUCAACCUAAACCAAAUGUCACACAAAUACAACAAGUACGCUACACAUAUAACGCAACAGUAAUGUACAGUUCAUUAAUUUCACUCGCCGUUGACCGUAUAUAAAUAAAAUUUAUUACGCUGACUGAUUCCGAAACUAUAAUAUAAUAUGUUUACGAUUCGACUUUAAAAACUCAAUAGCUAAAAAAAAUUAUACAUCAGGUAUAGGUACAGAAUGUAUCGAGUUGUUAAUUCAACAACACCACCCAUCGAAAAAUUGUUCUCGUCCCACCACCGAGUAUAUGUAGUAAAUAAAGGUGCGUAGCGAAUAGAUAUAAAUUUGGUUUUUUUUUUUUUUUUGGCUUAAUUGAGUUCUCCAAAACGGAUCAGUUCUGCUUAUUUCGUUAAUUCGACAACCGGAAAACCGGUUGAACCGAAAUGUAGACAGACAACAUAAAAUCUGCGUGAAAUUUCCAUCUUAUACCUUCGACAUUUUUAUAGCUGAUAUUUUGGAAAAUUACGGCUAGUAAAUAAAUAAUUAAUAACACUGCCAAAAUUCGCACGAUGGGUGGGCCACUAUUGUAUGUGAAAAACCUAACGAAACCACGGUUCGAGGGAUCACCUGGGAUUAAGUCCUUGGAUGGUCUCUAUAGUUUCCUAGAGAGUCCGGAGAAUUGCUUUACCCCCGGUAUUUUUAGAUGACACAGGCAUCUUCGUGGGGUUGGACACCAGUAGUGUCGCGGAUUUCUCUCGCGACUCGAAGCGAACAUGUGCAAUUUCUCGUUGGCCGGACGAGUGUCGGUACUUUCCUACCGGGGUUGCAUCCGGCGGCUACGGGCUCACCUCUCUGUGUGGUCGUUCGGAGGUCUCCUCGGGCUCCGACCGUCUGGUCACAGCGCGGGAUUUCUUCGGGCGGCCCAAUUACCUCUAGCAACGGAGAUUGUGUAAUCACGCGCGAUUCGGGAGACACUUCACUGACUUGCGCCGUGUCCGGUGCCUGCCGUUGGGUUCGGACGGACUUGUGAGUUUCGGUGGGCAGUGGUUAAUUAGCUAGGGGCCACAUACCCGACCGAACCGGCGAGCAAGACGGUAGGUGAACUGGGUGGUGGUCACUGGGGCCGCUGAUUGUCAUGCAUUCAAGACUAGCCCUGAAACCCUUCGGAUUUCUUGAAUAACUACCCUUAGCUAAUAUAAGGUACCCGGUUGCACCGUGCUCUGGUACGGAUUAAAAAUUACUGUUGUAGGUUUGUAGGGCCAAAGGUUGGAUUGGUAGGAUAUUGAGGGAAAUUUAAUUUAUACCUGUCCUUAAUGUCAUUAAUUUGUACUUUUACUAUAUUAAUAAUUAUGAUCAAAUUUUAACAUUUAUUUAUUUGUGGCUUUAUUAUAAGAACAUUAUGCCAGAAUAGUGUAUAAAGUAAUUGUUUCAUGUUAUAAUAACAACACUAAUAGUUAACAUGAAAUAAUUUAAAAAACGGGCAGUGUAGUGUUUUAUCUAGGAUCUGGACAGGUCUAUGUCUAUUAGUAAAAAUUUACCCGAAUCAAACAAUCAAAUUGACCAGAUAAACCUUUUUAAAUUGCGAUUAAUCAUUAAAAAUAAUAGGUAACACGUUUAACUAACACGAAUAUAGAUAUUCGCCGGAUAUUGGUUGGAUACGUGUCCCGUCAGAUCGAUAUAAUUAUUUACGGAUAUUAAAUUAUCUUUACCUCGACUGUCGUCGACAUGAACGGAAGCGUCUUGGUCUCGAAACCCUGACCAAAACGAAAACCUUUACCGAAAUCUAGUCGGACCGUUUUAUCGCGCGUUUCGUAAAAUAAAUCAAGACCGCCUGGCGAGACUAACAUCAGUUGUCCACCAUGACUAAGGCUGCCCUUAAGUCUCGGUUCGCUCGUCACUGAAUUCUGUAUAGUCGGUCUAUUGUAUACGUAUAUUUUAUCAUUUCCGUAUCUAAAUACCGCCGUAUCGAUAACCAGUCUGGCGAUAGUUAUCUAUGCUCUAGAAACAUUUUAAAACCUAUCGAUAUACAUCGCCGAUUGUUAUUGUGUGUAGACACGGAUAAUUGUUAUUAUUAUUAUUUUUUUCCGUUACCGUUUCAAAACAGUCGGUUCGUGUCGUAUAAUAUUUAUGGACCGUGGCCAGCGAAAUGUAAUAUUAUUACCUAAUAUUAUAUUAUGAUAUUAUGCUAUCGAAUUACCGCUGGGAUUCUCGGCGUUUCGGUUUUUAUGCGGUUCGAAAUCGAGAUUGUCGAUCGCUAAUAAUAACAGUAAUUAUUAAUAUUAUCGGUAACGAUAAUAUAGGAACCGUGUAGGCAUCGAUUUCGUCCUCGAUAACAAAAGAUAAUCAUUAUUAUUAUACACUUUAUAUCGCGAGCACCGCGUUAUUAAUGUUCCCGCUGUUAUCGUUUUAAUAUGAUAAAAAUAAUACGGCAUAAUAUGUACGGAAGCCUCCGUAUGAAAUGCGCCUGUCUCCGUAAUACCGCCACCGUUCUACAGGUUAGGCAUAUUACCCGCCCGAUAUCGUGGCUUGUGCGCGCGCCCAUUGAGCGUAUAGUUAUAUGCUAAUUCGGUCGAAACACUUCCGUGACGACUGUACUUGGAACGAUACACGAAAAAGUAAAAACCGCGAUAAAAAAAAAAACCCGUACGGCAAUAUAAUAUUAUAACAGGGCGGACGCGGUUUCGUUUUUCGUUCUGUCGAUACCACGGACAAAAAAAAAAUGAAAAAACGAAAUUAAUCAAAUCGCGGCGUAAUAUAGUAUUGUGAUAAUUACACGCUGUGUAUUAAUAAUGCAAAACCGUGUCGAUUCGUGUCGUUUCGUUCCCGUAGUUUUCUUCGCGCGAGAACCGUCCGCCUCCCGAUUUGUUAUAAUAUCCGAUAGUUUACGUCGCACCAACCAGUGGCGUGCCGGACGCGUUAUCAUUUUUCCGCGCUUCGGACCAUUGCGGUCGUCGUUCGCUACAUUUUAACUGUCGUCGGACGAUUUUUGUUUUUUCGUACGUUUAAUCCAAGAGCAAACACGAGAAAAUCAUUUUUACGGCUAUCGUCCGUAUUUACCAUAAUUUGAGGCAGCGAAAAACUUCGACAGUUUUCUAGCGCCACGUGCGCCACUAGGAAACGCGAGAGACCGUAUUUUUUAUAAUAUUACGCGUCGCAGAAAAACUGCGUUUUGAUCGCAUAAUCGAUUCCGUAGAUACAAAUUUCACGGUGUCGUGUACCCUGCUAAGUAGUUUUUCGAUUAGACGACUACCGGUUUUCGACGUAUGGCAUUUGAAUAUUGUUAUGUGCGCGUGAUACGCGAGUACAGAAAAGGUUAUUUUCUUUUUUUAUCCAUACACGUCUAUAGGACAACGUUCGAGACAAUAUCGGGACUGAUUCUCGUGGUGUCGAUAAACGCGGGUACCGUGUUUUUUUUCUCUUUGAACAAUCUUAUUCGAAACGAAAAACCGUUAAUUGACGGGCCCGGCGCAACAACGAAAUGAUUUUUGAUAGUUUCGAGUAAUCCGAUUGAAUAUGUUAGGUACAUAAUUUGGCGUAACAGCAAUGCACAUCCGUCUAUUAUAUACGGACGAAAAAGUGAUCAGGAUUUGUACGGUUCUAUACAGAAGCGCUGGACAGAAAAAAAAAAACAAGUCCCAUGGACACACGCAAUUUUUUCAUUCUCCUGAAAAAUUUCGAAAAGUGGGCUCGUUUUUUUUGCCGUGAUGAACCCAUCUUCGAUUUGUAUGAUAUUCGGCACCCUGGAAACGGUUAGUCAUAUUAUGCGACGUGUUACAAGAGUUAGGCGGAUUCUGCGCGUUUAAAUCUCCUACCAAAAUUAUAAUAUACGAGAGUUUCGUGUAGUGUGUGACCGAAAUAUUAAGUAAACGAUUUAUUAUAUUACGACUUUCGCUAUAAUUUUUGAUUAACGUAAUCAUAUAUUAAAAUGCGGUACAUCAGCGCGGUAGUGUGGUUAAUUCCCUUUAGCGUAUUCGCGGGCCGUUUCAAUUAUUUAAAUGUUAAAAAGUUAGGCUACAUAGGUAUGCGGUGAAAACAAUUCCGUUCGCUCCGACAACGGCAGUUCACGAGUAUUAUAACAGUGAUGCGAGAACGAGAAUAUUUUCACGGAGACUGUUCCCGGAGAGAAUAUUUUCACUAUAAUAAAUCGUGCCGUUAAAGUAAAAAUUUUGAAACCGAUUAAGCGGAACGUGAUACCAUAAUACGUAAUACCGAAUAGUACGUUUUUAAACUUGACCGUGAAUACUGAAAUAAUGAAGAUCGAACAACUAACAACGAUAUAAGCGUUUCGCAGGUUCGUAGAUUUCAAGAUUUUCAUUGAGUAUUGUUCUGCGAUAUCUGUUUCUUAUACAAUUUAUGUAAAUUAUUCGAAUAAUUAUGGUAAAAACUUGUGCUUAUUUUUUUUUUUUUUUUAUUCAAACAAUUAUUAUUGCCUCAAUGAGAAUGUCGCCAGCUCUGGUAUAGUAUAGCUAAAUAAUAUUGUAAUUAUGUUCUUAGACACGGUAGUAUAAAAGUAAAUGAAAGUAUAUUUUCAUGUUUUCAAGUUUGUUUUUUUUUUUUUUUAACAAUAUUAAACUGUAUUUUAACGACGAAAACAUAAUCGUGUAAUUUUUUAAAUGUUUUACAUUUAAAUUGAUGAAAAAUGUUUAAAAGUUUAAUAGAUUAUAUUAUCUGGAGAUUUUAUUCCGACUAUCGCGUUUAAAUGUAACGUUCGAACGAGAUUUUUAUUUUUUUUUGUAAGAAACUUCUGUUUAGAAGUUUUUUAUAAAUAUGUUUUGCUUUAAAUUUUUAAAUAUAAAGGAAUUAGAACUUUUAGUUAAUUAAAAUGGAAUUUUUAAGAAUAAUUUUUUUUUAUGUAUAAAACUUAAGAUAUUUUAUUUGAUUCACUAAACGUGUUUUGUGGUAUUACAAUAAACAUCACGAUAAUAUAAUUUUUAUUUCUCAUAUUCGUUGUAUUACUCGUUAUAGUAUACAUCUUAUUUUUAAUAAACUUAUUUGCUUAAUCUAAUCCCAGAUUUUUAUUUUUUUUUAAAAAUCAAAAUCUGAUUCGCCAAAAUAAUAGAAAAAAAAAAAUUUUAAAUCCGAUUUUUUACGAGGCAUAAUGAUUUUUCUUAUUAGGUAAAUUAAAAAAAAAAAAAAAAACACCGUUCGUACGCUAGCUUCUUAAUAUACAAAUUGAAAGUCAUCAAUUGUAAAUGUUGAAUAUGUGUUAUAAAUAAUUACGUCCGUUUUGUAAAAAUUCACGAGCAGAAACAUUGAAAAAUCGUAUGAAAACGAUUAAAGAAAACAAGAGCCGAUGAUACUGUUGUUGGGAAGGCGGUGUGCAAUCAUUUUUGUUACAUAUAAAAUAAAAAAAUGCUGAUCCUGGGGAUAGAAGCGUCCACAGUUAUAGGUGAUAAGUUGGAAAGGUAGAAUACAUAAGGUUAUUUCAUUUAUAUCUGUAAACAACGAUAAACCAUUGCUUGACGAAAGUGGAUUCCAAGGGCAAUUCGGCAUAAAUAAUUUGGAAUGCCCUAAUUUUUUUUGCUAUUUGCGUUUAAAUUUGGCUUGAAAACGUUUAUAUAAAAAAAAAAGUCCGAUGAUUUUUUAAAUUUUUCCACGUCUAAGUAAGUCUAAUAGGCAUGUAUUAUUACCAAGGUUCAAGUCUUUAUGUCUUUUGAUUUUGCGAUUAAAUCAAUAUUUCUAGUAGAAAACUUCGUCCGUGUUUUUAUAAAAUAAUUAAAUCGUGAUAUUGUAUGUUUUCCUACGUGUUUUCCCUCUUAAGUGUUUUCAUUUAAAAACAGCGUUGAAAAUCAAAAAAUGAUCUUAUUUUAUCAAAUUUUACCAGAAAAAAAACAUGUCUACAGACUAGAACAAAGAAAGAAAAAAGAAGAAAAAAUAAUCAGCAUUUUUGUUAAUUUGUUACGCUCGAAAUCUAAAAUGAACCGUCUCAGUUCACUAAUAAGGCGAAAUUCGUGUUCAGAAAUGAUUCUACACUCGAAAAUCGUACCAAUUUUUCCGGGAAAAAGUUGUUUACUUUUUGUAGAAAAAGAAAACGCACGCAUUUUAGUAAAACCAAUGUAUUCCCCGCUGCGCUACAAAUUUAGAAAAAUGAAACGACAAAUACAUAAGGUCAUUUACUUUAUACCUGCCGAGAUAAUCUUUGAAAUACGUAGAAAAAAAAAAUAAAAUAAAAAAUAAAUAAUUGUCAUCUAUUUAAUUGCGCUUAUUAUGGCACACAAGCAGACAUUUGGGCGGGUAUGUGACACACGGGUUGUGUAAAAAGAAAUAAAAAAAUUAUAAUAAAUGCGCAUCAGUCAACGGUAUAAUAUUAUAAUAGGAUAACGUGCGGUCGUAACGGCAUCAACUGUCGUGUGGUAAAUAUAUUCUAUUUUUCGUGGUAGUUUAUUAAAAAUUUAAUAAAAAAAGAAAAUAUACACAAUCUGUCUUUUUUCACCCCUCUGUACGCCAUUCGGUUAUUCUUCGCCGAAUGAAAAUCAUUUUUAUGGCAUUAGCCGAAUGAACCAACCAUACAAAAUUAUAACAGGCAGGUACGACUCAAAUCGAAUCAAACCGUCUUUACACCUAAAUAAAAAAAAUUUAAAAUUAAAAAACUCGAGGAGCGUUUAUAAUAUUCUAAAAGUAUGGUUAUGCGAGAUUUUCGAGAAUACCUCUAAGGUACAAAACCAGAUCUGUAAAAAGAAAUUUAAGUGACACAAAAUAAAUUACUCCUCCUCUUAUAGCCAAACGCCACUCUACGUUUUCAUUGAAAUUUUUUAUUUUUAUUUUGUAUAAAUUCCGGAUUUCGCUCCUCGGUUGUCUGAAAUGCGCUUUUGGCCUAAGCAACCAUGUCCCAGCCCAGAGCCACGUUUUUGCAGAAAAGCAAUUUGCCAUUUUAUUUUUCGAAAGACACUACAUUAUUAUCAAUAUCAUUCAUCUUGAAAAAUAUUACUUAAUUUUACUCAAGGUUUUCUUUUUAAGAAAUUUCAAAAUUACAUUAUGCAAAUCUGGAAUAAUCGCAUAAUGAUAUUCGUAAAUUUUUAUCGUUUUCGAUAGAGUUGUGAAUAUAGUAAAUUCACCGUACAUGUUUCAUUUUUUUUUUCUACUGGUAAAUUAUUUUUAACCCUAACAAAUAUUGUUUGUUGUCUCUCAUCAAAUGUAAUCAAAAAUGCCCUUUCCGAAUUAUAGAGUUAUAAUUAUUAUAGGACUAAUCAUAUUUUUUAUUCUCUCGACACUAUAUUCGGUCAAAUGUCAAUCAUUAUCAAUAAUCAGCUGUCGAAUGUAAGUGCUUUUAUUACUGUUUAAUAUUUCUAUUUUAAGGCGUAUUUUCGAGUUUCUGGUUUCUAUUGAAUCAACAAAAAAACAUAUUUUUACGUUUUAUUAUAACAGUUUUGACCAAAGUAGGGUAAACCGCAAAAGUAACUUACUGUAAUAUUAAUUGUUAUCAUUUUUCAUAUUGAUAUACUAUCAAGUAUCAUUAUUUAUUACUUAAUUUAUAUUAAACAUUCAAUAAUACUAAUAAAAAAACAUUUUACUAGGAAAAUUUAGCUGUUUUGAUAUUUUAACUAUUUUAUUGGUAAAUUCACCGAUAUUUUACUUUGCCAAAAAUCACCAUUUCUAGUUUUCGAUUUUUAAACGACAACUGCCGCGAUAACCGCACUGUCAUUACAAGAGGACUGUAUAUCGAAAAUUGUGAAUUGUUCAAGAGAGCCAAACUAUUUCACUUAUUUCACCGACAGUGUGAAUUUGUUAAUGUUUUAACGCAAGAAGGCCAUAUUUCGUAAUGUUCCGAAAUUGUUCACGACAUCCAUUCACGUUACCGAGAAAUAUCCAUAUUUAUUUAGUUCAAGAGACCGCAUUCCGUUUUUAUGGCUUGAUUGUUUUCAGCUACUUGACCUAUCCAUAUGUUUUAGUGUAGUACGUUUGUUUUAAUAACUGGCAAUUUAAUAAUAUAAUUCCAUGGAUCAAGUCACUAUAAAGAAAAAGAAAAAAAAAUGCGAAUUCGGGGACACCAAAACCUUAAAACCUUAAGUGAUAUUUUUGAAAAGUCAUAGAUUCCCAGUUGUAUAGUAUUGUUGUUCUUAACACUAAAACGGAAAAGUACAAAAUUAUAAUCGUUAAAUAUUUAGGCAUCCACUAAGCGAAUUCCGAAAUUAUCCCUGGCCUCUCGGACGUCGUCUCGAGUUCACCAACCUGUACCGUCGAAGACUUGUUUUCCGAUAAUUCUAUUUUUAGUCGCUCAACCGGAUAUCUGAACUACUGGCAGUUACGUCCCCACGACUCGAUAACGUCUCGAAAAGGUAUUGUUUGAUCGAAAUAUUAACGUCGGCAACCAUUGAAUGGCUUCAUCGGCACUCGCAUAUUUUUUUCGUUUUGUAUAUCUGUCUGUCACGUAUUACUAUAAUAUAAUAUUAUCUUAAGAUUCUUAAAUUUCGAUAUAAACUAAUUUAGAGGACGCGAUACUCGCAUUUACUGGCUCAACCCGACUAACGGUCAACAUAUCGAAACUACGAUGGGGCAGACCAGACAGAACUCGCCUGGUUUUCAGUUUACAGUAAAAACACUUGAUAUAAAAUUGAAAUGGGACGAUAAUCGGGAGGACACCACGAUUUUACCACCAUUCCGAAUAUAAAAAUAAGUAUAUUAUUAAGUAAUAACAAUUCUGAUAUUUUAAAACGAUUGUACCUAAAAAUAAACUAUUUUAAAAAACAUCGCGUGGUGCCUUCCCAAAUGUCGUGAUCUUUUAGUUAUACAAUAUGUUUAUAUAUAAUACUCAGUGUGCGUAAUUUUUUUCUUUUUACGUGUCCUGUUUGUUAGAAUAAAACAGCAUAUGCGGAUACCAUACCCUUAGUAAUUCCUUUAGUGUAUAAAUUGAAUAUGCGGAUGCAACUAUGAAAACAUAUAAUUAGCAUAGCUAGACUGUACAGGAUCUAGAAUGUACAAGUUUUUGAAUCCGAAUUUUCACGAAUAUUAAAAUCUUAACCUAAAAUAUAAGGACCUGCUAAACGUUGCGCUUGCAAAAGGGCAUUUUCUUGUUCUUAAACAUUAAAUAUACACACCGAAUGCGCAGUUUGAUUCGUUUAUAAAAUAUUAUGUUACAAUAGAAUGCGAAACUUAUAUUGGACAUUUUUUCGCAGUGUUUUCACUCCCCAAUAUUCGGAGUUUCGAUUUUCCGAUCAAUUUUAUACGGCGUAUACACCCGCGUGCAUUAUUUUCAAUACGAGUGUCGUCGAAGCGCGGGUCUAGCCCUUUAUCUCCGCGUAUACGUCAUUCGUAAGAUUCUCGGUGGUACCGUGGUCGUCAACCGUAUAGUAAUACGUACACGCGAAUCAGGUCUUCACCGCGAAAUUCCUCUCGGAAACUGCGUUUGCGGCCUUUGCCGGGAUGCAAGACGUACGGCGAGCGUACGCUUUUCUCCUCUCCGAUAGUUACUAUAUACGGUGCCACUUGUGAGUUGAUGCACCCGUAUUAAAAUAUCGACGUAUAUACCGGGUGUUCGCAAUUAAACGGGUUACGUCACGUCCCGCUGUUGUUUUCGAGCCACGUGUCGCCGUGCAGUAUCACCCGCAGCGGACCGUUGAUCGUCAUGGCGCGCGAUACGAAACUAAAACUCGUGCGCCGUUUCGAAUUGGUUCGUGCGCCAUUUUCUCUAUAAUAUUAUUUCGGGUGCGUGCGAUUUCGCUGCCCCUCGGCUUUUGUUAUUAUUGUAUAUAUAUAUAUGUAUGAAAUAAAUUUCGGGAAAUCGAACCGACCGGUGUGCACCGACGACGGGGCCCGCGUCAUCGGCGGCGGCGACGAUGGGAACCGACGACAGAUGUUCGACUAAAACGCUAUAUUGUCGUUUUGACCCGAUACACACAUAAAUAUUAUAUAAUACGCAUUCGUUUUUCCGGACCGAAAAAUAUCGUCUCGAAAAACGUUUCGCCGCCGCGACGUGCGAACAACGUCCGCACGUCUAUAUAUUAUACAUAUAUAUAUAUAUAUAUAUAUAUACGUAUAGUACCAGCUACGCGCUACGCCAGACGCAAAAGUCGAGGGAAGCAAAAAAAAAAAAAAAAUAGCUUAUUCUUCUGACGGCAACGGCCAUAUCGGUCGACCCAGAUAAUAUUAUAUUUAAGUAUAAACUCUCCUAUAUCCUAUGCGCACCGUUAUUAUACUCGUAUACGGUCUCCAGAUAUCGUAUUUUCGGUGUACGCGACGCACGUCAUAAUAAUGUAAUUUUGUCUUUUUCUACUUCCCGGUGACACACAAUAACAAAUUGUCGAGAAAUUUCGUCACAAUCUCUACCACGAGCCGCUGUCGGACACUCCAUGCGCUAUUACGUACACUCUCUUACCGAUUUCUACGCAUAAUUUUUUCAGGUAUCAUUUCAGGUCCGGUUAAUUCAGGUCCGUUUAUCCGUCACUUCGUCACACGUUCUUCGUAGGUCAUUGGGGUACAUGCUAUUAAAAUAUGUAUUAUGUCUAAUAAUAUUGUUUUUAGGUGCUUAUAGAUGCCGUAGUGGUACGAGGAACUUUUUUUUAAGGCCACCGCUUCUUUUGAAGUGGAUUUAGGGAACAUUAUCCUCUGAUUUGGCAUAGAAAAUAUUUUGAUCAAACGAAGUAUCAGUUUCCUUCGCAUAUUAAAUAUCAACUUAAUCAAAUAUGACUGAUGAAAUUAGUGAUUUUUUUUUUUUGUUAUGUAUCGAAGAUAUUUGUUUUGUAUACCUUUAUUAAAUCAGUUGUUUGCGAUCAAUUCACCGGUAUCUUGGAAAGCUUUGAUAUUUACGAUUUCCAUUAAAAUUUAAACUAGAACCAAUGUUCAAGAAAAACAAUUCUGAGGAAAAUAUUAUUAAUCGUAUUUUUUCUUGUUAUUAAGGUUCUUGCUACUAUCCGACUAACGACAUUAACAAAAGGUGAAGUACCAAAGAGAUAUUGUUAUUACUACUAUAUGGUAAAAAUGGUAACAAUAACUUAUAUAUACAUUUUUUUCAAUUUGCACUCUGAUGACAUACUCUCAGACUGUAAUUACUGUGUUAUUAACUGUUUCUUAAAGUAAUAAAUGAGAUAUUUGUAUUCGCAUAAAAUGAGUUAAUGGUCUCCGAGCGCAUUAUUGACGUCCCGUAAAUUUAGGAAAUCUAAAAGUUAGAGAUUCCAAUUCCAGUGUGGUCAGAUUUUUCUAAUCUUAUCUAACGGAAACAUUUCACUAACCACAUUUUUGAUUUUCCCUCCAAAUAAUGACAAGGAUGAGUAUACCAAUGCCAUAAAAAUACGUGGAUAUUUCGUGUAACGAUUGUCCUUCUGCUCUCUUGUCGUGUUGGUUAUUAAUUAAAAACUUUCUAACAUAUACUGUUUUUUUUUUUUUUUUAAUUUGAUUUUCUAGUGUUAUUGUUACUAUAUUUUUUUAUUUGCUAUUGAUAUGAAUAAUCAAAAUAAUAAACAAAAAUACUAAAGAAGACCAAAAUCGUUUUAUAAUAAAUGUAUUAUAACAAUAAUUAUAAUAAUAUGUAUAUGAAUUUAUAUUUAACUUAAUACUGAAUUUUUCAAUUUUUUUUUUAGUAAAAUUUAAUGUUUAAAAAAAAAAAAAAAUACGUUUGUAGACAAAAUAAACGUAAAAUGAUAUAAAUUACAUAUAUGUAGAAUUUAGGUGACAAAUUAAAAUAAAAAUUCUAUAUCUUUCUUUUUUUCCUCGUACAUUGAAUUUAAUCAGUGUUGGAACUUUUUUUGUCAUUAAAUCUAUUAAAGUGCUUUGGAAAUUUAUGUCAUGUAACAACUAGCUCAAAUUUUAAUAAUUUUUCAAUAAAAAUGCAAAUUAAUAGUAUAAAUUAAAAAUGUAUUUAUAUUUAUAUAUAUAUAUUUAUAUUUGAACACUCCAAGUAUUUAUAUUGAAAAUUUUAAGAACUUUCCCGUUGAUUAUACUGUCUGGACUUUGCAAGGUACCAUAUUGCAUUAAUGAAUUAAUCCAAUUUUUUGUACAAUUAUAGAUUCUGAGUAGAAAGAAGACUGUAUUGGUUUUACAAUAAUGUUUAUUUUUUUUUUUUGUUUAACUGUGAAUGACUUUUACACCAGACAUUUACAAUAAUAGCAUUUUUUCUGAAAGGAAAUCUGACUUUUGAAAGUCAGAUUUUGAAUAAUCCUGAAAAAUUCAGAAGAACAAAAUGGUGCACAAUAUCUGAUGAACAAUAGCGGUCUGGAACUGUAUUGAUUGCCUUCAAAUACAACAAUAAUAUGUCUAUAACUUGGCACAUUACUUCAAUAUUAUUUAAUUAUUAAAAGAUUCUUAUAGUUACAGAAUUUUAAUAUAAAAUACGGAACAACGUAUGACAAAAAUAAUAAUUUUUAUUAUACAUUUUUAUUUUUUUCUGUAUGUAUUUUUAAUAAUUUUAGAUUCUGAGUGUAGCAAAGAAUGUAUUAGUUUUUCAAAGAUUUUUUUUAAAUUUUUUUUAUAUACUAGUGAAAAAUAUCUCUAAAAGAAAUCUUGCCCUGAUAUGUUCGUGUGGCAACAUUUCUGAAUGGAAAGAUUGUCUAGAUGAUGUAAAAUGAAAGCCAAUUUUUAAUUUUACAAGCAGUUUGCAUAAUAUUUGGGAAAAACUUGGAUAAAACUUAAGAAAAAUGGGAGAUUUACGAAAAUAGUAAUUUUGUUGUUUUCAAAUUUGUUAUUUGUUGAAAUUCAGUUAAAAAUGUUCAAAGAGUCUUAAAAGACUUUAGUCAAGUAACUGGUAUCAAUCCCGUCAAAGCCAAAUUAAAUUUAUUCGUUUAAACAAUGAUUAUUUUACUGAUAAUUUAAUUCCAUAAAUAAUAUAUAAACAUACUCAUAAUAUACGUAAAUCUAUUAAUUACCUUAUAAUCAUAGAAUAUUUAAACUAUAUUAUGUAUUUAUAAAAUAUUAUUUUUCUAAUUUUAAAUUAUUUUUGUUUCAGGUAAGAAAAUUAUUAUACAUGA
rnacentral:lncRNA from 1 species